CUUUUUUUUGUAGUGUAUCUUCAUACCUAGUUCUCUUGUUACUCGAAAGUCAAUUUACUCGUUCCGUAAUACAUCAUCCCGCAACUAACUCAUUAGUCACUUUGCUUGCAAGGCUCCUUAUUAUGUUCAUUACCGAGAGGGCCCAGAGAUACCUCUCCGAUACUCGGAGUGACAAAUCCUAAUCUCGAUCUAUGCCAACCCAACAAACACCUUCGGAGAUACCUGUAGAGCAUCUUUAUAAUCACCCAGUUACGUUGUGAUGUUUGAUAGCACACAAGGUAUUCCUCCGGUAUCCGGGAGUUGCAUAAUCUCAUAGUCAAAGGAAUAUGUAUAUGACAUGAAGAAAGCUAUAGCAAUAAAACUGAACGAUCAAUAUGCUAAGCUAACGGAUGGGUCAUGUCCAUCACAUCAUUCUCCUAAUGAUGUGAUCCCGUUCAUCAAAUGACAACACAUGUCUAUGGUUAGGAAACUUAACCAUCUUAGAUUAAGGAGCUAGUCUAGUAGAGGCUUACUAGGGACACGGUGUUUUGUCUAUGUAUCCACAUAUGUAUCAAGUUUCCGGUUAAUACAAUUCUAGCAUGAAUAAUAAACAUUUAUCAUGAUAUAAGGAAAUAUAAAAUAACAAUUUUAUUAUUACCUCUAGGGCAUAUUUCCUUCAGUCUCCCACUUGCACUAGAGUCAAUAAUCUAGUUCACAUCGCCAUGUGAUUUAACACCAAUAGUUCACAUCGCCAUGUGGCCAACACCCAAAAGGUUUACUAGAGUCAAUAAUCUAAUUCACAUCGCUAUGUGAUUAACACCCAAAGAGUACUAAGGUGUGAUCAUGUUUUGCUUGUGAGAGAAGUUUAGUCAACGGGUCUGCCACAUUCAGAUCCGUAUGUAUUUUUGCAAAUUUAUGUGUCUACAAUGCUCUGCAUGGAGAUAAUCUAGCUAAUUGCUCCCACCUUCAAUAUGUAUCCAUAUUGAGACUCAGAUUCAUCCGGAUCAGUGUCAAAGCUUGCAUCGACGUAACCUUUUACGACGAACUCUUUUUCACCUCCAUAACCCAGCAACAUUUCCUUAGUCCUGUUUAGGUACCUAAGGAUAAUUUUGACCGCUGUCCAGUGAUCUACUCCUGGAUCACUAUUGUACCCACUUGCGAAACUCAUGGCAAGGUACACAACAUGUUUGGUAUAUAGCAUGGCAUACUUUAUAGAACCUAUGGCUGAGGCAUAGGGAAUGACUUUCAUUCUCUCUCUAUCUUCUGCCAUGGUCGGGCAUUGAGUCUGACUCAACUUCACACCUUGUAACAUAGGCAAGAACCUUUCUUUGACUGAUCCAUUUUGAACUUCUUCAAAACUUUAUCAAGGUAUAUACUCAUCGAAAGUCUUAUCAAGCAUCUUGAUCUAUCUCUAUAGAUCUUGAUGCCUAAUUUGUAAGCAUCUUCACUGAGGUCUUUCUUUGAAAAACUCCUUUCAAACACUCAUUUAUGCUUUCCAGAAAAUUCUACAUCAUUUCCGAUCAACAAUACGUCAUUCACAUAUACUUAUCAGAAAAGGCUGUAGUGCUCCCACUCACUUUCUUGUAAAUACAGGCUUCACCGCAAGUCUGUAUAAAACUAUAUACUUUGAUCAACUCAUCAAAGCGUAUAUUUCACCUCUAAGAUACUUGCACCAGUCCAUAGAUGGAUCGCUCGAGCUUGCACGAUUUGUUAGCACCUUUAGGAUUGACAAAACCUUCUGGUUGCAUCAUAUACAACUCUUCUUUAAUAAAUCCAUUAAGAAAUGCGGUUUUGAUAUCCAUUUGCCAGAUUUCAAAAAUACGGCAAUUGCUAACAUGAUUCGAACAGACUUAAGCAUCGAUACGAGUGAGAAAAUCUCAUCGUAGUUAACACCUUGAACUUGUCGAAAACCUUUUGCGACAAUUCGAGCUUUGUAGAUAGGAACACUACCAUCAGCUUUCGUCUUCCUCUUGAAGAUCCAUUUAAUUCACAACGGCUUGCCGAUCAUUGGGCAAGUCAACCAAAGUCCACACUUUGUUCUCAUACAUGGAUCAUAUCUCACAUUUCAUGGCCUCAAGCCAUUUAUCGGAAUCUGGCUUAUCAUAGCUUCUUCAUAGUUCGUAGGUUCGCCAUGGUCUAGUAACAUGACUUCUAGAAAAGGAUUACCGUACCACUCUGGUGCGGAUCGUACUCUGCUUGACCUACGAGGUUCAGUGGUAACUCAAUCUGAAGUUUCAUGAUCAUCACCAUUAUGUGAAAACUGCUUUGUGUGAUUUGGGAGCUGGUGUUAGUGUUAUGCCUUUCUAUUUAUAUAAAAGACUUGAUUCAAAUAAACUCACACCUAUUGAAAUAUCUAUGCAGAUGGCUGAUAAAUCAACUGCCAUACCUAUCGGUAUUUGUGAGGAUGUGCCCGUUGUUGUUCCUAAUGUUACUAUUUUGACUGACUUUGUUAUACUUGAGAUGCCCGAGGACGACAACAUGUCGAUUAUCCUUGGUAGACCCUUCUUGAAUACUGCAGGGGCUGUUGUUGAUUGCAAUAAAAGCAAGGUCACUUUUCAUAUCAAUGGUAAUGUGCAUACGGUGCACUUUCUGAAGAAACAAUUCCAAGUGAAUGGUAUUAAUGUUAUUGAAAAAUCUCAGACAAUCACUAUUGGAAGUUUUCAACUACCUCUACCUACUAUCAAAAAGAAAUACGAAAUGCUUAUUGUUGGGGACAUUCAUAUCCCCGUUGAGGUAACUUAGUGAUUUACGAAAGUUCUUCGGUUUCAUGCUAAUCGAAAGUGGUUGUUAAUAAGACUUGAUCAACCUUAUUAAUGAAUCAUUUUUGAGAGGUAUGAAGUUGAUCAAUUUAGUGAGCACUACCUUCUGUCCCUACCUUUUGUUUUCUGUUAUUAUUAUUUAAAUAAAAUAAAAUGCCAUGUUUUGCCUUUUUCUGAAUUUCUCGUGCAAUAAAAAAUGAUCCAAAAAUAAAAGUUCUCAGAAUGCUCUGAAAAUUUAAUAUGAUUUUUUCUGAAUAUUUAAGAAUUUUUGGUGCAAAUAAUAUCAGAGAGAGGUGCACCAGGUGGGCACAACCCACCUAGGCGCGCCAGGACCCCCAGGCGCGCCCUGGUGGGUUGUGGUCCCCACGUGGGCCCCCUCACUUAUCUCUUCAUCCCACAUCACCACCUACCUCCAAAAAAAAUUAACAUUGCUCUCUCUCUCUCUCGUGUUCUUGCUCUCAAACCCACGGAUUUUGAUCUCUUUGCUCGAAGCUCUGUUUCCAAAACUGUUUCGGGUGAUUGUUGCUUGGUAUGUGACUCCUCCAUUUGCCCAAUUAGUUUUUGCUUUAGUAGGUCAUAUUUUGAAUAAUUAGCUACUCUAGUGAAGCACUAGAGCAAGUCCAUAGCUCAUAAAAGAUUUAAGUGAAGCAGAGAGCAAUUCUAACAAGUUAUGACAUAAUUUUGGCUCUAUCAAAUAGGUGUGUCUAGCAAGGGAUCAAGACUUAAAACACAAAAUAAAACAAGCAAAGACUCAUAUCAUACAAGACGCUCCAAGCAAAACACAUAGUAUGUGACGAAUAAAAAUAUAGCUUCGAGUAAAAUACCGAUGGUCGUUAGAAGAAAGAGGGGAUGCCACUCGGGGGCAUCCCCAAGCUUAGUUGGUUGCUCAUUUUUGGAUAAUAGCUUGGGAUGUCAGGGCAUCCCCAAGCUUAGGCUCUUCUAUACUUCCCUCAUCCAUCGUAAGAUAACCCAAAACUUGAAAACUUGAAUCACACAAAACUCAACAAAACCUUCGUGAGAUCCGUUAGUAUAAGAAAGCAAACCACUACUAUAAGUACUGUAACAAACCAAUUCAUAUUUUUCUUUUGUAUUAUAUCUACUGUAUUCCAACUUUUCUAUGGCCAAAACUGAUCAAAGAAAACUAUAGAGCCAUCAAAAUAAGCACUCAACACAAAGAAAACAGAAUCUAUCAAAACAGAACAGUCUGUAGCAAUCUGACUAUUUUGAAUACUUCUGUAACUCCAAAAAUUCUGAAAAAUUAGGACGACCAGUGUAAUUUGUAUAUUAAUAUUAUGCAAAAAUAAUUGGCAUUUUAUCACGUUCUGGUGAUUUUUAACAAUUGUUUUCGUGAGUGCAUAAGUUUCUAUUUUUCAGCAAGAUCAAACAACUAUCACCCAAGAAGAUCCUAAAGGCUUGACUUGGCACAAACACUAACUAAAACACAAAAAACACAAUCAUAACAGUAGAAUAGUUGUGCAAACACACAAGAACAGAAAACAAAAAGCAAAAAUAAAUUUUAUUCAUUGGGUUGCCUCCCAACAAGCGCUAUAGUUUUACGCUCUUAGCUAGGCAUAAAGCAAGGAUCUAAGUUUUAUCAUCUUUGGUUCGAGAUCCAUAAGAUGCCCUAAUGAUUGAUUCAUAUGGUGGCUUAAUUCUUGUUCUAGGAAAGUGUCCCAUACCCUUCCUCAAAGGAAAUUGGAACUUAAUAGUGCCUUCUUUCAUACCAAUCACGGCACCGAUAGUGCGUAAAAACGGUCUACCAAGAAUAAUUGGACAAGACGGAUUGCAAUCAAUAUCAAGAACAAUAAAAUCUAUGGGCACAUAAUUCCUAUUUGCAAGAAUAAGAACAUCAUUAAUUCUUCCCAUAGGCUUUUUAAUAGUAGAAUUCGCCAAGUGCAAAUUCAAAGAACACGAUUCAAUAUUGGUAAGACCAAGCACAUCACAUAAAGAUUUCGGAAUUGUUGAAACACUAGCACCCAAGUCACACAAAGCAAAACACUCAUAAUUUUUAAUCUUGAAUUUUAUAGUAGGUUCGCAUUCAUCAUGCAAUUUUCUAGGAAUUGAAACUUCCAAUUCCAUUUUUUCUUCAAAAGCUUUCAUCAUAGCAUCAACAAUAUGUUUAGUAAAAGCUUUAUUUUGUUCAUAGGCAUGAGGUGAAUUUAUCAUGGAUUGCAACAAAGAAAUACAAUCAAUCAAAGAGCAACUAUCAUAAUUAAAUUCUUUGUAAUCCAAAAGAGUGGGCACAUCACUAGUUAAAAUUUUGACCUCUCCAAACCCACUUUUCUCAAUUUUCUCAACAAGAUUUUCACCCUCCGAAAUAUUGGGACGCCUUCUACAUAAAGUUGACUCUUCUCCAGUCCCUUUAUCAUCAAUCUUAACUUUACUAAACUAGGAAUCAAUAGAAGAAACACCAAUCAUUUUAAGAUCUUCAGCACUUUUGCGAAAGUAAUCACUAGAAAACGCUUUUUCUAAAAAAAUUCUUUUAGCUCUAAGCAUAGCGGUUCUUUUCUUACUUUCAUCCAUAGAAACAUAAAGAGCUUUAAUUGAUUUAUCAACCUUAGGCACAAAAAAUUUCAUCUUGAGAUUUUCCACAUCAUGAGCAAUUCUAUCAACACUUAUAGACAAAUCAUCAAUCUUACUCAACUUUUCUUCUAUGAAAGUGUUGAAAACUUUUUGCGUGUUGAUAAAUUCUUUAAUAUUAUUCUCAAGAUCAGAGGUGUUCCUAUUAUUAUUAUAAGAUUGAUUUCCAUAGGAAUUACCAUAAUUAUUAGAGGAAUUACUAGGAAAAGGCUUAGGAUUAAAAUUACCUCUAUAAUCAUUGUUAUUGAAAUUAUUUCAAGAGAUAAAAUUCACAUCUAUGGCAUCCCUAUUUUGCUCAAUCAAAGUGGACAAAGGCAUAUCGUUGAAAUCAAUAGGAGCACUUUUACUAGCAACAAUUUCAUAAGAGCAUCAACUUUUUCACUCAAAGAAGAAAUUUCUUCAACCGAAUUAACCUUUUACUAGUAGGAGCUCUUUCGGUAUGCCAUUGCGAAUAACUUGCCAUGAUAUUAUCAAGCAAUUUGGUGGAUUCACCCAAAGUAAUUUCCAUAAAACUACCACCCGCAGCGGAAUCUAAAAGAUUACGAGAAACAAAAUUCAACCCUGCAUAAAAAAUUUGUAUGAUCAUCCAAAGAUUUAACCCAUGAGUUGGGCAAUUCCUUAGCAUCAUUUUCAUCCUUUCCAAGAUUGUGCAACAUGCUCAUGUUCAAGUUGCUUGAAAUUCAUGAUUUGGGUUCUAAGGGAAAUAAUUUUUGCGAGCGGAAAAUACUUAGUGAUAGAAGCAUCUUUGCACUUAUUCCAAGAAUCGAUACUAUUGCGAGGCAAAGAAGAGAACCAAAUUUUUGCAGAAUCAUGCAAAGAAAACGGAAAUAAUUUGAUCUUCACCACAUCAUUGUCCACAUCUUUUUUCUUUUGCAUAUCACAUAAUUCCACGAAGGUAUUAAGAUGGGAUGCGGCAUCCUCAUUAGGAGUACCGAAAAAUUGAUCUUUCAUAACAAGAUUCAGCAAAGCAGUAUUAAUAUCACAAGACUCCGCACUAGUGGAGGGAGGAGCAAUCGGAGUGCCAAUAAAAUCUUUGUUGUUGGUAUUUGAGAAAUCACAUAACUUGGUGUUAUCUUGAGUCAUGAGAACUACACAACAAGAUUGCACUCAAAAACAGAUCCAUCAAAAAACGGCGAACGGAAAAAGAGGGGCGAAUAAAACAGCAAUUUUUUGUGAAGUGGGGGAGAGGAAAACGAGAGGCAAAUGGCAAAUAAUGUAAAUUGCGAGGAGAUGAGAUUUGUGAUUAGGAACCUGGUAUAUGUUGAAGAUCCUCCCCGGCAACGGCGCCUGAAAUGGCUAGUUGAUGGGGGACUAUCUUGACUUGAUUCUCCCCGGCAACGGCACCAGAAAUUCCUUUUGAUGUCGUUUGAAGCUACGUCGGUAUUUCCCCAAAGAGGAAGGGAUCAUGCAGCAUAGCGGCAGUAGGUAUUUCCCUCAGAAAUGAAACCAAGGUUAUCGAACCAGUAGGAGAACCAAGCAACACAACGUAAACAGCCCCUACACACAAAUAACAACACCUCGCAACCCGACGUGUUAAAGGGAUUGUCAAUCCCUUUCGGGUAACAGCGCCAGAAACGGUGCGUGGAUGGGAGAAAGUUGUAAUAGAUUGAAUAAGUAGAUCGCAAAUAAAAUAAAGUGCAGCAAAGUAUUUUUGUAUUUUUGGUUUAAUAGAUCUGAAAAUAAAUGCAAGGGAAAAGUAGAUCGCAAAGGCACAUAUAUGAGAAAGAGACCCGGGGGACGUAGGUUUCACUAGUGGCUUCUCUCAAGAAAAAUAGCAAACGGUGGGUAAACAAAUUACUGUUGGGCAAUUGAUAGAACUUCAAAUAAUCAUGAUGAUAUCCAGGCAAUGAUCUUUAUAUAGGCAUCACGUCCAAGAUUAGUAGACCAACUCCUGCCUGCAUCUACUACUAUUACUCCACACAUCGACUGCUAUCCAGCAUGCAAUGGAGUACUGCAAUAAGAACAAUGACAUGAUGUAGACAAGAUCUAUCUAUGUAGAGAUAGACCCUAUCGUUUUAUCCUUAGUAGCAACGAUACAUACGUGUCGGUUCCCCUUCUGUCACUGGGAUCAAGCACCGUAAGAUCGAACCCACUACAAAGCACCUCUUCCCAUUGCAAGAUAAAUAGAUCAAGUUGGCCAAACAAAACCCAAAUACCGGAGAAUAAAUACAAGGCUAUAAGCAAUCAUGCAUAUAAGAGAUCAAAGAAACUCAAAUACUUCCAUGGAUAUAAAAAAGAUAUAACUGAUCAUAAACUCAAAGUUCAUCAGAUCCCAACAAACACACUGCAAAAGAGUUACAUCAUAUGUAUCUCCAAGAGACCAUUGUAUUGAGAAUUCAGCGAGAGAGAGGAAGCCAUCUAGCCACUAACUACGGACCCGAAGGUCUAUAAAGAACUACUCACGCAUCAUCGGAGAGGCACCAACGGAGGUGGUGAACCCCAUCCGAGAUGGUGUCUAGAUUGGAUCUGGUGGUUCUGGACUCUGCGGCGGCUGGAUCAAUAUUUCGUCGACUCCCCUAGGGUUUUGGGAAUAUUGGGGUAUUUAUAGAGCAAAGAGGCGGUCCGGGGGUACCCGAGGUGGGCACAACCCACCAGGGCGCGCCUGGGCCUCCUGGCGCGCCCUGGUAGGUUGUGCCCUCCUCGGGGCACCCCCCAGGCGCAGCCAGGGCCCAUUAUGUUCCUUCUGGUCCAAAAAAAUCUCCGUGAAGUUUCGUUGCAUUUGGACUCUGUCUGAUAUUGAUUUCCUGUGAUGUAAAAAAACAUGCAGAAAACAGCAACUGGCACUUGGCACUAUGUCAAUAUAAAAUGACUAUAAAAUGAUUAUAAAACAUCCAAGAUUAAUAAUAUAACAUCAUGGAACAAUCAAAAAUUAUAGAUACAUUGGAGACGUAUCAAUCACUUUGCUGCAGAUAAUUAAUCUCCAGGUGUGGUUGAGUUGACAACUCAGCUGCUAAUACUUACAAAUAUUCUUUGGCUCCCCUUGUGUCGAAUCUAUAGAUUUGGGUUGAAUACUCUACCCUCGAAAACUAUUGCGAUCCCAUAUACUUGUGGGUUAUCAUUAACCAUCAACACUUUAUGCUAUUUCUUGAUUUCUACCUUCGCUGAUUUUAGCAUCACGAAGAGCUUGGGAAUCGUUUUCGUCAUUCCUUGCAUAUUAUAGUUCAUCACGAAGUUCUAGUAACUUAGUGAUAGUGACUAGAGAACUUUGUCAAUCACUAUCUUAUCUGGAAGAUUAACUCCCACUUGAUUCAAGCGAUUGUAGUACCUAGACAUUCUGAGCACAUGCUCACUAGCUGACCUAUUCUCCUCCAUAUUCUCACUUGUCAGAGGUCUCGUACCUCUUAACAUAGACAUGAGUCUGAAAUAUCAUUUUUAGCUUCUUGGAACAUCUCAUAUGCUCCAUGGCAUUCAAAACAUUUUUGAAGUCCCGGUUCUAAGCCGUAAAGCAUGGUGCACUAAACUAUCAAGUAGUCAUCAUACCGAGCUUGCAAAACAUUCAUAACAUCUGUAUCUGCUCCUGCAAUAGAUUCGUCACGUAGUGGUGCAUCAAGGACAUAAUUCUUCUCUGCCGCAAUGAGGAUAAUCCUCAGAUCACGGACCCAGUCCGCAUCAUUGCUACUAUCAUCUUUCAAUUUAGUUUUCUCUAGGAACAUAUAACAUGGGAGCUAUACGCGAGCUAUUGAUCUACAACAUAGAUAUCAGGACUAAGUUCAUGAUAAAUUAAGUUCAAUUAAUCAUAUUACUUAAGGACUCCCACUUAGAUAGACAUCCCUCGAGUCAUCUAAAAGAUCACGUGAUCCAAAUCAACUAAACCAUGUCCGAUCAUCACGUGAGAUGGAGUAGUCUUCAAUGGUGAACAUCUCUAUGUUGAUCAUACCUACAAUAUGAUUCAUGUUCGACCUUUCGGUCUCCAGUGUUCUGAGGCCAUGUCUGUACAUGCUAGGCUCGUCAAGUUUAACCUGAGUAUUCCGCAUGUGCAAAACUGUCUUGCACCCGGUGUAUGUGAACGUAGAGCCUAUCCCGCCCGAUCAUCACGUGGUGUCUCAGCACGACGAACUAUCGCAACGGUGCAUACUCAGGGAGAACACUUAUACCUUGAAAUUUAAUUAAGGGGUCAUCUUAUAAUGCUACCGCCGUACUAAGCAAAAUAAGAUGCAUAAUAGAUAAAAAUCACAUGCAAUCAAAAUAUGUGACAUGAUAUGGCCAUCAUCAUCUUGUGCCUUUGAUCUCCAUCUCCAAAGCACCGUCAUGAUCUCCAUCAUCACCGGCUUAACACCUUGAUCUCCAUCGUAGAGUUGCGGUCGUCUCGCCAACUAUUGCUUCUACAACUAUCGCUAACGCAUAGUGAUAAAGUAAAGCAAUUACAUGGUGUUUGCAUUUCAUACAAUAAAGCGACAACCAUAAGGCUCCUGCCAGUUGCCGAUAACUUUUACAAAACAUGAUCAUCUCAUACAAUAACGUAUAUCACAUCAUGUCUUGACCAUAUUGUGACACCCAAGUUUUUAUUUGGAUUUUUCAAAAAAAAAAGAUUUUUAUUUGACUUGAAGGGAGUGAUUUAAAAAAUUUCUUCAAGAGAACUCUCACUCUCAAAUAUUUUUAUUUAUGGCAAAAAAAUUAUUUGGAUUCACCCAAGAUCUGCCUUUGACCUUGGAGGUUCUUGCUUUUCUUUUGGACUCAAGACAAAAUGGUUUUCAUUUGGGAAAAUAACUUUUGUAAAUCUUUUUGAAAUUUGCACUAUGGCUUUUGGAAAGCCUUUUGCCACUUUCAACAAUUCCUCUUUGCCAUGGCCCAAGUGCAAAUGAUCUCUCCUAACUCCUCCCUCACCUCUGGAUCAUGAUUUACAUCAAAUCCAGCAAGUUGGACCUCCCCAUGUAUUUAUUUUCCAUUCAAAUAUUUUCUGCCUUCUAUUCUACCACUUGGAGAUUUACAAAGGAACUCCUCUUUCUGUUUUGAUUUUUGGCCCCAAACUUCUUUCCCCUCCUAGUCCUUUGAACCCUCAACCUGGAACCAUGAAGAUCCACUGGUCUCCAGUUCAAAAAUUUCAAACUACAUCAGCUGCAAGUUUGGACCAGAUUUGCCAAAUUUGGUGAAAUUCAUUCAAAACCUUCUCCAAAAAUUCCAAGUAAAUUCAUGCAGCCCCUGGGUGCUUUGAGUGAUCAUCUCACCAAGUUACAGCUCCAGAAAAAUUCAUCUCUUUACCAAAACCUACUGUCGAACACCUGCAGUGCAUGGUCAUGUCAAGUUUCAGUUAAGUUCAGACAACACUGCAGUGGCUGCUGUCGUUUUCUUCAGAAACGGGCGUCGAUCUCGCCAGUACCCUCGCGUCGCCUUGCUCCUCGUCCUCGCCCUCUCGUUCCUGCACCGCACGAGUGCCUGGCAUCUUGCGGGCGUCAGCGACGAGCAGCAGAAGGUGCGCCGCCCCGUGACCGACGCCGGCGGCGGCUUUGCGGACGCCAGUGGGAGACACGGCGCCGCCGACUCCACCCAGCGCCGCCCAAACCACCGGAGCCCGCCGCGUGGCCGUCCACUCCCCCGAAUGCGCUGCCGCCCUCGUCGUGAACCCCAGGGCGCGGAGCGCGCUCUCUGCCGCCGUUGAGCUCGUGCGGUCACCUCACCGUGGACAGACGCCAUUACGCCAAGACUAACCACGUUCAGCUGCAAAUCAAGUCCAGCAACAUCCACUGAUGCUUCUCGGCCGCUCAAACCCCCUGCCAACCCACUGCUCCGCCGUAAUCGCUCGCCGGAGGUUCUCCGUUCACGGCCACCCCGUUGAGCUGCCUAUAAAUAGGGGCCCCGAGCUUCAACUCGAGCACCCACCAGCCCUACACUUCCCCUAGAGCACGCCCAGCCACUGGAAGAGCCGCGAGGGGGUCUCCUUCCUCGACUCCGGCCGCCGCGAUCCGCCACGGGGUCCAGCCCGAUUCGCCCCCGUGUGUGCUCCGCAACCCCCAUUCUCUUACCAGUAGCUUCUCCUUGCAUCACCCGUUCUGACCCGCGCCUCAAUUCGUACUUUGCAGCCCUCCACCGGAGUUCCCCAACCUCACCCGAACCGCCGUCCGCCGGAGAUAGUGUCGCCGUCGACGUGGUGCUCCCCGUUGGACGAGUCCACCACCCACCGACGCGGAAGAAGACACUGAAGCUCUUGGUACCCUCCGUUUCUCCUAACUCGCCGUGGUUCGACGCCGGCGUCCACCGCCGUCUUCGGGCGCCGGCGAGCUUUCAAACCUGACAUGCGGGCCCCGCGUGUCAGCCUCUGUUUUACUUCCCCGAACCGUUUUCUGUUGGCACCUUCGGGCAAGAUACGUUUUCUCCUUGCGCUUGCGCAUUCCCAGCCGAAGCGUUUUCUGUUUUCUCUGUUAAAACCCUGGAACUUUUCUGUUUCAUUACAGAAAGGUCCCUGGACAGAAACCUUUAUAACUUUUUAAUGAAAAGGUAUUUUUGAGUGAUCCUUUUUCUGACAAUCUUCAAAUUUUGUCUAGUUUUUUAUGGGAUUUAUUUGAAAAAUAUUUGGCAAGGUUUCUGUGCAUGUGUUGGUUUUCACGUUAGUACCCCGUUUCGUGAUUGCCGUAGGUUCCGGGAGAGGGGACGGAGCCGCGAACUUCGCCGAGCUAGACUCCGACUUCUCCGAACCAGGCAAGCAUGUUUGAACAUUUGAUAUGGCAGAUGUUUUGCAUGUUCAUGUGAAAGUUUGUGCGUGGCAUGUGAGCGUCGAUAAAUACCUCGUUGCUUGUAAGGCAACGACCCGGUUGUUCCGAAGUGGCGAUGACCUCUGAUGAGAGGUGGCCUAAUCAUGUAGUGACAUGAAGGGCAGCAAGGUGGUAUUGUUGUAGCAUGCCAGCCUUGCGUCAGCCGACUCUCUUCGGCGUUAACGUGGUUGGAGCCACGUUAUCGAUCUUUCCCCGCAUGUUCCAAAGUUGCGAUGACCUCUGAUGAGAGGUGGCCUAAUCAUGUGGUGACAUGAAGGGCAGCAAGGUGGUACUGUUGUAGCAUGCCAGCCUUGUGUCAUCCGACUUUUCCGACGUUAACAUGGUUGGAGCCGUGUUAUCAUCCCUUCCCCUUUCCGUGCUACCACAUGUCUCAUUGCCAGGAUACGGUUUAGUAAGUUGGUAACCUCUUUCCGUGUACACACCAAACAGAGAGGCCGGGAUGAUGGUACCUUGGCCCAGGAUUAAAGCCAGUCAUUCGGUCAGGGGGCAUGGGUGUUUCCGGUUGGGACCGAGAGGGGGGCACCCCCUUAUAGCGCGCGUAUAGAAAUUUGAUCCCAUGCUACGCGAGGUUGUAGCCUCCCCGACUCAGGGUUUUUCCUGAAUGUUGCCGAGGGUGAUCCCUGGCUUCGGAUGGUUAAAUUGGGUGUGUACUGGUUAGACGUGUUCCUUCCAGAACACCGUAGACGGAACUAGUCCCCGUGACUACUGAAACCCGUUGGCUGUGGUUAAGUACAAACUCUGCAGAGUCAAUUCUUUCCAAAUCAUCGUAUCCAUAGUCAGUAAAUGUAGAUUUUUAUAUCCAAAUCUAUCCGUGUGAAAAACUUACCCCCGGUGAACAAGCUCAAGCGGUAAAGUCUCAGAUUUAUUGUUAUUCCUGUGGAUGGACCAACAUUAUAUUUGUCUCGUGCUUGUGAUAAGUUAUAUUCCCGAACUAUUGUAUUGUUGUGUUACAAUAUAAGCCCUUUAUGCGAUGUCGCUCAGACGUCCGACUGUGGCAUGUACUGUCUUUAUUUUCUGUUAUAAGCCCUUUAUGUGGUGUCGCCCCGACGCCCGACUGCGGCAUUAUUAUUCCGCAUUUUCCGCUCGAGGAGUCUUUCAGACACUCGUUUGGCACCAGUAUUAUUAUUCCGCAUUUUCCGCUCGAGGAGUCUUUCAGACACUCGUUUGGCACCAGUAUUAUUAUUCCGCAUUUUCCUCUCGAGGAGUCUUUCAGACACUCGUUUGGCACCAGUAUUAUUAUUCCGCAUUUUCCUCUCGAGGAGUCUUUCAGACACUCGUUUGGCACCAGUAUUAUUAUUCCGCAUUUUCCGCUCGAGGAGUCUUUCAGACACUCGUUUGGCACCUGUAUUAUUAUUCCGCAUUUUCCUCUCGAGGAGUCUUUCAGACACUCGUUUGGCACCAGUAUUACUAUUCUGCAGUUUCCGCUCGAGGCGUCAUUCAGACCCUCGCUUGGCACCCAGUAUUUAUUAUCUCUAUGUCUGAUCGCACUGGUUAACUUAUUCAUGUGCUUCAUGUUUGCAUUUGUUAUACCUUAUGUCCGAACUGUCUUGCGAGUACUUUCAUAGUACUCACCUGGCUUGUUGAUUUGGCCAGAUGUUGACGAAGGCGAUCUCUUGGAUGAAGAGUUUGAUAGCGCGUCCGACGCCUAGAGGAGUCCCAGUCAGUCCUGCGCGAUCCCGGAUAUUGGUCACUUAUGUUGUUUACGCUUCCGCCACCCGCAAUAAGUCUUCUCGAGCCUCACUCCGACGCUCGAAGAGCUGUAGUCUUCUGGAGUCAUAUCACUCGCCCCGCGGUGAUAUCUCCACCAUCGUUAUUAUCGUAAGUUAGUAGUUUGCCACCCUAUCCGCCGUAUUGUUUUAUCGGCGUGCAUGUAAUAAAUUGUUGGGCAGUCUUUGCUCAACUUUGUAUUAUAUUUAGUACUCCUGGUACUUUUUCUUCUGUGACCAAUGUUUUGUCUAUCAGUGAGAAGGAAUUCUUCCUCGCUGGUCCGUAUCAGGGAUUGGUUUCUCAAUAAUUAUUUUAUUGAAAAACCGGUCGUGACAAGCUUGGUAUCAGAGCCAGGCUGACUGUAGGAAGCCACUAGGUGCGAUCGCUAAUCGGUUAUUAGCAUCUUUAGUGCUUCUUCAGCAUUUUGCAAUUGUAGCGAUUUUCUGUUGGUCAUCAUAAAAUUUAUGACAUGACUACUCAGAAUUUUUGCCUACUUUUGUAGAUGGCUGGCAGCGGCUGUGAGAAUCGGGUGUUCACCAACGUGCCCGAGGGGUUUGUCAAACUCCUCGUCUCCAUCACCAAACUCGCAAUCGGGCCAGCAGCUCGCCCGGAGUUCACCCUCUAUCAGCACAAGCUCAGUGACGACGUGUCUAUGCACCAAGCCGUGGUGCAGUUCAGGGGAGGACGAUCUGCUGCUCGCCAUUUCCGUUUUACGGGAAGGGCCAUGCCUACGGAGAGGCAUGCUAUGCAGAUGGCUGCCCGCGAGGCGAUAGCUCGCCUUCGGGACAUCCUUCCUACGAUGAAGACUCGUCGCUACCGCUACCUCCCAUGCCAUGUGCCUUACACCAGCCACUAUGCGUUUGCCUGCCAUCGGGGAGAAAGAGACGAAGCCAUCGAGAUGGUUGUGGAGUAUCUCAAGGCUCUGGAGGAGUCUUUCGACAACCUCGUAGAUGAUCUUGUGGCUGCCCGCAUGGACCUAGUCCGGGGCGGUCCUGCCAGCCGGAAGGAGCUUCUCCACACGGCGCCGCCUCUGACAUUCGUCUCGUCUUCAGCCUCGUAUGCACCGGCCGUUUUGGCCACUGCUCGCCGUCUGCCUACCACUGAGGAGUUCGACCGAGUCAUUGCUCCUACUCCAGUCAGAGCCGCACCGCCUGCCGCACGCGCUCUACCACCAGUCGCCCCCGCGCCAUCACCGCAGCGCAGCAUCACGCGCCAGGAGCCAGCUAGAGAGGAGGAGGUUGAUUCUCCUGGACCGCUGAGCCUUGCCAUCGGCAAGGGGAAGGAGAUCCUCACCAUCUCCGACUGAGAGCACCGAGUAGCCGCGUGUUAUGUCUGCUUGUAUGAUGUGCUGUUUUAUCUGUACGCUAGUUUGUAUUGGUGUGUUUGCUGCCUUCCGGAGUAGUACGCUAGUUUUAAAUAACAUGUCAGGAUUGUGUACACGCAUCCUGAGUGUUGUAUCUUGUGUUUGCUUUCGCAUGUAAGAUUUUAUGUUAAGCACUUCUUCUCCGUGAAAAUCAUUUGUGUUGCCUUUGCAAGGGUUUUCCUCGUGCUACACAGUUUUUCUCAUGGGUUUUGCAAAUGAUACCCCCAGACUGGAAAAAUGUCUCGCCCAUGGACUCGCUCCAUGCCCAAUCAGCCAGAAGAGGUUUACGGGACACAGACCAGCAACAAUUUCACUCAGGGUCAGUCCAGCCAACAAGACAGCGAAGCAGCACUGUCUCAAGUAUGUCGUCUCUUCGAGCAAAGCCAGCAACAGCACCAAGAGAUGAUGAACCAUGUCAUCAACAUGGGAAACCACCGUGAACACUAUCAACCACAUUCCAAGUUAUCCGAGUUGCAGAAGACUCGCCCCUCAACUUUUGCUCACACCGAUAGGCCGCUGGAAGCCGAUGAUUGGCUUCGUGAGAUUGAAAGGAAACUGAUUAUUGCUCAAUGCUCAGAUCAUGAGAAAGUGCUUUAUGCACCACACUACCUUACUGGAGCAGCCGCAGCAUGGUGGGAGAACUUCCUACACAUGCAUCCCAGGGAACACGACAUCACCUGGGAAGAGUUCAAGGAAGGUUUCCGUGGGGCACACAUCCCCAGGAGCAUCCUAAAGAUCAAGAAAAGAGAGUUUGAUGACCUGAAGCAAAGAGGCAUGUCCGUCACAGAAUACAACGGCCAGUUUACCCAACUGUCUCGUUAUGCCUACGACGAGCACAUGACAGAAAACAAGAAGAUGGAAAAAUUCCUGGACGGCCUGGCACCAGCACUAAGAUGCCAGCUGAUUGUACACACCUUUCCGGAUUUUAAGACGCUGGUGGACAAGGCCAUCACCUUGGAAAAUGAGCGCCGUAGUCUGGAAGAUAUCCGCAAGCGGAAGAGGGACAAGACGACUCUUGCCCGCAGCAACCGAGGCAAGGCUGAGGUCCCAAGGACAGACACAAGGAGAUCCACGACUACUGAGCCAAGACCCGUCGGACAUUUUCAUGCCAGAGACAAGGAGUUCACAUACCGUCCGGGAGUCACCUGCUAUGCUUGCGGUCAGCAAGGGCACUAUGCUAAACAGUGCCCGAAGCCAAGAGACUCGGCACCCAAGCCGAACAAUGGUGGAAACAAUCCCGCCCCCAAGCGCAACAACUUCAAUCCCAACAACAACCACAGGAAGGGUCACUUGAACCAUGUGACCAGGGAAGAAGCGCAGAAUGCCCCAGACAUCGUGCUCGGUACGUUCCCUGUCAACACAGUACCUGCCACGGUUUUGUUUGAUUCUGGUGCUUCCCAUUCGUUCGUUUCGAAGAGUUUUGUUUCGCAACAUGGUUUUCCGAUACUCCCCUUGGAGAAGUCUAUGAUCAUCAAGUCCCCCAGAAACAAGCAAAUUGCUCAGGGUUACUGCCAAGGAGUGGUCAUUGAGUUCGAAGGACUACCAUUCCACGCGAAUCUCAUCGUAUUGGAAAGUAAAGGACUGGAUGUCAUUUUAGGAAUGGACUGGUUGACCACCAACAAAGGAUUCAUUGACUGCUUCAAUCGGACAGUGAUUCUCACUCACCAUCACGGCAAGACUAUAAGAGUUUCCGCUCAAGAAAGGCCACGAUCACAGAAACCAAAACUGAACAAGAUGGACAUCGCAGAAUUAAGAAAAGUGCCAGUGGUAUGCGAGUUCCCUGAUGUGUUCCCGGAAGAACUACCAGGUAUGCCACCAGACCGAGAGAUCGAAUUCAGCAUCGAGCUAGCACCUGGCACCGCUCCCAUUUAUAAGAAGCCGUAUAGAAUGGCACCCUCAGAGUUGGUGGAGUUGAAGAAGCAGAUAAAGGAAUUACUGGACAAGGGGUUUAUACGAGCCAGCUCCUCACCAUGGGGUUCGCCCGUAUUGUUCGCCAAGAAGAAGGAUGGGACACUGAGACUGUGCAUAGACUAUCGAGCCCUCAAUAUGGUCACCAUCAAAAACAAAUACCCGAUGCCACGGAUAAAUGAUUUGUUUGACCAGCUCGCACAAGCUAAAGUAUUUUCAAAGAUUGAUUUGAGAUCAGGAUACCAUCAACUGAAGGUACGAACAGAGGAUAUCCCCAAGACAGCAUUCACUUCCAGAUAUGGGUUAUACGAGUUCACAGUGAUGCCUUUUGGUCUAACAAACGCCCCCGCAAUUUUCGUCCACCUCAUGAACAAAGUGUUCAUGAAAUUCAUGGACAAAUUUGUGGUGGUAUUCAUUGACGACAUUCUGGUUUACUCAAGGACACCAGAAGAACAUGCUGAGCACCUCAGAAUUGUUUUGGGAGAAUUGAGGAAACAUCAGUUGUACGCCAAAUUUAGCAAAUGCGAAUUUUGGCUAAGACAAGUUGGUUUCUUGGGCCAUAUUUUGAACCAAGAAGGCGUGGCCGUAGACCCAGAAAAAGUCAAGGCCAUACUAGACUGGAAGCCGCCCGCGAAUGUUACAGAUGUGCGGAGUUUCCUAGGAAUGGCAGGGUAUUACAGGAGGUUUAUUGAAGGAUUCUCCACGGUGGCCAAACCUAUAACACAGUUACUCAAGAAGGACAAGAAAUUUGUAUGGACAGAAGCAUGCGAGCAGAGCUUCCAAGAACUCAAGAAAAAGUUGACAACCGCACCAGUCUUAACUGUGCCAGACAUACACAAGAGCUUUGAGGUGUAUUGUGACGCGUCCCGAAAAGGUCUCGGAUGUGUACUAAUGCAGGAUGGCAAAUUUGUCGCAUAUGCCUCCAGGCAACUGCGAAAGCAUGAGGAAAAUUACCCAACACAUGACUUGGAGCUAGCUGCGGUCAUACAUGCACUCAAGGAGUGGAGGCACUUUCUGUUGGGAAAUCGUUGUGAAAUAUAUACGGACCAUAAGAGCCUCAAAUAUAUCUUCACACAGCCAGAGCUGAAUUUACGCCAACGACGCUGGUUGGAACUGGUCAAAGACUAUGACGUCGGCAUCCACUACCACCCAGGAAAAGCAAAUGUAGUGGCCGAUGCCCUUAGUCGAAACCCCAGCACAGACAGUGAUGGUCAGCAAAACUUGAGGCCUGAGUUUCAGCGAGAGUUCACUAGGCUCAACAUAAUGUUAGUCUCCGAGGGCACCGUAUCAAACCUGGAGAUACAACCCACCUUGAUGGAACGAAUUAAGAAGGCCCAACAGGGACAUCCCAGCAUCGAAGGCAUAAAGAAGAAAAUGAACCGUAGUAAGACUUCAGAAUUCGUCACAGACAGUGAAGGAACAUUAUGGUACCAGGACAGACUUUGCGUACCUAACAUUGAGGAACUCAAGCAACAGAUCUUGGCGGAGAGCCACACCGCUCCAUACUCGAUACAUCCUGGAGGAACCAAAAUGUACAAGGACAUUCAGGAAAGAUUUUGGUGGCACGGUAUGAAAAGAGAUAUAGCCACACUUAUUGCUUGUUGCGAUUCAUGUCGGCGUAUCAAAGCCGAGCAUCAAAAGCCAGCAGGGCUACUCCAGCCUAACAGAAUACCGGAGUGGAAAUGGGAUGAAAUAGGAAUGGACUUCAUUGUCGGAUUACCCCGAUCACAACGCGGAAAUGACGCCAUAUGGGUCAUCACAGACCGACUAACCAAGGUUGCUCAUUUCAUUCCCGUGAAGACUACCUACUCCACACAGAGACUGGCAAAACUUUAUCUCUCCCGUAUAGUUUGCUUGCAUGGAGUCCCAAGGACUAUAAUAUCGGACCGAGGCACCCAAUUCGUCUCCAAAUUUUGGGAACACCUAUAACAAGCUCUGGGCACACAACUGGCUUUCAGUACAGCAUACCACCCUCAGACAGAUGGACAAACAGAACGUGUAAACCAAAUCCUGGAGGAUAUGCUAAGAGCCUGUGUGCUCACCUAUGGAAUCAGUUGGGAGGAGAGUUUGCCGUAUGCCGAAUUUGCGUACAACAACAGUUACCAAGCCAGCUUGCAAAUGGCACCCUUUGAAGCAUUGUACGGACGGAGGUGUCAUACCCCAUUGAAUUGGUCAGAAACAGGUGACAGCCGUAUCUUCGGCCCAGAUAUGCUUAAGGAGGCCGAGGAAAAAGUUAAACAAAUCAGGGACAGACUCAAGACAGCACAGAGCCGACAAAAGAGCUACUAUGAUCAGAAGCAUCGUGAGGUCAGCUUUGAACCUGGUGAUUCCGUAUACCUCCGAGUAUCUCCUAUGAGGGGUCUGCAACGGUUCAAAAUAAAGGGGAAACUAGCCCCAAGGUUUAUUGGACCAUUUUGCGUAAAGGCACGAAGAGGCACAGUAGCCUACCAACUAGACCUCCCCAAGGAGCUGUCAGACGUCCAUGACGUAUUCCACGUCUCGCAGUUGAGGAAGUGUGUGAGUAACCCGGAGAAACAUGUACCCCAUGAGGACAUUGAUGUGCAACCAGAUCUCACCUACAGACAAAGGCCAGUAAAGAUUUUAGAAGAGUCUGAACGGAGGACCCGUCAGAAAACGACAAGAUUUUUCAAGGUUCAGUGGAGCAACCACACUGAGGAUGAAGCUACAUGGGAAAGGGAGGAUUUCCUUCGAGCAGAGUAUCCAUAUCUGUUUGAGGAUCAGCAGAAAUCUCGAGGACGAGAUUUUUCCUAAGGGGGUAGGCGUUGUGACACCCAAGUUUUUAUUUGGAUUUUUCAAAAAAAAAGAUUUUUAUUUGACUUGAAGGGAGUGAUUUAAAAAAUUUCUUCAAGAGAACUCUCACUCUCAAAUAUUUUUAUUUAUGGCAAAAAAUUUAUUUGGAUUCACCCAAGAUCUGCCUUUGACCUUGGAGGUUCUUGCUUUUCUUUUGGACUCAAGACAAAAUGGUUUUCAUUUGGGAAAAUAACUUUUGUAAAUCUUUUUGAAAUUUGCACUAUGGCUUUUGGAAAGCCUUUUGCCACUUUCAACAAUUCCUCUUUGCCAUGGCCCAAGUGCAAAUGAUCUCUCCUAACUCCUCCCUCACCUCUGGAUCAUGAUUUACAUCAAAUCCAGCAAGUUGGACCUCCCCAUGUAUUUAUUUUCCAUUCAAAUUCUAUUCAAAUAUUUUCUGCCUUCUAUUCUACCACUUGGAGAUUUACAAAGGAACUCCUCUUUCUGUUUUGAUUUUUGGCCCCAAACUUCUUUCCCUCCUAGUCCUUUGAACCCUCAACCUGGAACCAUGAAGAUCCACUGGUCUCCAGUUCAAAAAUUUCAAACUACAUCAGCUGCAAGUUUGGACCAGAUUUGCCAAAUUUGGUGAAAUUCAUUCAAAACCUUCUCCAAAAAUUACAAGUAAAUUCAUGCAGCCCCUGGGUGCUUUGAGUGAUCAUCUCACCAAGUUACAGCUCCAGCAAAAUUCAUCUCUUUACCAAAACCUACUGUCGAACACCUGCAGUGCAUGGUCAUGUCAAGUUUCAGUUAAGUUCAGACAACACUGCAGUGGCUGCUGUCGUUUUCUUCAGAAACGGGCGUCGAUCUCGCCAGUACCCUCGCGUCGCCUUGCUCCUCGUCCUCGCCCUCUCGUUCCUGCACCGCACGAGUGCCUGGCAUCUUGCGGGCGUUGGCGACGAGCAGCAGAAGGUGCGCCGCCCCGUGACCGACGCCGGCGGCAGCUUUGCGGACGCCAGCGGGAGACACGGCGCCGCCGACUCCACCCAGCGCCGCCCAAACCACCGGAGCCCGCCGCGUGGCCGUCCACUCCCCCGAAUGCGCUGCCGCCCUCGUCGUGAACCCCAGGGCGCGGAGCGCGCUCUCUGCCACCGUUGAGCUCGUGCGGUCACCUCACCGUGGACAGACGCCGUUACGCCGAGACUAACCACGUUCAGCUGCAAAUCAAGUCCAGCAACAUCCACUGAUGCUUCUCGACCGCUCAAACCCCCUGCCAACCCACUGCUCCACCGUAAUCGCUCGCCGGAGGUUCUCCGUUCACGGCCACCCCGUCGAGCUGCCUAUAAAUAGGGGCCCCGAGCUUCAACUCGAGCACCCACCAGCCCUACACUUCCCCUAGAGCACGCCCAGCCACUGGAAGAGCCGCGAGGGGGUCUCCUUCCUCGACUCCGGCCGCCGCGAUCCGCCACGGGGUCCAGCCCGAUUCGCCCCCGUGUGUGCUCCGCAACCCCCAUUCUCUUACCAGUAGCUUCUCCUUGCAUCACCCGUUCUGACCCGCGCCUCAAUUCGUACUUUGCAGCCCUCCACCGGAGUUCCCCAACCUCACCCGAACCGCCGUCCGCCGGAGAUAGUGUCGCCGUCGACGUGGUGCUCCCCGUUGGACGAGUCCACCACCCACCGACGCGGAAGAAGACACUGAAGCUCUUGGUACCCUCCGUUUCUCCUAACUCGCCGUGGUUCGACGCCGGCGUCCACCGCCGUCUUCGGGCGCCGGCGAGCUUUCAAACCUGACAUGCGGGCCCCGCGUGUCAGCCUCUGUUUUACUUCCCCGAACCGUUUUCUGUUGGCACCUUCGGGCAAGAUACGUUUUCUCCUUGCGCUUGCGCAUUCCCAGCCGAAGCGUUUUCUGUUUUCUCAGUUAAAACCCUGGAACUUUUCUGUUUCAUUACAGAAAGGUCCCUGGACAGAAACCUUUAUAACUUUUUAAUGAAAAGGUAUUUUUGAGUGAUCCUUUUUCUGACAAUCUUCAAAUUUUGUCUAGUUUUUUAUGGGAUUUAUUUGAAAAAUAUUUGGCAAGGUUUCUGUGCAUGUGUUGGUUUUCACGUUAGUACCCCGUUUCGUGAUUGCCGUAGGUUCCGGGAGAGGGGACGGAGCCGCGAACUUCGCCGAGCUAGACUCCGACUUCUCCGAACCAGGCAAGCAUGUUUGAACAUUUGAUAUGGCAGAUGUUUUGCAUGUUCAUGUGAAAGUUUGUGCGUGGCAUGUGAGCGUCGAUAAAUACCUCGUUGCUUGUAAGGCAACGACCCGGUUGUUCCGAAGUGGCGAUGACCUCUGAUGAGAGGUGGCCUAAUCAUGUAGUGACAUGAAGGGCAGCAAGGUGGUACUGUUGUAGCAUGCCAGCCUUGCGUCAGCCGACUCUCUUCGGCGUUAACGUGGUUGGAGCCACGUUAUCGAUCUUUCCCCGCAUGUUCCAAAGUUGCGAUGACCUCUGAUGAGAGGUGGCCUAAUCAUGUGGUGACAUGAAGGGCAGCAAGGUGGUACUGUUGUAGCAUGCCAGCCUUGUGUCAUCCGACUUUUCCGACGUUAACAUGGUUGGAGCCGUGUUAUCAUCCCUUCCCCUUUCCGUGCUACCACAUGUCUCAUUGCCAGGAUACGGUUUAGUAAGUUGGUAACCUCUUUCCGUGUACACACCAAACAGAGAGGCCGGGAUGAUGGUACCUUGGCCCAGGAUUAAAGCCAGUCAUUCGGUCAGGGGGCAUGGGUGUUUCCGGUUGGGACCGAGAGGGGGGCACCCCCUUAUAGCGCGCGUAUAGAAAUUUGAUCCCAUGCUACGCGAGGUUGUAGCCUCCCCGACUCAGGGUUUUUCCUGAAUGUUGCCGAGGGUGAUCCCUGGCUUCGGAUGGUUAAAUUGGGUGUGUACUGGUUAGACGUGUUCCUUCCAGAACACCGUAGACGGAACUAGUCCCCGUGACUACUGAAAUCCGUUGGCUGUGGUUAAGUACAAACUCUGCAGAGUCAAUUCUUUCCAAAUCAUCGUAUCCAUAGUCAGUAAAUGUAGAUUUUUAUAUCCAAAUCUAUCCGUGUGAAAAACUUGCCCCCGGUGAACAAGCUCAAGCGGUAAAGUCUCAGAUUUAUUGUUAUUCCUGUGGAUGGACCAACAUUAUAUUUGUCUCGUGCUUGUGAUAAGUUAUAUUCCCGAACUAUUGUAUUGUUGUGUUACAAUAUAAGCCCUUUAUGCGAUGUCGCUCAGACGUCCGACUGUGGCAUGUACUGUCUUUAUUUUCUGUUAUAAGCCCUUUAUGUGGUGUCGCCCCGACGCCCGACUGCGGCAUUAUUAUUCCGCAUUUUCCGCUCGAGGAGUCUUUCAGACACUCGUUUGGCACCAGUAUUAUUAUUCCGCAUUUUCCGCUCGAGGAGUCUUUCAGACACUCGUUUGGCACCAGUAUUAUUAUUCCGCAUUUUCCUCUCGAGGAGUCUUUCAGACACUCGUUUGGCACCAGUAUUAUUAUUCCGCAUUUUCCGCUCGAGGAGUCUUUCAGACACUCGUUUGGCACCUGUAUUAUUAUUCCGCAUUUUCCUCUCGAGGAGUCUUUCAGACACUCGUUUGGCACCAGUAUUACUAUUCUGCAGUUUCCGCUCGAGGCGUCAUUCAGACCCUCGCUUGGCACCCAGUAUUUAUUAUCUCUAUGUCUGAUCGCACUGGUUAACUUAUUCAUGUGCUUCAUGUUUGCAUUUGUUAUACCUUAUGUCCGAACUGUCUUGCGAGUACUUUCAUAGUACUCACCUGGCUUGUUGAUUUGGCCAGAUGUUGACGAAGGCGAUCUCUUGGAUGAAGAGUUUGAUAGCGCGUCCGACGCCUAGAGGAGUCCCAGUCAGUCCUGCGCGAUCCCGGAUAUUGGUCACUUAUGUUGUUUACGCUUCCGCCACCCGCAAUAAGUCUUCUCGAGCCUCACUCCGACGCUCGAAGAGCUGUAGUCUUCUGGAGUCAUAUCACUCGCCCCGCGGUGAUAUCUCCACCAUCGUUAUUAUCGUAAGUUAGUAGUUUGCCACCCUAUCCGCCGUAUUGUUUUAUCGGCGUGCAUGUAAUAAAUUGUUGGCCAGUCUCUGCUCAACUUUGUAUUAUAUUUAGUACUCCUGGUACUUUUUCUUCUGUGACCAAUGUUUUGUCUAUCAGUGAGAAGGAAUUCUUCCUCGCUGGUCCGUAUCAGGGAUUGGUUUCUCAAUAAUUAUUUUAUUGAAAAACCGGUCGUGACACAUAUCACAUCACAACAUACCCUGCAAAAACAAGUUAGACGUCCUCUACUUUGUUGUUGCAAGUUUUACGUCGCUGCUACGAGCUUCUAGUAAGAACCGUUCUUACCUACGCAUCAAAACCACAAUGGUGAUUUAUCAAGUUUGCUGUUUUAACCUUCAACAAGGAUCUGCCGCAGUCAAAUUCGAUUCAACUAAAGUUGGAGAAACAGACACCCGCCAGCCACCUUUAUGCAAAACUAGUUGCAUGUCUGUCGGUGGAACCGGUCUCAUGAACGUGGUCAUGUAAGGUUAGUCCGGGCCGCUUCAUCCAACAAUACCGCCGAAUCAAAAUACGACAUUGGUGGUAAGCAGUAUGACGAUCACCGCCCACAACUCUUUGUGUUCUACUUGUUCAUAUCAUCUAUGCAUAGACCUGGCUCGGAUGCCACUAUUGAGAAACAUAGCAUGCAAUUUCAAAAAAAAAAUCCUACGCUCACGCAAGAUCUAUCUAGGAGAUGCAUAGAAAUGAGAGGGGGAGAGUGUGUCCAUGUACCCUCGUAGACCGAACGCGGAAGCGUUUUGUUAACGAUGUUGAUGUAGUCGAACUUCUUCUCGUUCUGACCGAUCAAGCACCAAACGUACGGCACCUUCGAGUUCUGCACACGUUCAGCUCAAUGACGUCCCUUGAACUCUUGAUCCAGAAAAGUGUCGAGGGAGAGUUCCCUCAGCACAACGGCAUGGUGAUGGUGAUGGUGAAGUGAUCCACGUAGGGCUUCGCCUAAGCACUACAUGAAUAUGACCGGAGGCGUAAACUAUGGAGGGGGGCGCCGCACACGGCUAAGAAUUGUUGGUGUGUCUUCUAGCGGAGCCCCCCCCCCCACAUAUAUAUAUAUAUAUAUAUAGGAGGGAGAGGGAGGGGAGAAGCAAGGGGCGCCCUAAGUAGGAGGGAUCCUACUUGGGCGCCUCCUCCAAGUCGGCCUCCCCCCUUCCAUAACUAUCGGAGGGGGAAGGAAAGAGAGGGGGAAGGAAAGGGGGAGGCCGAAUCCUCCCCUUUCCUUCUCCCUUCCCUCCUUUCCUUCUCCUCCUAUUUUGGCCUAUAGGGGGGCACACCAGCCCCUUAGGGGCUGGUCUGUCCCACUCUUGGCCCAUUAGGCCCAUAUAGCUUGCCGGGGGAUGCCUGGAACCCCUUCCGGUGACCCAAUAUGUACCCGGUACCCCCGGAACACAUCCGGUGUCCGAAUACUAACGUCCUAUAUAUGAAUCUUUACCUCUCGACCAUUUCGAGACUCCUCGCCAUGUCUGUGAUCUCAUCUGGGACUCCGAACAACAUUUGGUCACCAAAUCACAUAACUCAUACAUUAAACGUUAAGCGUGUGGACCCUACGGGUUCGAGAACUAUGUAGACAUGACCGAGACACUUCUCUAGUCAAUAACCAACAGCGGAAACGGGAUGCUCAUAUUGGUUCCCACAUAUUUUACGAAGAUCUUUGUCGGUUGCACCGUAAUGACAACAUACGUUAUUCCCUUUGUCAUCGGUAUGUUACUUGCCCAAGAUUCGAUCGUUGGUAUGUUCAUACCUAGUUGAAUCUCGUUAUCGGCAAGUCUCUUUACUCGUUCCAUAAUAAAUCAUCCCGCAACUAACUCAUUAGUCACAUUGCUUGCAAGGCUUAUUAUGAUGUGCAUUACCGAGAGGGCCCAGAGAUACCUCUCCGAUACUCGGAAUGACAAAUCCUAAUCUCGAUCUAUGCCAACCCAACAAACACCUUCGGAGAUACCUGUAGAGCAUCUUUAUAAUCACCCAGUUACAUUGUGAUGUUUGAUAGCACACAGGGUAUUCCUCCGGUAUCCGGGAGUUGCAUAAUCUCAUAGUCAAAGGAAUAUGUAUAUGACAUGAAGAAAGCUAUAGCAAUAAAACUGAACGAUCAAUAUGCUAAGCUAACGGAUGGGUCAUGUCCAUCAAAUCAUUCUUCUAAUGAUGUGAUCCCGCUCAUCAAAUGACAACACAUGUCUAUGGUUAGGAAAGUUAACCAUCUUUGAUUAACGAGUUAGUGUAGUAGAGGCUUACUAGGGACACGGUGUUUUGUCUAUGUAUCCACACAUGUAUCAAGUUUCCGGUUAAUGCAGUUCUAGCAUGAAUAAUAAACAUUUAUCAUGAUAGAAGGAAAUAUAAAAUAACAACUUUAUUAUUGCGUCUAGGGCAUAUUUCCUUCAGGAAAUUCAUGGCUAAGUUAGCAUAUUGUCCUGGUUAAAUAAAAAAGUUAGCAUACUGUCUGAACUGGCAAAAAAGGCUUCAAAUGGUCGGCGACAUCUUCACGCGUCUUAGACUCUCGUGUCUUGACGCCCAUAUCCACUCAUCCGCCCAUUAUCAGCCAACCGAUCUCAAUCCUAUGCACCAAAUAGAAACGAUGGUAGUUUUCCCCUAACACUUUCUUUUUGCGGGAAAGUUUUUCUCGAAAUAGGCUCUCACCCCGCUUUAUAUAUAAGAAACAUUUAUAUUUGUACCCUUAACUCGAAUCCAGUACUCAAAUUAACCCCUAAUUUUAAAGCAUGCUCAAAUUUUCCCCUUUGUCGUUAGGUGCCCUUAUAGAAAUGCCCUUCCAUGCCAUUACCGUCUAGUCAAAGGGCUUUGACCAUUUUCUGGGCAUUUGCUGGACGGUCAAAGGCCUUUCACCUAUAAGGGCACCUAACGGUAGAGGCGCAAAUUUGAACACCCUUUGAAAUUAGGGGUAAAUCUGAGUAGUGGGUUCGAGUUAAGGGCCCAAUGUAAAUGUCCCUAGAUAUAAAGCAAUGACCACAAACAACCAUCCACAUACAAAGACAACACCACACACACCUGGGCUGGAUUCUGCAGGAAUGUUUUUGGCUAACACGUCAGGGCCCAAUCCACCGUCGCUCCCAACUCCAUUUGUCCAUCAUCUUUUUUCGCAUAUGAUUCAAACUUUCAAUUCGAAAUUGGCCUUUUGCGGAGAAUUCAAAAUUAUUGAUUCAAUAUCCUCACUUUUUUGGCUAUGCAAAUUGCAGUAUCUUUUCUAAAACCGCAACUCGGCGUCCACAACCUUUUAGGCUCAACUGUUUUUCUGGAAAAAAAAUUAGGCUCAACUCUAAUAUAAACUAUUACUAGCAAAAAUCUGUUGUCACACACUCUAGUGAGCACCGACCUAAAACAACACUCCAAAAAGGAAAUGAAACUAAAACACCGUUGUCACCCGAGCCAAUGGUGGAGGGGCAGCACAACCCAUGAUGAUGCCUCCAAGGAGGGGAACGACACUCGAGAACGACCCAUCACUGGUAUCGACACUGUCGAGAUAUUGCUGAUGGUGGUAUAUAUUGUCGGAAUCACCCUCUACUUUUGGAUCUCGCGAAGAGAAAACAUUUUUUCCAAUUUUCUUCCCUCUCAAUUGUGAAGCGAACAAAGCGGGUUUUGUUGCAGCUACCGCUAUCCUAGGGAAACCUAAAGGACUAACAGAGGAACGUGAUGCAGUCUCUCCCUAGGACAAGGGAGAGGACACUCACGUAACCUUUGGACAAGUUUAUUCGCCUCCUAACACUAGUAGAAAACCGGGCUUUGGUCCAGGCUAGAAAGGCGCAUUCAUCACGGUUCACUCACAAACCGGGACCAAUGGGGGCAUCAGUCCCGGUUCGUGAGGCCAGGGCGCUGGCCGGGCCUCGGGGGCCAUUGGUCCCGGUUCGUCUGGCCCCUUGGGUCCCGGUUCUGGACACGAACCGGGACCAAUAGGCCUCGCUCCUGGCCCACACCCUUUGGUCCCGGUUGGUGGCUGGAACUAGGACCAAAUGUGGUCCUUUAGUCCUGGUUCUAGCCACAAACCUGCACCAAAGGGAAGCCUAUAUAUACCCCCUGCCCGCGAGUAGAGUAGUGCACUGCUCUGUUUUUUGGCCGGCCGUGGGAGAGCUUUGUGGUGCUCUAGCUCACCUCCUAUGCACAUUAGUUGUUUGAUGAAAUGCCCGAGCCACACUUAAGCUUUCUCCUCCCGAAGCUCCUUGCACAAGCUCCAUUUUCAUCAAGAUUUGUCUAGGUUUGGCAGUCCGUCCUGUCCCGUCCCCGUCCUCACCGCCGUCGAUCGCCCCUGCCAAUCUCGUCGCCGGCACCACCGUGGUGAGCCUCUUGUUCUUAUCCUCUUUCUAAAAGAACAAAGUUCUUACUUGCAUGAUUUAGAUAUAUACUUGUUUAAUUUUGUUACUUUUAUUAUUGUUUGUUAUUAUAUAGUGCGAUGGUUUUGGUAUCCGCCUCCGUCGGCCCUCGUCCUAUCUAUGAUUCGGAUGUGGUAAUAUUAUCUUUUAUAACUAUUUGGUUCAUUUAGUGUUUAUGAAAAUUAUGCCGACCAACAUGACAUAGAUGUUUUUAUCUAGGAGGUAUGUGAACCGGAAAUUCCAACCGACCCAAUUGUCGAGAGGUUAAAUUUAGUUGAAGAAGAAAACAAUUACCUGAAGAAAAAAAUGAAAAUAAUUGAGGAGGAGAAGAUGAGAUUGGAGUUGCAUGUUGCGGAUGUCACCGAUGAUCACAAGAUCAAGAUGGAUACAAUGCGCUUGAAGAUUAGAAAGAUUAGAAAAUAUGCCAUUCAUACCGAGGCUUGGUAUCAUUAUGCCGUUGGAUCAAUUGUUACCUUAGUUGCGAUUAUGAUCGCAUUUGUUGUUGCAUUGAAAUGUUUUACAUAGUUUCAAUGUAUGGUUUAAUUAGAUGCUCUAGAGAGCUAUAUAUAUGUUGUUCAAUAAGAACUAUAUAUGUAUGAACUUUAUGUAUUUAUUUUUUCAGUAAUAACAUUUGAUCACUACUAUACUUUGGUUUUAAUGUGAUGAUGAACUUCUAUUAAUUUGGUCACUUCUGUAUUCAUGAUGUUCUGUAAUGGUUUUUGACACACUUAAUUAUAUAUAAUGCACGCAGAUGAACCGGCAAUGGAUGUACGAUAACAGACGCACCUCUGAGUACAUUAAGGGCGUGCAUAAUUUUCUCGAAGUGGCUGAGGCAAACAAGCAGAAUGGUUUUAUGUGUUGUCCAUGCCCUAUAUGUGGGAAUACGAAGUCUUACUCUGACCGGAAAAUCCUUCACACCCACCUGCUUUAUAAGGGUUUCAUGCCACACUAUAAUGUUUGGACCAAGCAUGGAGAAAGAGGGGUUAUGAUGGAAGACAAUGAAGAAGAAGAGGAUGAUGACAACUAUGUGCCCCCUGAAUACGGUGAUGUUGCAACAGGGGAAGCUGAAAAUCAAGAGGAACCAGACGAUGUGCCCGAUGAUGAUCUUCGCCGGGUCAUUGUUGAUUCAAAGAGACAAUGCGAAAGUGAAAAGGAGAAGUUGAAGUUCGAUCGCAUGUUAGAGGAUCACAAAAAAGGGUUGUACCCAAAUUGCGAAGAUGGCAACACAAAGCUCGGUACCACACUGGAAUUGCUGCAGUGGAAGGCAGGCAAUGGUGUAUCUGACAACGGAUUUGAGAAGCUACUGAAAAUAUUGAAGAAGAAGCUUCCAAAUGAUAAUGAAUUGCCCGACAGUACGUACGGAGCAAAGAAGGUUAUAUGCCCUCUAGGAUUGGAGGUGCGGAAGAUAUAUGCAUGCCCUAAUGACUGCAUCCUUAACCGCGGUGCGUAUGAGGAUUUGAACGCAUGCCCGGUAUGUGGUGCAUUGCGGUAUAAGAUCAGACGAGAUGACCCUGGUGAUGUUGAGGGCAAGCGGCCCAGGAAGAGAGUUCCUGCCAAGGUGAUGUGGUAUGCUCCUAUAAUACCACGGUUGAAAUGUCUAUUCAGAAACAAAGAGCAUGCCAAGUUGAUGCGAUGGCACAAAGAGGACCGUAAGAAAGACGGGAAGUUGAGAGCACCCGCUGACGGGUCGCAGUGGAGAAAAAUCGAGAGAAAGUGGGGGGACUUUGCAGGUGACGCAGGGAACGUAUGGUUUGGUUUAAGCGCGGAUGGCAUUAAUCCUUUUGGGGAGCAGAGCAGCAAUCAUAGCACCUGGCCCGUGACUCUAUGUAUCUAUAACCUUCCUCCUUGGUUGUGAAUGAAGCGGAAGUUCAUUAUGAUGCCGGUUCUCAUCCAAGGCCCAAAGCAACCCGGCAAAGACAUUGAUGUGUACCUAAGGCCAUUAGUUAAAGAACUUUUACAGUUGUGGAAUGGAAAAGGUUUACGUGUGUGGGAUGAGCAAGACCAGUAGGAAUUUGACCUACAUGCGUUGCUGUUUGUAACCAUCAAUGAUUGGUCUGCUCUCAGUAACCUUUCAGGAACGACAAACAAGGAUACCACGCACGCACACACUGUUUAGAUCACACCGACAGUAUAUAUCUGGACAAAUGCAGGAAGAAUGUGUACCUGGGGCAUCGUCGAUUUCUUCCGAGCAACCAUCAAUGUCGAAAGAAAGGCAAGCAUUUCAAAGGCGAGGCAGAUCACCGGAAGAAGCCCGCAGUCCGUACUGGUGAUCACAUACUUGCUAUGGUCAAUGAUUUACAACUAAUCUUUGGAAAGGAUCCCGGAGGACUAUCUGUUCCGAACGACACUGUGGGACGCGCACCCAUGUGGAAGAAGAAAUCUAUAUUUUGGGACCUACCCUAUUGGAAAGACCUAGAGGUCCGCUCUGCAAUCGACGUGAUGCACGUGACAAAGAAUCUUUGCAUGAACCUGCUAGGCUUCUUGGCGUGUAUGGGAAGACAAAAGAUACACCGGAGGCACGGGAGGACCAGUAACGUGUGCACGAAAAAGACGGCAUGCCUCCAAAGCAGUAUGAUGGUCCUGCCAGCUAUGCUCUUUCCAAAGAAGAGAAGGAAAUAUUGUUUGAAUGCCUGCUCACUAUGAAGGUACCGUCUGGCUUCUCGUCGAAUAUAAAGGGAAUAAUAAAUAUGUGUGGCACCCUGGCUCAGAGCGACCGGUUUACCCUGCAUUGCCAGCCCAGAGAUCAUGUCUUCUGGCAACACAAAACAUAUUGGUACAGAAAACAACCGCUUUAUUGAUGCUAGCGGAACAGAGUUCAUAUUACAACAGUGGUCGAGGCCAAGCGGCACACUCGGUGCGGCGGAACAAUAUGUACAUUAUUUAGUGAACAUAAAAGGGCCUCGACUCGAACAACUACGUGGCAGCGGAAUAACGUCGUAGCGGAAGCUCCAUAUCACAGGGACACUGAUGUGGACACGAUCUAGACUCGAACAGCGCUCCUUUCCAACGAGACUUUCCUGAAAUCUGGCAUGACACGCCAGGUCAGUACAUUGAAUGUACUUGCAAGCUCACAACAAGCAUAAUCAUAAUGGCAAACAAUAUCAUGAUAUUUAACCAAUAUUUAAUAAUGCAACAUUUUAUGUCAACAUGCUGUGAUCAAGCCCAAACGUCCCUCAGGACAGCUUACCAACUAUGAUCAUCUCUGGACCACAAACACACCACCAUAGUGGUAUUUCUCAAGAACAACUUGUGAUCCUUAAUUACGGCGAUCACAACCACGACCAUCAUUUGGUCCCAAAUACCUCGAUGGCCUUUCUGCCAUCCAUUGACAAUGCAAAGUUCAUAGCUUAGUGUGCAAUUUUUAUCAAACGUUGACUCAUGGUGGGACCUAGUACGAGGUGUUCGUGACCGUGGACUCGGCUAUUGAUAGAUUAUACACUCUGUAGAGGUAGCACACUGUACCCACAACACGGAACCCAUGGCCUCGCAUUUCCAUUCGGGUGGACCAACAGCAUUCCGACAAAACCCCUCCAUUGCCACAGCACUCUCCCGGGCACUCCGACCCAAAUCCCCAACGGGCUGGUCCUAGGUGGCCCCGUGUCUACCAAAGACACCCCGACCACCGUUGUGGUCAAAACACUCCCACUCGGGGACUCGGUACCAUAAUCUCAUCAACGAGCACACAAGAUUAUGUGUGCUUACCGGGCUAGGGCAAGCACGACAUAAUCUUCCCUAGAUGGAGGCACCGACCAGAGGCCGUGUCAAUGGACCGAAUCAAGGCCUCCCACAAGGCAAAUGUGGUUGCACUGGAAAGAAACUCGAUUCAGCGGCACCAUGACCCAGUCAACGGUAUAUUCAAGUUGAAUUAUAUUCAGGAUUAAUCUCUAAACUAAAAAUGACCGGUCUCAUAGCAUGCCAUGAAAUGCAAAACAACACAUGCAUCACAUAUUGAUAAAAAUGACCGACGUCAUCCAUAUGCACACCAAGCAUAAACGUCAAUAACUCAUAUUACUCUACUUGCUCAAAAUGACUCAAAACUUAACCAAAAUAUUUUUGCAACAAGUUCUAUUAAUUUCCUACGCAAGAAAGUAACUUCGAUAAAUCUUUCAUAUGCUUGACCAAAAGAUAUCAAUAUCACCACUCUUAAUUUCUUUAUCACUAAGUUGGGUUCAAACAUUCUGUAAGACAAAUAAUAUGAUUAAACUGGGUUCUAACAGAAUAUUUUCUAACAAAUUUUUAUCAAUUUAUGAAUGCAAACACAAAGCUUUACAUAAUUACUAACAUGCAUACCAAAAUUAUUUCUAACAUCACCUCAAAUAAAUUUUAACUUGCUUUACCCACAUAAACUAGUUUCAACUAUUCUGUAAAUCAAGCAUAACAACUGACCAAUACUUAAUAGAAUACAAAUAAUUCAAUAAUUAUUUAAAUGCAUGGGUUAAUCAUUUCAUUUAAGUGAGAAAAUCACAAAUAUUGAAAUGGCAUCAUAAAAAUGUUGUUGUGGCUUGCCUUAGUACAGAUGAGGUUCACAAGCCUCCUGGUGAUCCUCAAGACAAGCCUCACCUUCUGAAAAUAAUUUUAAUCACAAAAAGAGAAUAUCAAGAACACUUCUGAAAUUCACCAGAAAUUCUAAAAAGCUCAAAAAAAUCUCAUCUUUGGUGAGCUGUUAGAUUACCUUUCAAAGAACACAAUGCAACAAGAAUCAUCUCAUUUGGACUUAUGGUUAAAAAGUUAAAAUUGUUUGAAGCUCUCUGGAAUAUAAAUGAAUUAGAAUAAAAGAAACAGCUGGGGGGGAUGACGUCGAAGGCGUAAAGCCCAGGGGCGCCACCACUCGUACCGCUUCGCGCGUGUACUGAGUGGCUGACUAGCAGGCCCCGCUAGUCAGGUGGGGGAAGAGGGAGAGAGAAACAGAGAGGGCCGUGGCUUCGCCGGAGCUCUCGCCGGCGACAAGGGCUCCUUGGCCCAAAUGAGAGGGAGGGAUGGCAAGAGGAGAUCGAGGCGCACCUGCCCGUACCCGUAGCGUGGCUAGGGGUGGUCGGACGGCGUCGGAAUCUAGCUCGCGAGCGGAGGCAGAACGAGGAGGUCGUCGGAGUUGAGGAAGACGGCGAGCAGAGGCUGCUCCAGAGGCUCCAAGCGGGCGAGAUGGCCACACCGGAGAGAGGCGGAGGCCUUGGAGGGGUCGCCCAGGCCUGGGAGGGGCUGGAGCUACCGCGGCGACCAGAGGGGAUCGCCGGUGUGCUCGAGCUCGGGGACGGCGGCCCGAGGCCUGCCCGGCCGGACUACGGCUUCCUACUCGAUCGUGGGGUGUGUGUGAGUGCUGGAUGGUGAUCGAGGAGGCUGGGGGUGGCUCUAUUUAUAGGCGAGCGGCGAGGGUGCUUCGGGCUCCGCCGGUGGACACCUGUCCACGGCGCCCGGUGACGAGCGGCGUCAGUGAGAGGGGGAGAAGGCGACGGAGGUCACGCGGCUACUGUGGGCGAGCGGAGACGAGCACAGGAUCAAGGGGGUGACGACGAGCACAGUGUGCCCGCACUGUUGGGCUGGCCGGACCUUGCCCGUGCUCGCUGCGGUGAGCUCCGGCGUCGGUGAGUGCCAGGGUGGAGUUAAGGACGUCGAGACGAUGAUGGUGGCGAGGUUUGGCAUGGUUGGGCAGGCGGGGGAAGCAAGCACGCGCGAACAAGCGUUCGGCGGCACCCAGAGCGCGUCGACACGCAUGCCUGGCAUCGUGGACACGCGUGGUCACCGCGCGAAAUCUCUCCUCAAGCCAGCCUUCGUCCAAAAUUCAUGUCUAGCAUGUUGUUUGUGGUAUUUUUGAAGUUCACCAUGGUUUGGUUUGGAUCCAGGUGCAGUAGAGAAGAUUUUACAAGCCAGGUAAGUUUCUGGUCAGUAACUUUGUGAUGUUACUGUGGUCAAAUGGCUAGGAGUUUGGGGCUGUGCUUUGGAGGCUAGUAAUAAGUUACUAAGGUAAAGAUGCACAAGAAAGUUCAGGUCAAAUGGAGCAAGUAAAAUGGUAGUUGCUGUAGAAACCACCAAUUUUGUUCAGAACAGAAAAGAUUUUCUGUAGCAAAAAUAUUCCAAAAAGUGAUGAAAUAUUUUUGCUCAGGGAGGUGCCCUAGGGUCCCUAGAAUAUUUGUGAAUUAUCUUAGAAUUUUCUGAGCCAUAAAAAUUAGGGUUGCCUUGAAGCAAACAGAUCUGGCUUAGGGUUUUUGAGAGAAAAUGAAUAUUUUUCAUUUAAGAAAAAUAUUCCAAAGGUUAUUUUGUGGUGGAUCAGAAGUGAAGUGAUGGUUUGGGAGAGAAGUGAACACUUGGGUGAAAGCCAAGGAUGCCCAAGUGUUUAAGUCCAAAUGAAAAGAUUCAGAAACUCCAAGUUUCAAAAACUUUCAAAUGAAAUAUCAAGCAAAUAAGAAAGGGCAAAAACCAGGUUGUCACAAACCUCCCCCACUUAGAAUGAAUCUCGUCCUCAAGAUUCGGUUGCUUGGGAAAACCACUCUGGAUAUUGACUCUUAAGGAACUCUUCCUGCUCCCAAGUUGCUUCUGACUCGGUGUGAUGCUCCCACUGAACUUUGAAAAAAAUUCUGACUUUGCUGCGAGUGACCCUUUCCACUUGAUCCAAAAUUUUGGAUAGUCUUUCUUCAUAAGUUAAAUCCUUUGCCAAUUCUAUCUCAGCCAUUGCAGUCCUUUUCUCAGGCGGGGAUAUGCAUCGUCUCAAUUGCGAAACAUGGAACACAUUGUGUAUUUCUCACAACUCCGGGGGUAGUUCCAGUUGGUAUGCAACCGUACCCACUCGAGACAUAAUUGGGAAUGGACCAAUGAAUCUGGGUGCCAGGUUUCCACGAGUCUGAAAUCGCUUAACUCCUUUCAUAGGAGUGACUCGGAGGUACACAUGUUCUCCAGGUUCAAAACUGACCUGCCGGUGCUUUGCAUCAUAAUAACUCUUCUGACGGGAUUUGGCCAAUUGCAGUCUGUCUCUGAUUUCUCUGACUUGUUUCUCGGCUUCCAUCAUGAGAUUGGUUCCGAAGAUAUGGCUAUCUCCAGCUUGAGACCAGUUUAGAGGAGUGCGGCACUUACGACCAUAUAGAGCUUCAUAGGGUGACAUCUUUAGACUGGUCUGGAAACUGUUGUUAUACGAGAAUUCGGCGUAUGGCAAGCAAUCUUCCCAGUUCGCCCCGUUGGCUAGCACACAGGCUCGCAACAUAUCUUCGAGUAUUUGAUUUACUCGCUCUGCUGACCGUCCGUCUGGGGGUGAUAAGCAGUACUAUAUUUUAAUGUUGUCCCCAAGGCUUGAUGGAGGCGGGACCAGAAAGCGGAGGUAAACAAAGAACCUCGGUCGGAAGUGAUAGUCCGGGGUACCCCAUGCAGACUGACGAUUCUGGAUACAUACAGUUGCGCUAGUUCAUUUGCUCUGUAUCUGGUGCUGACCGGGAUGAAAUGAGCAACCUUGGUUAGGGUGUCCACUAUAACCCAGAUUGCGUCUUUGCCUCGCUGUGUCCUAGGCAAUCCGGUGAUGAAGUCCAUGCAAACAUCAUCCCAUUUGCAUUGUGAAACUGGCAGUGGUUGGAGAAGUCCGGCUGGCUUCUGAUGCUCUGCUUUCACCUUGUUGCAUAUGUCGCAACAAGCUACAAAAUAGGCAAUGUCUCUCUUCAUCCCAUUCCACCAGAAUAUUUGUUUAAGGUCUUCAUACAUUUUCGUACUUCCCGGAUGAAUGGAAUACGAGGAUUCGUGUGCUUCUGACAAGAUUUUCCUCUUCAAGUCCGGUUGAUUUGGUACACAAAUUCGUCCACGGAAUCGGAGGGUACCGAAGUUGUCCUUGAAGAAAUCUAGGGGCUGCCUUGCAUGUUUUUGUAGCUUGGCGUCAUCUGGCUGGGCCUUGCGGAUUUCCAUCUCAAGUGUGGGGGUAACUCCCAAAAUAUUAGUGAGGCCAGCAUCCACGAUGACCAAGCUGAGCUGAGCGAUCUCCUCCUGAAGUUCGGUAGGGAAUGAUUUUAACAUGACAUUUAAGCUGACAGGCUUUCGACUGAGCACAUCGGCAAUGACGUUGGCCUUUCCUAGAUGGUAAUUUAUUCCAAGGUCAUAAUCCUUGACCAACUCUAACCAUCUUCGCUGACGGAGAUUUAAAUCUGGCUGAGUGAAGAUGUACUUGAGGCUUUUGUGGUCGGUAAAAAUUUGGCACCUUUUUCCAAUGAGAUAGUGUCUCCAAAUCUUUAAUGCAUGAACCACUGCAGCCAAUUCCAAAUCAUGAGUAGGAUAAUUUCCCUCAUGUGGUCGUAGUUGUCGUGAUGCAUAGGCUACUACCUUGCCGUCUUGCAUCAAUACACAACCAAUACCUUGUCUGGAGGCAUCGCAAUACACGUCGAAGCUGCGAUAAAUGUCUGGAGGAGUCAAUACGGGUGCGGUUGUCAGACGCGUCUUUAGCUCAUAAAAACUCUUCUCACAAUCCUUGUUCCACUCAAACUUUGUAUCCUUUUUGAGCAGUUCCGUCAUAGGUUUAGCAAUUUUGGAAAACCCUUCAAUGAAACGAUGAUAGUAUCUAGCUAAUCCAAGGAAACUCCGGAUCUGUGUUACAGUCGUGGGCGGUACCCAAUCGAGCACAUCCUUUACUUUGCUUGGGUCCACGGCUAUGCCUUCGGCGGAUAGUACAUGCCCGAGAAACCCAACUUGCUUGAGCCAAAAUUCGCACUUACUGAACUUGGCGUAUAGCUGAUGGUUGCGGAGCCGUUGUAGCACUGCCCGGAGGUGAUCCUUAUGCUCUUCUUCACUCUUGGAGUAAAUGAGGAUGUCGUUGAUAAAGACUACCACAAAUUUGUCGAGGAAGUCCAUGAACACCUUGUUCAUCAUAUGCAUGAAGAAGGCAGGGGCAUUGGUGAGACCAAAGGACAUCACAGUAUAUUCAUAAAGACCGUAUCGUGUAGUGAAUGCGGUCUUAGGAAUAUCUUCCCUUUUAAUCUUGAGCUGAUAAUACCCGGUCCGUAAAUAGAUUUUUGAGAAUACUUUAGCCCCACUGAGCUGAUCGAACAGAUCAUCAAUCCUUGGCAGUGGGUAUUUAUUUUUGAUGGUGACCUCAUUCAGCUGGCAAUAAUCUAUGCACCUACGGAGACUGCCAUCCUUUUUACUCACGAAGAUUGCAGGUGACCCCCACGGUGAAGAGCUGGGACAAAUAUAACCUUUCCGGAGUAAUUCGUCAAGCUGUUUCUUUAGUUCCACUAAUUCUGAUGAGGGCAUCCGGUAAUACUUCUUGUAUAAUGGUGCGGUUCCGGACACAAGAUCUAUGGCAAAUUCCAGUUCCCGAUCUGGUGGCAUGCCUGGCAGUUCUUCUGGAAACACAUCAGGGUACUCACUGACCACAGGAAUAAAUUCCAAUUUGACCACAGCAGUGCACACUAGUUCUAGCUUGGGUAUAUGCUUGCGAGCAUAGAAUUUGGUGAGCUGCCCAUUCAGAUUGGUUAAAUUGACUUCUCGGGUUGCGCAGUUUAUACAAACUUGAUAUUUGGUCAGCCAAUUCAUUCCCAAUAUAAUAUCCAACUGUUCAGACUCAAUGAUUAUCAGAGAUGUUGGAAAGUGGACCCCAUUGAUAUUGAUCUCCAGAUCACGGCAGACUAGAUUGCUCUUGAUUAUAGAUCCCGGGUUUUGUACCAGCAUAUUUUUGCCCAAAAUUGUGCAAGGAAAAUUGUUUUGGGCGGCAAAACUCCGAGAAAUAAAAGAAUGGGAAGCCCUAGAGUCAAAUAAAUUACUGCAGGUAUGUCAUUAACAGAAAACAUACCAAUGACGACUUCUGGCUUCUCUUGGGAUUCAUCGGCGGAGAUAUGAUUCACGUGCCCAGUGAAGUUUUGCUGGGUUGGCCCUGACUCCAUAAAGUUGACUUGUGGCCUGCUCAGCGCAUUCACUCUGUGGUUCUUGGGGCACUGUUUGGCAUAAUGUCCGGGCUGCCCGCAAGUGAAACAAGAAUUAUUGCACUGCCGCUCCUCAUGCAUUGGAUUGGCCACAGCAUUCUUGACUUGAGUGGUGGUCUUGUUAACAUUCUGCUGCCAAUUUGGCCGGUAUUCCACCUGAGUCUGCUGCCAGGUACGAGCCUUUUGCAUAGGUUGCCCAUCCUUCUUUGGCUCAAACUUGCGCUUGUUGUCGUUAACAGGCCUAUUAUCUGAUAUAAGCUUGUGUUCCCGUUCAGCAAUGAAUGCCUUGUCUACCAGAGUUUGGAAAUCCGUGAAAUCAAACAUACUGAGAGCACACCGAAGUUGCGGAUUUAAACCUCCAAGAAAUCUGUCCAUCUUCCUUUCUUCGGUGGCUACGUCAUACAUAGAGUAACGGGCCAGAUGAUUGAAUUUUUGCAAAUACUCAGCCACAGAUUGAUUUCCUUUGACAAGCGCGAGAAAUUCACGCUGCUUGGCCUUCAUAACUCCAGUAGGGAUGUGAUAUUUGCGGAACUUAUCCUUGAAUUUUUCCCAGGUGACUUCCUCAUCAAUCGGCCACAUGGCUUUUGUAUUUUCCCACCAUAUGGCAGCUGCGCCUUCAAGGUAAUGGGUUGCAAAUGGGACUUUAUCAUUUCCUUCAGUACGGACGAUCUCAAGCUUUUUCUCCAUGGUGCGCAACCAAUCGUCUGCAUCCAAUGGGUCAACAACCUGAUUAAAAUUGGGUGGAUUGGUCCUCUGAAAAUCUGACAGCUUUGAGUGAUGACCAUUCUGAUUUCCAUUUUGUCCAACUAUAGCUUGCACACUUCUCAAUAUUUCAAUCAGAUCAUUGUUCCUUUUUUCUUCAAACAUACGCGGAACUUGCUCGGUGGAGGGAGGAUCAGGCGGAGGAGGUGGUGGCUGAACGUACGGCUCGGGAGAAUAUCCUGCCUGUCGUGCGGAACGACGAACAGGAGUUCCCUCACGAACAUUGCUACUGCCGCCUCCCCGCGUCAUCCUAUUGAGUAUUUUCCCAAGGCAACGAAAUCGAGAUGAGGGACAUCCAAGAAUAAAAUUGGGGUAAAGCCAGCAACAAUUCUCGAAAAAAAACAAAAGAGCGAAGAGAAUACGGCGAUUAAAGUCCCAUCAUAAUUAUACAUAGACUCAUACAUGAAAAUUUAACAUCCUGACUGGUUCCACUACUCUCAUACAUGAAGCAUCAUGACUCGUACAACUACAUCCGUACACCAUCUAGACGACUUCGAAUACUCAAAGACACUACUGCUCUGUUGGUGCUGCGGUGUCCUCCCCUGAAGCGGUCACAGAUCCCGAACUGACGUGGUUAACGGAAACCUCCGGGUUAAAGGUAACACGACGACGCUACCUCGAGGGCUCUCCCUCAGGGACAGGGGUAGGAUGAAGCAUCGGGACUGCAGGAGUAGCAAGAGGUGAGACCCACUCGGCAGGAGUACUGAGAGGGUUCACGGCCGGAACGCCUGUGCUACUCGGGGGAGUAACUGGCGAAAUAGGGGAGCUAGAGAUAACUGGGACAUAAGGGGUAAAUCCCAGUGAGGAUGGAGUAAUGGUGGAUCUAGUAGUGAUCAAGGUAGCGGCUAAAGCAGUACGGGCACGAGUCAGCUCUCGAGCCAGCUCGUGGAUCAUCAGAUAGCUAGCAAUGAUAUAGCGAGCAAGAUGGCUAGCAACACUAUCAGACUCCGGGUUAACGAGAGGAAACGGACACGACCGUUGUCGUGCAGAGAUGGGUAGCAGUAGAAUCCUGGGUGAUGCUGCAUUUGAACCUCGGUAUAACGAAGCUCGACAAGGAUCUCAAAUGCGGCAAAUUGGACAGCCUGAGAAGCGGUGGAGGCGUAACCGCUCCGAGAAGUGCGAGUGUAAGAGCCGGAAUCGGAACUGGUGCGCAGAGUAACCACUGCGUGAUACUCAUACACUGAGUCUGCUAGACGCUCCCGGUACACACGGUAGACUAGUUCGUCUCCGUGAGGGUACAGCCGACGCCACACGUUGCGGAGAAGGUGCGGUGACGAUUACGGCAUCAACUGCAACUGGCACGGAUACGGCACCGGAGCCAUCUACACUCACAACCAUUAACAGGUUAGCAUAAAAAUAAUAAUCAAAUGACUACAAUGCAACAACCAGCUAUAACUGCUAUUGACACUCACAUUUACUUGUGUCUAGCGUCCAGUUAACACGUCGAAGUCUAGCGUGGCCUACAGUUAGCGCGGCUCUGGUACCAACCAUUGUGGCACCCCGGCUCAGAGCGACUGUUUUACCCUGCAUUGCCAGCCCAGAGAUCAUGUCUUCUGGCAACACACAACAUAUUGGUACAGAAAACAACCGCUUUAUUGAUGCUAGCAGAACAGAGUUCAUAUUACAACAGUGGUCGAGGCCAAGCGGCACACUCGGUGUGGCGGAACAAUAUGUACAUUAUUUAGUGAACAUAAAAGGGCCUCGACUCGAAUAACUACGUGGCAGCGGAAUAACGUCGUAGCGGAAGCUCCAUAUCACAGGGACACUGAUGUGGACACGAUCUAGACUCGAACAGCGCUCCUUUCCAACGAGACUUUCCUGAAAUCUGGCAUGACACGCCAAGUCAGUACAUUGAAUGUACUUGCAAGCUCACAACAAGCAUAAUCAUAAUGACAAACAAUAUCAUGAUAUUUAACCAAUAUUUAAUAAUGCAACAUUUUAUGUCAACAUGCUGUGAUCAAGCCCGAACAUCCCUCAGGACAGCUUACCAACUGUGAUCAUCUCUGGACAACAAACACACCACCAUAGUGGUCUUUCUCAAGAACAACUCGUGAUCCUUACGGCGAUCACAACCACGACCAUCAUUUGGUCCCAAAUACCUCGAUGGCCUUUCUGCCAUCCAUUGACAAUGCAAAGUUCAUAGCUUAGUGUGCAAUUUUUAUUAAACGUUGACUCAUGGUGGGACCUAGUAAGAGGUGUCCGUGACCGUGGACUCGGCUAUCGAUAGAUUAUACACUCUGCAGAGGUAGCACAUUGUACCCACACCACGGAACCCAUGGCCUCGCAUUUCCAUUCGGGUGGACCAACGGCAUUCCGACAAAACCCCUCCAUUGCCACAGCACUCUCCCGGCCACUCCGACCCAAAUCCCCAACGGGCUGGUCCUAGGUGGCCCCGUGUCUACCAAAGACACCCCAACCACCGUCGUGGUCAAAACACUCCCACUCGGGGACUCGGUACCAUAAUCUCAUCAACGAGCACACAAGAUUAUGUGUGCUUACCGGGCCAGGGCAAGCACGACAUAAUCUUCCCUAGAUGGAGGCACCGACCAGAGGCCGUGCGAAUGGACCGAAUCAAGGCCUCCCACAAGGCAAAUGUGGUUGCACUGGAAAGAAACUCGAUUCAGCGGCACCAUGACCCAGUCAACAGUAUAUUCAAGUUGAACUAUAUUUAGGAUUAAUCUUUAAACUAAAAAUGACCGGUGUCAUAGCGUGCCACGAAAUGCAAAACAACACAUGCAUCACAUAUUGAUAAAAAUGACCGACGUCAUCCAUAUGCACACCAAGCAUAAACGUCAACAACUCAUAUUACUCUACUUGCUCAAAAUGACUCACAACUUAACCAAAAUAUUUUUGCAACAAGUUCUAUUAAUUUCCUACGCAAGAAAGUAACUCCGAUAAAUCUUUCAUAUGCUUGACCAAAAGAUAUCAAUAUCACCACUCUUAAUUUCUUUAUCACUAAGUUGGGUUCAAACAUUCUGUAAGACAAAUAAUAUGAUUAAACAAGUAUUUAACAGAAUAUUUUCUAACAAAGUUUUAUCAAUUUAUGAAUGCAAACACAAAGCUUUACAUAAUUACUAACAUGCAUACCAAAAUUAUUUCUAACAUCACCUCAAAUAAAUUUUAACUUGCUUUACCCACAUAAACUAGUUUCAACUAUUCUGUAAAUCAAGCAUAACAACUGACCAAUACUUAACAGAAUACAAAUAAUUCAAUAAUUAUUUAAAUGCAUGGGUUAAUCAUUUCAUUUAAGUGAGAAAAUCACAAAUAUUGAAAUGGCAUCAUAAAAAUGUUGUUGUGGCUUGCCUUAGUACAGAUGAGGUUCACAAGCCUCCUGGUGAUCCUCAAGACAAGCCUCACCUUCUGAAAAUAAUUUUAAUCACAAAAAGAGAAUAUCAAGAACACUUCUGAAAUUCACCAGAAAUUCUAAAUAGCUCAGAAAAAUCUCAUCUUUGGUGAGCUGUUAGAUUUCCUUUCAAAGAACACAAUGCAACAAGAAUCAUCUCAUUUGGACUUAUGGUUAAAAAGUUAAAAUUGUUUGAAGCUCUCUGGAAUAUAAAUGAAUUAGAAUAAAAGAAACAACUGGGGGGUGACGUCGAAGGCGUAAAGCCCAGGGGCGCCACCACUCGAACCGCUUCGCGCGUGUACUGAGUGGCUGAGUAGCGGGCCCCUCUAGUCAGGUGGGGGAAGAGGGAGAGAGAAACAGAGAGGGUCGUGGCUUCGCCGGAGCUCUCGCCGGCGACGAGGGCUCCUUGGCCCAAACGAGAGGGAGGGAUGGCAAGAGGAGGUCGAGGCGCACCUGCCCGUACCCGUAGCAUGGCUAGGGGUGGUAGGACGGCGUCGGAAUCUAGCUCGCGAGCGGAGGCAGAACGAGGAGGUCGUCGGAGUUGAGGAAGACGGCGAGCAAAGGCCGCUCCAGAGGCUCCAAGCGGGCGAGAUGGCCUCACCGGAGAGAGGCGGAGGCCUUGGAGGGGUCGCCCAGGCCUGGGAGGGGCUGGAGCUACCGCGGCGACCAGAGGGGAUCGCCGGCGUGCUCGAGCUCGGGGACGGCGGCCCGAGGCCUGCCCGGCCGGGCUACGGCUUCCUACUCGGUCGUGGGGUGUGUGUGAGUGUUGGAUGGUGCUCGAGGAGGCUGGGGUGGCUCUAUUUAUAGGCGAGCGGCGAGGGUGCUUCGGGCUCCGCCGGUGGACACCUGUCCACGGUGCCCGGCGACGAGCGGCGUCAGUGAGAGGGGGAGAAGGCGACGGAGGUCACGCGGCCACUGUGGCGAGCGGAGACGAGCACAGGAUCAAGGGGGGUGACGACGAGCACGGUGCGCCCGCACUGUUGGGCUGGCUGGACCUUGCCCGUGCUCGCUGUGGCGAGCUCCGGCGUCGGCUAGUGCCAGGGUGGAGUUAAGGACGUCGAGACGAUGAUGGUGGCGAGGUUUGGCAUGGUUGGGCAGGCGGGGGAAGCAAGCACGCGCGAACAGAGCGUUCGGCGGCACCCAGAGCGCGUCGACACGCAUGCCUGGCAUCGUGGACACGCAUGGUCACCGCGCGAACUCUCUCCUCAAGCCAGCCUUCGUCCAAAAUUCAUGCCUGGCAUGUUGUUCGUGGUAGUUUUGAAGUUCACCACGGUUUGGUUUGGAUCCAGGUGUAGUAGAGAAGAUUUUACAAGCCAGGUAAGUUUCUGGUUGGUAACUUUGUGAUGUUACUGUGGUCAAAUGGCUGGGAGUUUGGGGCUAUGCUUUGGAGGCUAGUAAUAAGUUACUAAGGUAAAGAUGCACAAGAAAGUUCAGGUCAAAUGGAGCAAGUAAAAUGGUAGUUGCUAUAGAAACCACCAUUUCUGUCCGGAACAGAAAAGAUUUUCUGUAGCAAAAAUAUUCCAAAAAGUGAUGAAAUAUUUUUGCUCAGGGAGGUGCCCUAGGGUCCCUAGAAUAUUUGUGAAUUAUCUUAGAAUUUUCUAAGCCAUAAAAGUUAGGGUUUACUUGAAGCAAACAGAUCUGGCUUAGGGUUUUUGAGAGAAAAAGAAUAUUUUUCAUUUAAGAAAAAUAUUCCAAAGGUUAUUUUGUGGUGGAUCAGAAGUGAAGUGAUGGUUUGGGAGAGAAGUGAAUACUUGGGUGAAAGCCAAGGAUGCCCAAGUGUUUAAGUCCAAAUGAAAAGAUUCAGAAACUCCAAGUUUCAAAAACUUUCAAAUGAAAUAUCAAGCAAAUAAGAAAGGGCAAAAACCAGGCUAUCACAAUAUGGCAGAGAAAAAGUUCCAGAACCUAAAGUCUCAUGACUGCCACAUGAUUAUGACGCAACUGCUUCCGGCUGCAUUGAGGGGGCUUCUACCGGAAAACGUUCGAUUAGCCAUUGUGAAGCUAUGUGCAUUCCUCAAUGCAAUCUCUCAGAAGGUGAUCGAUCCAGAAAUCCUUCCAAGGUUAAGGAGUGAUCUGGCGCAAUGUCUUGUCAGUUCAAGCUGGUGUUCCCACCAUCCUUCUUCAAUAUCAUGACGCUCGUCCUAGUUCAUCUAGUCGACGAGAUUCUCGUUUUGGGCCCUGUAUUUCUGCACAAUAUAUUCCCCUUUGAGAGGUUCAUGGGAGUCUUAAAGAAAUAUGUUCGUAACCGCGCUAGGCCAGAAGGAAGCAUCUCCACGGGCCAUCAAACAGAGGAGGUCAUCCGUUUUUGUGUUGACUUCAUUCCUGACCUUAAGAAGAUUGGUCUCCCUCAAUCGCAGUAUGAGGGGAGACUGACUGGAAAAGGCACGCUAGGAGCGGACUCAAUAAUAUGUAGGGACGGGCAUUCUUGGCCUCAAGCACACUACACAGUUUUACAAAAUUCUACCUUGUUGACCCCAUAUGUCAAUGAACACAAGAAUAUUCUGCGCUCCAAACACUCGGAGCAGUGUGACGACUGGAUUACAUGUGAACACAUCAGGACUUUCGACAGUUGGUUGCAAACACGUCUCAUGGGUGACAACACUGUUUCUGAUGAGCUGUACUUGUUGGCCAGGGGACCAUCUUCGACUGUAUUGACUUACAGAGGGUAUGAGAUAAAUGGGAAUACAUUUUACACGAUCACCCAAGAUCAAAAGAGCACCAACCAAAACAGUGGUGUCUGCUUUGAUGCAGCAACCAAGAGGGGAAAGGACACAUAUUAUGGUUACAUAGUGGACAUAUGGGAACUUGACUAUGGACAUGAUUUUACGGUCCCUUUGUUUCAGUGCAAAUGGGUCAAUCUGUCAGGAGGCGGGGUACAGGUAGACCCACAGUACGGAAUGGCAACAGUGGAUCUGAAUAAUCUUGGGUACAUAGACGAACCAUUCGUCCUAGCCAAUGAUGUGGCACAUGUUUUCUAUGUGAAGGACAUGUCUACCAAACCGAGAAAAAGAAAAGAUAAGGAAGCGAAUACAUCAUACGAUGAGCCAAAUCACCACAUAGUUCUUUCAGGAAAAAGAGACAUCGUGGGAGUGGAGGGCAAGACAGCCAUGUGUGAAGAUUAUGAAAAGUUUCAUGAAAUUCCUCCCUUCAAAGUCAAGGCUGACCCAAGCAACCUGUUAAAAGGUGAAGAUUACCCAUGGUUACAGCGCAAUAAGCAAAGGACACAAGCGAAGAAAAAGUGAAGACUAUCACUGUAGUUACAUGUGAAGAAAUGAAAUGCCUUUUGUAACAGAUGAGUUUCCAUAUGAAACAUUGAUACUUCGAAAGAGAUUGUCCAUUUUGUACACGAAGUGCAUCCAGUUUUUGCCGUAACACUCUCAACUUUUUAAAACAUGCUAUGUGGGUGAAAUGAUGAUACCAUGCCAACUUUCAACCUUUUCAGGGUUCAUUUCAAGUGCUUUUCAAUUUCAGGGUCAUUUAGCUCAAAACAAUCAGUAAAUUCAUAAAAAAUACCAAAUUAAGUCAGAAAGGGUUGAAAAUUGAUGAUGUGGCUUUGAAUGGUGCAUUUUGAACACACAAAGAGUCUGGAGUUCAAAUAAGUUCAAAAAAUGAAAUCCCUUUGUAACAGAUGAGUUUUCGUCCGAAACCCUGAUACUUCGAAAGAGAUUGUCCAUUUUGUACAUGAAGCGCAUCCAGUUUUUGCAGUAACCCUCUCAACUUUUUAGAACAUGCUAUGUGGGUGAAAUGAUGAUACCAUGCCAAGUUUCAACUUUUCAGAGUUCAUUUGAAGUCCUUUUCAACUUCAAGGUCAUUUAGCUAAAAAAAUUAGUAAAUGCACGAAAAAUACCAAAUGAAGUCAAAAAGGGUUGAAAAUUGAUGAUGUGGCUUUGAAUGGUGCAUUUUGAACACACAAAAACUCUGUAGUUCAAAUAAGUUCAAAAAAUGAAAUCCCUUUGUAACAGGUGAGUUUUCGUCCGAAAGCCUGAUACUUCGAAAGAGAUUGUCCAUUUUGUACACGAAGUGCAUCCAGUUUUUGCCGUAACCCUCUCAACUUUUUAGAACAUGCUAUGUGGUGAAACGAUGAUACCAUGCCAACUUUCAACCUUUUAAGAGUUCAUAUGAAGUGCUUUUCAAUUUCAGGGUCAUUUAGCUCAAAAAAUCAGUAAAUGCAUGAAAAAUACCAAAUGAAGUCGGAAAGGGUUGAAAAUUGAUGAUGUGGCUUUAAUGGUGCAUUUUGAACACACAAAAAGUCUGGAGUUCAAAUAAGUUCAAAAAAAUGAAAUCCCUUUGUAACAGAUGAGUUAUCGUCCGAAACCCUGAUACUUCGAAAGAGAUUGUCCAUUUUGUACAUGAAGUGCAUACAGUUUUUGCCGUAACCCUCUCAACUUUUUAGAACAUGCUAUGUGGGUGAAAUGAUGAUACCAUGCCAACUUUCAACAUUUUCAAAGUUCAUUUGAAGGGCUUUUCAAUUUCAGGGUCAUUUAGCUCAAAGAAUGUGCUGCAGUCCGGCUCGCUCCGACCUUCAGCGAUCCUCAUCUUCGGGGAAUUCGCUGGAUCCCAAGGUGAUGGAUAGUGGGUCCCUUCCGGCGGCCUCUUCUCCCAAGGCCAUGGACGACGCGGAGGUGUUAUCCCGAAGGACCUCCCCAGGCCAGGGAGAGAAGCAGGAGGUCGUCGGGAUGGCGCCAGAGGGUGAUACCUCGGGGGCCGGACACGUGGGGGAGCAAAUCCCCAUGGAGACUGGCGAUGGGGGCCAUAUCCAAUUCGGCCCCCAGCCGAAUACAAUUCCGGAGGCCUAUAUGGCUCCGGAAUCAGACGAGCAGCCUCCUUCGAAAGAAGGAGGUGCACCGAUUCCACUGGCGACCUCUGUCCAUCUAGAGGCACCGGAUACUCUACUGGAAGCGCUGUGAAGCGCUUCCAUUGUGGAGGAACACCGUACCCUCAUGGGCACGGUGGUUGGGAGGAUUCAGUCCGUGAAAAGCGAACUGACCGAAGCCUGCACCAGCCUUCUAACAGGCUUUGAGGUAUGAAACGCAAUUUAUGUAAAAGGAAUGUCAUAGUAUAGACAGUAGCCCCUGAUACACUGUCCGGUGAUCGAAAAGAAAAGCCGGACAGAGGAUCAAAUAAUAUUCGCAGGAGACAAACCAUACAUGUCUAUGUGAACAAGCAGGCGUCUUUGCUGGCUGCGACCUCUCAUUCUGCCGAAGUCUCCAGACUAAAGCAGAGUCUGGAGCGGACCAAGAAAGAGCCCGGCAGUGUGAAAAAACAGUUGGAGGACCAUCAAGGUAUGCAAUGACCUUGCGUAGAUUCAGAAAGGAUGAAUUGUUUGUAUUGACCAUAGUGCCAUGAUAUUUUAUAGGAGCGGCGACCGAGGUGGAGACCCUCAAGAAGGCGCUGGCCGAAGCCCAGGAGAGAGCAACAAAGGAACAAGCCGCUCGCGAGAAACACGAGGCCAGGGUUGGUGAGGUCCAGCAGGAGCUCCAGGACGCCGUGAAGAAAUGCGGGUCCUUGGAGUGCAAUAUUGCGGAUCAAGAGACCGAACUUGCCAAGGCCCGCCAAAGCACACACAAUGCCGGGGUUGAAGCCCAGGGCGCCUUCCAGGAGAUCUAGGAGGCCAGAAAAAUCGCGGCGGGUAAGGCCUUUAUUAUGCAGAGCAAGUAUGUGAAGAAAGGUUCCUCUUACUGACCGGAUUUAGAGUUCUCCAGGGGCAUUUGCGGAUCUGCCGCGCAGUGUUGCCGACGCUACGGAAUUCUUCCGAGUCGAAGAGGGGAGCUCAACGGAGAAGCUAUUCUGGUCGCAAUACCUUGCACCAGAGCAUCUGGUGCCCUCUAGCGAUCAGCUGAAACAGCUGACCAAACUGCACAGGGUAGCCGAACUAGCCAUGAAGGAUUUAAUAAUCCGUUUGUGGCCUGCCGAAGCCAUACCCAGCAGCUACUUCGGGCUCAUGAAGCGGCUGGUCAAUACCUGCCCUCGGCUUGAUGCCAUCAAGCGGUCGGUCUGCAUCGAAGGUGCGUGGAUGGCCUUCGCCCGUGUCAAGAUGCAGUGAGCGAAGAUGGACGCCGUCAAGCUCGCGACCGAGGGACUGCCCGCGGGCAAGGAGCACCGCACGCCCGAGCGGUAUUUUGAUUAUGUCCUCAAGGGAUCCCGCAUUGUAGAGGGCUAGUGCUCCAAAGACAUUAUCUUUGAAUGAAGUCAUUCAUGUUAUCCCUUCCUGUAUUAUGGAACAAAGCCGUUGUGUAAUAUAAUGUUUGUUGUUUGAAAAGUUUACCUCCUGUGCGGCCGCUUUAUUAAAUCUGAGAGUUGGCCAGUCGUCGGCUUCAGCCCCCACGUAGGUAGUACGGGGGUGUUCGGGAUGAAUCUAAACACUCUUGAUCCAAGAGUUUGGUCCUUGAAGGAGGUGUUUAGCGCAACGAACCAGGCAAUCGGACUAUGUGGCUUUAUCACCCUCACUUAGCCAUAGGAGUUUGACAAUAGAAAUGUAGGCGCGGCCCCUAGUUAGUUUUUAAUCCGGACUAGGGCGCUGUAGACACCUGAUCGGGUAGAGACCAAUUCAUCGCAUAAUGCAGAAAAAAUCGCAAAAGAUUUGUAACCUCUGAACAGCUGACCGGCUCACGUCGCGUCAUGACAGUCAGUUUUCUGCUUUCUCUACUGAGGUGCUCAUCCGGAUAAACCAGGACACAAUCACAGUAGUUCUCCCUUUACUACCCUAGCCGAUAUAGCGGAACAUAAGGUAGUAAGCACAGGAGCCGGGCAACCCAACUAUUGACCAAAGACAUGAUUCGGAGCCGAUGCAUAUAAUGCUAAAAUUGACGGAGGCCGAAUUGCUAGUCUGACUCCUGACGAGCUGGACUGUCCCGCUGCAGAGUAGUCCGGACUCGUUUGACAGUGUCCGGGAGCUUGGCCGCCGAAUUAAAGUUCUGCUUGAUAAGGCCGCUCUAUACUUCUGCUGCUAGGGCCGCGGUGUGCUCCUCAGUAUGGAGGGAGCGUUCCAUGUUUCCAUUGACUGUUAUAACACCGCAUGGUCUGGGCAUCUUGAGUUUGAGAUAAGCAUAGUGUGGUACCGCAUUGAAUCGAGCAAAUGCGGUUCGUCCGAGCAGUGCAUGAUAAUCGUUGCGGAAGGGGACGAUAGCGAAGAUCAAGUCCUCACUUCGGAAGUUGUCCGGAGAUCCGAAGACGACUUCCAAUGUGAUUGAGCCCGUGUAGCGGGCUUCUACACCUGGUAUUACUCUUUUAAAGGUAGUUUUUGUGGGCUUGAUCCUUGAUGGAACAAUGCCCAUUUUGCGCACUGUAUCCUGAUAGAGCAGGUUGAGGCUGCUGCCACCGUCCAUGAGGACUCGCGUGAGGUGGAAUCCAUCAAUGAUUGGGUCAAGGACCAGUGCGGCUGAACCGCCAUGACGGAUACUGGUCAGAUGGUCCCUGCGAUCAAAGGUGAUCGGGCAGGACGACCAUGGGUUGAAUUUUGGGGCGACUGGCUCUAUCGCAUAGACGUCCCUGAGCGCAUGUUUGCGCUCCCUCUUGGGGAUAUGGGUGACGUAUAUCAUGUUCACCGUUUUAACCUGGGGGGAAACUGCUUCUGUCCCCCUGUGUUUGGUGAACGGGGCUCCUCUUCAUCGUCCUCACUUUGCGACCCCUUCUCCUUGUUCUCGGCAUUUAACUUGCCGGCAUGUUUAAAGACCCAAAAACUCCGGUGGGUAUGAUUGGCUGGUUUAUCAGGGGUGCCGUGGAUCUGACAUGGACGAUCGAGUAUGCGGUCCAAGCUGGAAGAGCCCGGAUUGUUCCUUUUGUAUGGCUUCUUCCGCUGACCGGACUUGGAGCCACUGAAUCCGGCGUUAACCGCCGUGUCAUCUGUAUUGUCACCAUUGUUUCGACGCUUAUGCCUGUUGCGCUGGGGCUUGCCGUUGCUAUUCUUGGCUUCAUAGGUGCCAGGUUCACUUGCAUUAUUAUUGCUACAGGCUAGCCAACUAUCUUGAGUGCCGUGAGGGCUGCCAUGGACUUCGGCUUUUCCUGGCAGAGGUGUCGGGCUAGCCAUUCGUCGUGGAUGCUGUGCUUAAAGGCCGCUAGGGCUUCGGCAUCCGGACAGUCGACGAUCUGGUUCUUUUUAGUUAAGAACCGAGUCCAGAAUUUCCUGGCUGACUCUCCGGGCUGUUGGACUAUGUGACUUAAGUCAUCGGCAUCCGGAGGUCGGGCGUAUGUACCUUGGAAGUUGUCGCGGAAGGCGUCUUCCAGGUCCUCCCAGCUGCCAAUGGAGUUUUCAGGCAGGCUGUUCAACCAGUGUCGAGCUGGUCCCUUGAGUUUUAGUGGGAGGUAUUUGAUGGCAUGAAGAUCAUCACCGCGGGCCAUAUGAAUAUGGAGAAGAAAAUCCUCAAUCCAUACCGCAGGGUCUGUUGUCCCAUCAUAUGAUUCGAUGUUCACAGGUUUAAACCCUUCUGGGAAUUCGUGCUCCAUUACUUCAUUAGUGAAGCAAAGGGGGUGUGCGGGGCCUCUAUAUCGGGCCAAGUCGCGACGUAGCUCGGAUGGAGUCCGUCUGCGGUUUUCAGCCCGGGCGUGAUUAUGCUUGUCUCGUCUGGCUAGAUAGUCGUCGUCGUGCGUCGGGGCACGCCCCCGCGAUCCGUAGAUCAAUCUGGUCUGACCUGCUCUAUUGUCCAGGUCCUGCCGCAGAUCAUAUGUAUAUCCCCGAGAUGAUACAUCUCUACCUUUACAGCGAGGUAGUAUGGGCUGGUUUUCGGCUUGAGUUGUCGUUUUGUCCCGGCCACGAGGUGGUCGGUCAGCCGCAUUACAUGCUGAUGGUACGGGCUUGAUGGCCUCGUCGUCAAAUUGGGGCAGCAGUUUGCGCUUCGGGUAACUUUUGGUUGGGCGCUCGAGGCCGUAUUCCUCGGCUGCCAGGACAUUAGUCCACCUAUCGUUGAGCAGAUCUUGAUCAACUUGAAGUUGCUGCUGUUUCUUUUUCAGGCUCCUUUGCAGUGGCAACUAGCCGGCGCUUAAAGCGCUCCUACUCGAGAGGUUCCUUAGGCACGAUAAAAUCCUCGUUGCCGAGGCUCACCUCAUCCUCGGAGAGAGGAAGAUAAUUGUUGUCCUCCGAGUCUUCGUUUUCAGCCUGUUCAUCGGGGCUAACUUGCCCAUCUUCCUGGUCGUCCUGUUCAGAGAUCGGCUCGACGGGUUCUUCUUUGUCUUCGGCACCGCCUGGAGUGUUGUUGCCUCCUGUGCCGGUAUUGCUGUCUUUUCCACGGCGUGAUUUAGAGCGGCGGCUGGCGUCGGUGCUUUGGCUGUGUCUCAGGAGGUUUAUCCUCGACUAGAUCUUCUUUAUCAUCGCCGCUACCCUCUUUGGGUGCGUCCACCAUGUACACGUCAUACGAAGAGGUGGUUGUCCAGCGUCCGGUGAACGGCGGGUUUUCGGCCUGCUCCUCCCCGGCAUCGUGGUCCAUACCAUCAAUGUCUUCGGAGCCGUAGUUGAGCAUGUCAGUUAAGUCCUCGACGGUGGCUAUGGAGUGGGUGCUGGGUGGGACGUAAAAUUCCCUGCUCCCAGCCCCUAGUCCGGGCUGGGCGUAGUUCGGAUGUUGCUCCUCUAUAAUGACGAGAGAUCGCAUCAAGUCCAGAGCCAUUCUUAAAGGCGAGGUUUGGCCCGGGAGAAGAAAAUCCGUGGAGCAUGGCGGGAAGGAAACUCCUUGGCCGAGCUCACACGAUGCUGACUCCGAGAGUUCGGAGACAGUGUCCAGAGGAGAGUCCGGCUUCAUGAUGGUUGCCAGCGACACUACUUCCUCCGGUCCUCCCGUACUGGGUUUAGUGGCCGCAGAUAGUCCGGCGGGCUUAGUAAUCUCGUCUUUGGACAUGGCGACGCGCUCCGGAUCUAAAGCCAGAGCGGAGGUUGGGGUCGUGAACCCUUGGAAGAUCAAGUCUCCUAGGAUAUCAGCGACAUGAUCCAGAUUUCCAAAACUAAUCUGGUGACCUGGGGCGUAGCUGUCGAUCUACUCUAGAUGGCCAAGCGAGUUGGCCCGCAGUGCGAAGCCGCUGAAUACGAAGAGCUGGCCGGGGAGAAAUCCUCCCGCAGGACAGCGUUGUUGUAGAUGACUGAUGAAUCCAUCGAACCUUCUGAUGAUGACGCAGCGGAACUCUCAAUGGAAGCACCAAUGUCAGUGUCAAAACCGGCGAAUCUCGGGUAGGGGGUCCCGAACUGUGCGUCUAAGGUCGAUGGUAACAGGAGACGGGGGACACGAUCUUUACCCAGGUUCGGGCCCUCUUGAUGGAGGUAAUACCCUACUUCCUGCUUGAUUGAUCUUGAUGAAUAUGAGAAUUACAAGAGUUGAUCUACCACGAGAUCGUAAUGGCUAAACCCUAGAUCUCUAGCCGGUAUGAUUAUGAUUGCCUCUACGGACUAAACCCUCCGGUUUAUAUAGACACCGGAGGGGGCUAGGGUUGUACAAAGUCGGUUUACAAAGGAAGGAAUCUACAUAUCCGAACGACAAGCUUGCCAUCCAUGCAAAGGAGAGUCCCAUCUGGACACGGGAAGAAGUCUUCUGUCUUGUAUCUUCAUAGCCCAUUAGUCUGUCCCAUGUUACACAGCCCGGACGUCUGAGGACCCCUUAAUCCAGGACUCCCUCAGCUACCUCAAAGCCCGGCCGUUGUGGGACAAAGCUGAGAAUGACCUGCUUGAUAAAGGGGUCGAACCAGCAUCAUUGAACUGGCCAGACCGUUCAAUGACUUGGUUCUUCGGGGUUGGGGGAACUUUGGACCCUGAAACAGGGGAGUGCCGUUGGACGGACGAGCAACUUGCAAUACCCAUCAAGAAGCUUCAGAAGUAUAUCACCGCAGCGCAGAAAGGGACGUUCAUUCCUGACAAAGAGAAGGACGAGCUGACUGAGGCCCUCGGGAAUCCUGAGCACCCUGGACGAACACGAGGCACACCAGGCUCCAUUCCGUGGGUGGUUGGGUUUCCCAGCGUAGGCGGUUACAGAAGCCGGGAGAGGAAGAGGAAAGCGGAGCUGAGCAAAAUGCAGAAGCUUAAUGCAAGACUACUAAAGCUAGAGGAACUUGAGAGCCAACGAGCUACCGGCCAACCAUCUCAGCAGCACGAAGCUACCGCAGAAGCUACCCCGCCAUCUCAGCGGAGAAGCAGCGUGGCUUCCAGGGAGCUCGUUCAGCCUGACUUCGCGGCUCCUAGCUACCCCGUGGAUACUAUCACGGAGGCUCAACAUUGCCAGCUUAUAAUGAAAUGGCAGAACCUCACUUUGAAGGCGGCUGUCGGCUUUGUUGCACCUCCUCAACCUGACAGAACUUUUCACUGUCGUUCGAUUCCACAUGGCUAUGCUGUUGUGACGGUGGAUGAAGUAAUGGAGGGAUUUGAGGAGCUCGAGCUUGACCACCCUACAGGUGAAGGGGAUAAUCAGCUGGUUUAUGCUUUGAGGAGUACAUGCUAUGGCGGAAGGAGUACAUCAAGCUUCCAAACUAGACGCCUCCUCCUCCGGUGAGUCAAGGCACUCCGCCUCCUCCUCCGGCGAGUGAUCAGGGCACUCCGCCUCCUUCUCCGGCUCCUCCGACGCGUGAGGGCACUCCGCCUCCUCCGGCUCGUUGGAGCAGUCUACCUCCUCCUCUGCCUCGUCAGCAACGGCAGAAGACAGACGCCGCCACUCAGCCGCGUCGGAGCACUCCGCCUCCUUCUCCGCCUCGUCAACAACGAUGGAAGAGAGACGCAGCCGUUCUGGUGGCUAGCAGUACAAGGAGAGGCGGGAGGCAAUUCAGAUACGGUCCAUCUCUCAAGCAUCUGGAAAAGUUGCCAUACGAGAGGACCGGAAGGAAAACAUGGAGAUCUGUGAAGCCCAAGUGAGGGACUUUUUUGCAAAGAAACCUCCACCUCCGAAGGAGAUGAUAGAUCCGGUGAAAGCGAAGCGCACUAUCGAUGCCCUGAAGUGACCACCAUCGCCUCCACCGGAUUCCAACUAUGACCGCUGUCUUAAAAAGACAUAUGAAGAUGCGCGGCGGUCGGUAAGUACUUCCAGUGAUGCAAGGUUAGCACAAUGAAGAAGUGGGAAAAAUUUCCCCAGCUCGGCGAACAGGCGAACCAAUCGUGCCCCCCACUCAAGGUGUCUAGCGAUAUCAUCGCUAAUCAGCAGGGGAUGGUGCCCGAUACCAAUCCUGCUGAUUACCUGAGCGAUGGUUUAGAGUUUGAAACAAUGGAGGUGGACGAAUUCAGAUACCAGUACGGGCAGCCUCUCGUCAAACCUGAUCAUCCUCCUCUAACAACGAUGAUGCGAAGAUUCCAUGAAUGGUACAUGAAAACCUGCAGCGAGUCUGGGAAGGAUACUUUGACGAUGAGAAUUAAAGUGGAGCACGACCUCGUUGGAAUGGAUCUGUUGUCUGUUGAAUUUGAUGAGUUAUUCCAGUUAUACAAUCAAAAGGCCCUCGACAAAACACUCGUGAGUUGCUACUGUCUGUAAGUACUACUUCUGUAAUUAAGUCUCUAUAUAUAGCUCAACUCUUUCAUGCCAUGUGUAUAUAUAAUUAUCCUCGCUAUAUUAUGCAGAUUGAAGAUCGUCGAAUGCAGAAAAGCACAAAUCUAAGACAUUGGGUUCAUUAACCCAAAUAUCAUGCAUGAAUGGACGAUUCAAAAGAGUGUCACAGAAACCGAGGACAACUUGCUACAAUCGUUGCACAAAAAUCAAAACAAAGAUAAAAUACUCUUUCCUUACAACUUCAAGUGAGUGUUACUGUCUUGUGCAUAUUCAGCUUCCCUUAUUACACGAGGUUAUAGUAAUGUAAUUGAUGAGUUAUGCAUGCGUGCGCAGCUUCCACUUUAUUCUGCUAGAGAUUAAGCUUGACCGGGGAGUAGUAACCGUCUUAGACUCGAGACGAAAAGAUCCCUAGGACUAUGCGGACAUGACUGAAAUGCUCCAGAAGUAAGUUCAAUCGAUCAUUAUCGCACCAUAUCAGCAACUUUGUUCAUUUCCUGAUAUCAAGUAAUUAUUUUCUUUGUCUGGCAGGGUUUGGAAAGAGUUCACCGCAAUUUUUCUGGGACUACCGGGGGAGCUGCGAUUUACACACCUGAAAGUACUACUACCUAGUUCCGCGCAUCUCCCAUUGAUUCUAGCUAGUUUCAUCAAUACCAUUUACCAUGCUUGCUUAUCAAUUUGAUUGACCUCUAUUUCUCAUAAAGUGCUUGUGGUAGGAAGCUGGGAAUGAUUUUUGUGGAUACUACGUUUGCGAGUUCAUCUACAAUGCGACGGCAUCUAAGCGGGGCUACUAUGAAAAACAAUAUGAAGUGCGUAAGAAAAAAUAUUCAUAAUUUUAUUUUAUUACCAUCAUUUGUGUUGAGUUUCAUUCAUAUACAUGUAUUGACCCCCUUCUUCAAAUUAGAUCUGGCAGAUGCGGGAUGAACUCCUACCACAUGAUCGCAUACGAGCAAUUCAAGAGGAAUUGGCGGGAUUCUUUCUUGACCACGUCAUCAAUAAAGCCGGAGAAUACCAUGUGGAAAUUGAUAUAGACAUGAGAUGUUAGGGAUUGUAAGAGAUCUUAUAUUGUAUAUAUGUAGCUAGUAGCGUCAGACAGAUAUACGAAAACUUGUUGUUCGACAAAUCUCUCGGAGAAAGAGAGGUCACUCCUCUCUGUAUAUGUUCAUGACGAUCUUUUGUAAUUAAUGGUUCCUUCAUUUGCUUACUAGCUAGCGUGUCGGGUUCUCUCUAUACGUAUAGUAGCUAGCGUCGACCAAGCACGGAGAUAAGAGAUGUCACUUCUCUCUAUUAGCUAGCUAACACAAUAUAUGAAACCCCUAAAUUAACCCUCCAAAAACCCCUAAACCCCCUAACCCCACCCCCCCUUCAAAAAAACAAAAACCCCUGCUCCUGCCAGCUGCUGACGCGUGGAUGCCUUUUGGUCCCGGUUGGUGUUACCAACCGGGACUAAAGGUCCUCCUGCUUAGGGGGCCCGCAGCGGCCACGUGAAGCCCCUUCUGUCCCGGUUCGUAAGCGAAUCGGGACUAAAGGUUUUGGGCUUUAGUCCCGGUUCUAGAAUCGGGACAAAUGGGUCAUUUUCUACUAGUGUAAAUAGGCUUGGCUCUUCGACCAAGGAGGCGUGAAGGUGGAGGGGACUCGCACGUAAGAGAUGAGACAAUCUACACGGACUGCCUUCCACAAAUCGAAUAUAAGCACUGCACUGGCCGACCCAUCCCACAACACCUGAUCUGAUUUCUUCGAGUUUUCAACUGUAUUUCAGUUUUUUUCUUUCCUUUUUUGUCAUUUUAUUGUUUUGAUGUUUCUUCAAGGAUUGUUUUUGGUUUACUACUUUUAUUUUUAUUUAUUUCUUAUUCAUUUCUAUUAUUUAUGUUCCUUUUUGUAUUAAAUUUUAUUUUUCCUAUAUAUAAACAUAUUUUCAUAAAUACACUAAUAUAACACAAAAACCAUUUUCCAAAACUAAAUGAACAUACAUUGAAUAGUUUUUAAAUAAUAUUUAGUUUCUUUGACUUAUACAUGGACAUUUUUCCUUGAGAACACAUGUUUUUCAAAAAUAAUGCAAGAACACUUUUUUAUAUAUCAUGAAUAUUAUUUUGAAAAAAGUUCCAACACGUGAACCCUUUUUAAUUGUGUGUUUUUUUAAAAUCGAUGUACACAUUUUUAAAAUACGUGAACACUGUUUAGGUACAUAAUUUUUUUAAAUAUGUGAACUCUUUUUAAAAAUCAUGAUCAAUUUUCGAAAUUCACACAUUUCUAAGUUAUGAGAAUUUUUCAAAAUAUGCUGACAUUUUCUAAAAACAUAAACACUUUUCAAAUUCCAUGAGCAUUAUUUAAAAUACAUAAAUACUUUUAAAUUUAUACAAACAUUUAUUUAAUCAUGAAAGUGAAAUUAAAAAAUGCAUACGCAAAAAUGGAAAAAGUGAAACAAAGGAAAAUAAAAAUGUGAAACAAAAGGUUAAAGAAGAAAAUAUGCUAUACAAGAAAUAAACAAUGCGGGUUGCUUUGGUGACGUACAAACACUAGCUUACAGAAUGCUGGCCUAGCUUUUUACGCUAGACAAGAUGGUAGCCUAGUUUUUCGCCUUCUUUAUAUAUAAAAGAUGAUAUAUCGGUUAAAAAUACAAGGAGACAAGAGGUGAAAACGAGCCGGUCCAAUAACGAAGCGCCCUUCUUUCCGUGAUGAGGUGUGUCACAUCAGUUUCCUUUUUUUGUCAUUUUUAAUGGAGGGAAGCAAGAGGAAUUCAGACCCUCCCGCGGUCUCAGGCAGGGCGAUCCUAUAUCUCCGUACCUAUUCUUAUUCACUGUGAAAGGUGUCUCCUGUCUGCUGAGAUCCACAAGUCCAACUGAACGUGUACAGGGUAUUACGGUGGUAGUCGGUGCUCCCCAGGUAAAUCACCUAUUUUUUGCUGAUGACAGCCUCUUGUUCUUUAAUGCUACACCUGAGAUGGCGAAUAGAGUGGACUUUCUUUUGCAAAGAUAUUGUGCUGCUUCAGGGCAGCGUAUUAAUAGGGAGAAGUCUUCAAUACUCUUCAGCAAGGGUUGCUCUGAAACUGAGGCAGAAGGUAAAACAGAUUCUUGAAGUCCAAAAUGAGAAAUUGACCGAAAAAUACCUUGGCCUCCCAUCUAAUGUGGGAAGAGCCAAGGAAGGGUCUUUCAAGUACCUCAAAGAUAGAAUUUGGAAGCAAGUACAAGGCUAGAUGGAGAAGGCUUUGUUAGUUGGAGGAAAGGAGGUGCUCAUUAAGUCGGUUGCUCAAGCAAUCCCUACGUACUCUAUGGCUUGCUCCAGACUGCCAAGGGGUUUAUGUCAGCACAUCAAUGAUCUUUUGAGGAAGUUUUGGUGGGGAUCCAAGAAAGGAGAGAGGAAGACCGGCUGGGUCUCUUGGGAAGUUAUGUCACAUCCAAAAUUUAUGGGAGGCGGGGGUUUCUGCGACAUCGCACUCUUUAACCUGGCUUUGCUUGCGCGACAAGCCUGGCGUCUCCUCCAUGAACCCAACUCCCUCGACACCCAGAUAUUAAAGGUUGUGUACUACCCUUUCAUCUUCGAUUCUUGAAGCAGAGGUGGGGAAGAACCCAUCACAAGUUUGGCACUCUAUAGUUGAAGGAAGGGACAUGUUAAAACUUGGUCUAGUGAAGCGGAUUCGUUUGGGUGAGGAUACCAACAUCUUGCUCGACAAUUGGAUUUUAAACUCCGACCCAUGUGCCCAAAAUCUUCAAGUCCUCCGCACAAGGUCUCGGAGCUCAUCAACUCUGCCACCGCAGCAUGGGACUGCGACGCCCUUGACGAGCACUUUUAUGCGAUGGAUAAGGAAGCGAUGUUAAACAUUCCUCUAAGCUCCAAGGUCCGAGAGGAUUUCUGGUCAUGGCAUUAUGAACGGAAAGGCAUCUUCACGGUGCGUUCCGCGUACAGGCUUUUAUCAUCCACCAAGCAGUAACACACAGAUUGGCUAGAACACAAUGAAGGACACUCAAAUGGUGAAGCACAUCGUCGGUCAUGGUCUAAGCUUUGGGGAGCUGUUGUUCCCUCGAAAGUCAGAGUUUUUUUUUCUAAAGAUUAGCCAAAACUUUGAUCCCUACAGGAGAUGUUCGUAAGCACAGAAGCAUAGCUGAUUCCGUUGUGUGUUCAUUAUGUCACACAGUAGUAGAUACAUGGCGCCACUCUCUCUUUGACUUCCGUAUGGCGCAGUGCGAUUGGGCCCUUGCCGAUGAAGAUCUUACCAAGACUAUCAUCUCAAACCGGACGGAGGACGCCAAGCUUUGGAUGUUAUGGCUUGUUGACACGCUACCCUCGGCACGCGUGUUUGUGACGAUGUGGGAAAUUUGGUGGGCGAGGCGUCGAGCCAUCCAUGAUAAUCAGUUUCAAAGUCCGCUGAGUACUCAUAUUUUCGUCAACAAAUUCAUGGUUGAGCUCGAGUUGAUCCCUGAGAAGAAGCCACAUUGUAAGGACCUGCAUGUAAAUGCGAGAGGCCUGCAUGUCAUUUCAGGAAAUAACAACGAGCAACCGCCACUGACUGGGUGGGUCCCGUCCGAUAGCCACGAUGUGAAGAUGAAUGUGGAUGGCGGCUUUUCCAAGAUCGGGGACUGUGGAGCUUUAGCAGUGAUCUGUAGGGAUAAGAGAGGUAAUUAUUUUGGUGACUCGGCUAUUAUCUUUGAGGGUCUUCUGGAUCCAACAGUACUCGAAGCAUAGGCAUGCAAUGAGGCUCUCUCACUUGCCACUGAUUUACAUGUCCACUUAGUGUGCGCGGCAUCGGAUUGUCUAGAAGUAGUGACGAAUAUACAAGCUGAAGUUUCCUGCCGGUAUUUUGCUAUCUUGCAAGACAUCAAGCACCAGAGAAGUUUAUUUCAAGAUAUCAAGUUUAUUCAUGAAAAUUGGAAACAUAACAGAGAGACCCAUGCCUUAUCAAAGACAGAUGCUUCUCUUACUCCCGGGUGCCACGUGUGGCUUACUUGUUUGCCCGACAUCAUCUGUAUCCCUAUGUGUUUGAACGUUUAAUAAAAGAUGCAGUUUGGUAAAAAAACGCAUUUCAAUAUUUGUCAAAGUUACUCUGUCUACAUUUGCAUAAAACACCCUGAGAUGAGAUAAAUUACAAUCGUAGCCUUUUUUGGAAUUAUGGGGCGUUUUCGCUCCAAGAUUUACCCACAUGUAUGAAAAUGACCUAUGGGUAAGUUUGAACAUGGCACGUGUAUUUUUUGGUACGCUGUGGGGUAGAAAUCGUGUGGUGGCUCUAGGCUUAUGGUCAAAAUUUUGUGAACGUGUGUGCUGAAUUCGUGGGUGUGGUUAGCGAUUUUGGGUGCGUGUGGGCCAUGUGGCUCUGUUGACUUGCGCGUGCAUGCUUCAUUGUUUUCCUCCUUCAUGUUGCCUUGCGUGUUUCGAUCGGUGCGAUCCACACGUUGUUGUGUGUCGUACCGUGGUAGGUUUGGCUUGCCAAUCGGUGUUGUUCUACCCUGUUAAUCGGCGCUGCUUUGGACAUUUAGCUUUAGAUACUUAAUCGGUGCUGCUUUCAUUGACUGAUCUAGAGACGACGCUACUAGUAGGCCUUUGGUGUUCGUUUCAGUUUUCCCUUCUCAUCUUCUCGCGGGCUAUAAAUAGGUAUUCCUCCAAGAACGGCGAUGGUGUGCUCGGGCUCGCGCGCUCUCGAUGCGUGGACGAACGAGUCAAUGACGCGUGCACGAUUGGAUUUAAUGCUAUCAUGUGCGUACACGACAGUGCAGUUACCCCGCCGUCCGAGUUAACCCGGUUUUAACAGCCCAUCUUCGAGGUGUUCCGUCAGUACAGAAGUGUGGUAGCGGCCCAUAACCUAUCGCCGCCGCCGUCCGUUACGGAGACGCCGUUGCAUGAAUGGGUAGUUGGGUGCCCAGCCGUGGAAAGUAAAUGGGUACCCAACUUUCGGCCCACGGUCGUCUAGUCGUAGGUAAACAGUAACACAAAUAUAUCCUCUUUCUCUCCUUGCCGCCUAGACCAGGAGCUCAUGGCUAUGCAGAUGGCGACCGCCGGAGAUGAUGAAGUCGACUUCCUGUCAGAUCCCGUCGACAGGUAAUUUUUUCAGCUCCUAUCAACUAACCCGUGUGGUAUUAGCUGGUUUUAAGACCUGAUCUGUUCUAUCCUUCUGGCACAAGAUUUUCACUCUCAGAUCUUGCUGCGGGACAGCCCUUGUUUGAUAAUGAGAAGUACAAAUCCAUGGAGUGUGAGCCUGCUGAAUCAAGCAUUGGUAAUGUAGGAGAUGCUCCGGUCAACAGCAAUUGCGGUGCAAUUGCCUUGUACGCACAAGUACCUGAGGAAUCUACCACGCCUGAAGCCCUAGGCUGGACAAAGAGGUGCAACACUGUGCCCAAUCUUCAGUUACCAUUACAUGCGUAUAUAACAUUUUGUCAUUGUAUCUUAUUACGCACUGGUUAACUAUCCGAUUCCAUGGAUUACAUAUAUAACCAAAAGUGUCCAAACGUCAUGCUUCAUAUGCGUUCUUUUAACUGAUACAGAAUCCGUGUCGGGGCAGCAUCUAGCGAGCGCCACCCUUGUGCUGACAGGGUGAGUGCUUUGGAAGAAACCUUACGAAGAUAUGCCGAAAAGAAAACUGACACUGUCGUAGUUCCUGCUAUGGGUACCAAAUUUGAUUCACUUGGAGAAGCCUACGAUUUCUACAAUCUCUACUCAUGGGAGAUUGGUUUUAGAGUUAGAUACGGAAAAAGGCGGCUAAAUGUGGGAAGAACAAAAUGUAUGCAGGAGAUAGUUUGUGGAUGCUCUGUAAGUGCACUUUCUGAAAAUCAUUGGCAUAUUUAUUGGGCCUGCCUUGAUGUUACAGAAUAAUAAGAAUAUCGCCACACGGGCAAUUGUUGUGUUUGCUGCAGGGGAUACCAAAGAAGAGUAAUAUAAGAACUUGCCGAUGCAGAUGCCCUGCAAUGAUAAGACUGCUUCGAUCAAGCGGCAAUGGCCGGUACGUAACUGAGUACAGGGCAGAUCACAACCACGCGUUGACUGAAAAAUAUGGUGAGAAAAUAUACUGGCCUUCACACAAGCAUAUUGACAUAUACACGCGAAAUGUUAUCAAGCAACUCCGCGAAAAUAAUAUUAGCAUUGGAAAGGUGUAUAAUAUUAUUGGUAGCUUCUUUGGUUCAAUGAGCAAUGUACCAUUAGCAAGAGAACGUUGCGAGGGCUGUGUGGCAAGAUCAGCAGAGAGCAAGCUGACAAUGAUGUGAAGAAGACCGUCGAUGUCUUUGCUGAGCUGGGAGCAACAGAUUAUGGGUUGUACUAUAGAGUACAACUUGAUCAAGACAGCCGCAUAAGAAAUUUGUUAUGGUCAACCGGAGCUAGCAGAGCACAAUACCACUAUUUUGGAGGGACUGAGAUCCAGUGCCUUUAUCAAGUGAAGUCACGCUGCAACUUUACCCUACUAAUCUCCAUCCAAUCCACAUCCUACGGUUCAGAUCACAUAAGGGAAAAGGCUCUCAACACUUAGCAGUUUCAGGAUAGCAGCAAACAUCAAUAAGCUGCAAACAACGAUGCAGUGGCACUUGAACUCAGUUUUAUUUGAACAGAUUGAAACCCAAAAAAUAAAGAACUGCAGAUACUCAUGAACAGACUAUAAAACAAAAUUUGGUUUGGUUAUACAGUAGUGCAUUAUGCAAUCAAAGUGGAAUAAAUCAAUUGCAGUUGACACUAAAUCCAGUAGAACUUGAUAUUAAAAGGCUGCAGCGCAUAAUGUCCGAAUGCUACAGCAAUAAGUUUCAAUGUUGAGUAAUCAUCUACACAAAAGCUAUGCUGAAAACUGCUAAGUGUUGAGAGCUUUCCUAUGUGUGAUCUGGACCGUAGGAUGUGGAUUGGAUGGAGAUUAGAAGGGUAAAGUUGCAGCGUGACUUCACUUGAUAAAGGCACUGGAUCUCAGUCCAUUUUGGAGAUGCCAUUACAUUCGAUACAACAUACCGCACAAACAUGUAUGACAUGCCAUUUGGAUUAUUUGCAGGAGUCAAUAAUCACUUUCAGAGUAUCAUUUUUGACGGGGUGCUAGUCAGAGAUGAAACAGAGGAGAGUUUUGAAUGGGUCUUCACUGAGUUCAUCCGCAUGAUGGGGGGAAGAAGCCACAAACAAUACUCACUGGUAAGUAGGAGGAAUCCAUAACUUGCUGCCAAUCAACAUGUUCAUGUUCAGUUACUGCACAUCGUCGAUAUACUAAUAUUACUAUGUGUCUUUGUGCAUGUCUGUAGAUCAAUCCCGAGCAAUGGAGUUAGCUAUAAAGAAAGUGAUGCCAGAUACUACUCACCGUUGGUGCAAGUGGCAUGUGCUCAAGCGGGCAAAAGAAUUUCUUGGGCAACAUUACACAAAGCGAAGCAAAUUCAUGUCAGAAUUUCACAAGAUAAUACAUCACAUGCUCACAGUUGACGAAUUUGAGACUGCAUGGAAACAACUCAUUGAAACAUAUGGUUUACAAAAACACCACUAUCUGACCCAAAUAUAUGAAACAAGGAAAAAGUGGGCAAAACCAUAUUUCCAUGGCAAAUUUUGUGCAAAGAUGACAAGCACACAACGCAGCGAGAGUGCAAACCAUAUGUUGAAAACUUAUGUUCCAGCUAGUUGCCCAAUGCAUCUGUUUGUUCGCCAGUUCAUGAGGCUUCUUUUUGAUAGAGAAGCAAAUGAGAACUAUGAAGAAAGAAGAACAAAGAUAGUAAGUUUGAUAGAAAUGUGUCCAAAAGUUUGUAUUACUGAACAUUUCUGUCAAGUUUGCUAUCUAAUGGUCGAACAUGUGCAGGUAGCCCCGGUGCUGAAGCUGAAGACACCAAUCGAGUUGCAUGCCAGCAAAAUCUACACACGGGCCAUUUUUGAGAAAUUUGUAGAAAUCAUAUGUGAAGCAGGACAAUACAAGGUAGAAGAAGUUAGUAAAGGGAAAACAUAUUUUGUGAACCGGUACCAUCCAGAGAGACAUGAGCAGUGGUGCAGGAUACUAUACAAAGUUGAAGUUGUCAAUGAAGGAGAAAAAAUCAUAUGUGAGUGUGGAAAUUUUGAACACACUGGACUGCUCUGCUGCCAUGCUAUCAAGGUGAGUUCGCUUUUUAGUUCAUCAUUCUGCUGCAGCAACAUACCCUUCUGGCUUAGAGAAAUAAAAACUGAUGUUGCAACGGUGUGCGUGUGACAGGUGCUUGAUUUCAUUGGCAUAGACCAUAUACACGCGAAUCAUAUUCUGAAGCGUUGGACAAAGGAUGCAAGGGAUAUUCUGCCAGCUCACCUCUCGUACCUUCAGAAGGAUAGCAUUUUUGUAAAUUCAGUAACGUUCAGGCAUGCAAAUGUGUACACACAUGCACUUGAAGUGGUUAGAAUAUCGGAUGCAAAUCUAGAAGCAUAUGAGUGCGCGAUGGAGAUGCUUAAGAUAACAAUGGAUAAACUGACACCCAUUGCUGCUGUGCGUGAUGGACGGGGAUUGGAAGACAGAAUUCAACAACUGACGGAUAAAGGUAAGGAAGCAGCAGCAGAAAUAGCACCACUAGUUAGUAAUACAAGUGAUGUUGAAUGCAGCGCAAUUGGGGAUUUCAUUGGCCUAAAAGCUCCAGAAUGGAAGAGAAAGGCUGGCCGACCAACGACAAGCAGAGACAAACCUCCGUACGAUGAUCGGGGCUGGAAAAGCAAGAAGUUCAAGAAGGCAGCGGGUGGAGAUGAUGCUGACAAAUGUGGAACAAGCAAGCGAACUCGUUUUUGCAGUAUAUGCCGAGAACCUGGGCACAAGAGCACCACCUGCCCCCAAAGAGGAGAUCUGCCUCCAAAACAAAGGAAAGAGGCAAAGUGUUCAAUUUGUGGCGUCGGUGGGCACAGAAGAAACACAUGCAACAAUCCAAAGGUUGUUCUGCAUGUUGUUGACAACACUAAUCUGCAUGAAAACGCAAUUAUAUCAUCUUCGUAAGCACAAGGCAUGCUAUUAUCUCCAUGUAAAAUUUGAGCUUAUCUGUACCAUGCAUGUAUAACUAUUCUGUGUGACAUGUCGGUAUGGCUGUCAACUCUGUAGACUGGGACAAAUUACUGUCAUAAUAAAAACAAGUUCCUACUGCCACCAUGUACAUGGUAGACUCACUUGUCGUGGAGGCCUCAUUUUGACCGAGUACAAGUAAGCAUUCAUUAUGCAUCGCAGCAAAACAGGCGUUUACGUGUCAACUGAACCCUGGUGUAUGCUGUGAGCGGGAAUCCCCCAAGUUUGAAUUUCAAACUACAUGGGCGCGCUCAGCGCAAUGAGCUCUACUUAAAGCUUGCCACUCCUACGCUGUCCAAGAGCCUGUAGUGUUCUAAUCUUCCAUCCUUCUCAUCCUCGCCGUGCUAUCUCACAUCAGAAAAAGAGAAGAGGGAGAACUGUUUGUGCUACGGCAUAGAUGUCUGCAAGGGUGUCGAGCGGAUGCUCUCUUACGCAUGUUUCUUCAAGCUCUCCUUGCGAUGCACUAGCCGCCGCAAGCAAGCUUCAUCAACAGUCAGUCGGGUCUGCGGAUGAUGGAGGGUUCUCCCACAAUACAACGUCGAUUGAGGUACGACUGCGCCUAAUCAGUUUGCAGAUUCUGAUCUUGCCCCCUUCCGAGCUCCAGACAUGAAUAUUUCAUGUGGGGCUUUUGCAUUCGUGUUACGACUGCAGAUCUAACUGCGUUGACUUAUGCGUGCAGGCUUCAGUUCACGCCAGAGCUGAAGGUGAACGAGUGGAAGAUGGAGAUGCCGAAGAAGAACCUGAAGUGCAGUCCCGGCUUGCGGUCCUGGAAGAGGUGGCCACUCAUGAUCCAGAAGAGCAGAUCUUGUCUGACGGAGAGAAAUUCACUUACACGGGCAGCUGCUGCGGAUCAACCACCAACUGCGUUCGUCAAUCAAGCACGGACAUCAACGACUACGCCAACCCAUCCAAGCGCGCAAGGCUUGCUGAAUAAGAAAACUUCAUGCAGUCGUUAGAGCCGUCAUUAGUGUUAGUAAGCAGAAGUUAGUGCCGCGUCAUCGAGAAAUGCAGCCUCCCUAGUAUGCUCAAGUACUAGUGGAUUUAUCUUUGGUUUAGCAAGGAAAAAAACUCCGCCCGUUGGACAAGUGUUUGGGUUGAUGCAGGUGUUGCGUUAGGUGCAAAAAUAAAGUUAGGACACACGUUUGACUUUAUACUUGCCUCUAAAUGACAUUGUGUUACGGUCUAUGUGGAUACUAUUUACACACUGAUUUUUUUUAAGUGUAUGAUGUAGUAUUGUCAAUGAGAUCAAAAUUGAGAGAAAUGAUUUUUUUGGGGGGGUUUCAAUGCUCAAACUACAUGUAGUUGGCUACCUGGUAAAGUUGAUCAUAUUUCUCCGGCGUGCAUCGUAAACAAAAAAUUAUAAUUAAGUCCCGAGUUCAUUCCAUUUUCGUCACCGCUUAAAACCUAAUUUCGUACAUAUGCCUUCAAAUUUAUCCGUUGCAACCAACUCGAACACCAAAAUGAAGUAUAAUAACUAUGACGAGUGCGUGCGCGACCGUCGUUCGAUUGUAUAUGAACCGCAAACGAUGUCGUUUGACUGAAAAUUGCUUCGAGAGAUCAGAACUUGUCGAUGAGGGGUAAUCUUGAGUCAACCUCACACCUCGGAAGUCAGUUCGGCAUGGGAAAUUCUGGUGUCUCUUCCCGGCUCAUGAUUGCCUAUGUACAUAUCGUCCACUCUGCCCUAUCAAAUGUUAACCCCAUUCCCGCCCUCUGACCAACCUCCCGCCACAUCUCCUCUCCCCAAACUACACAUAUUAGUAGUUACACGGCACAUUUUAUUGAUGGGUGACUUGGAUCCCCGUCGGAUUACUUUGCAUGCGAUACUUCGAGUGUGUCAAGCAUUGGAUAUAUGUAGACUGCGGGGCAUAUUUCAUCACUGCGGGGCAUGCUACAAAAUUUUAACUGGCUGAAAAAAUAACUAUAGCCCUCUUGGCAUUGCUUCACUAUGCCGAUUAUAGACACACACCUGCACGUAAAACAAACUGCUAGAGGCACAGAAUACUCCUUCAUGGAAUAAUAUAUGAUGAAAAUCAAUUGUUUCAGAGCGGCUACAAAAAAACUAUCUCUGAGAUUAGCACAUUUUACCCCCUUUGACACGGAGAGUGAUUCGGCAAAUCAACUGAAAUAUUUUGAAUGUUGUCCACAUUGAUAUCAAGUAUGCCACUUAACAUAAUGUUGGGCAAUAAUUGUGAACAACAAAUCAACCGUUUUUCAUACAAAUGAUAUCAACUAGUGUCAUUCUCGAAUUAUUGUUAGACAUGGUCCUCAGGGUCCAACAAGGCAUAUGCAUGUCAUUCUGUAUAGAGGUUCACGAUGCAUGUGUAUUAACCUAUGCUCGUAUCUAUUAUGGAUAACAAAAGUGAUUGAAACAAAAAAAAAUGUUUCCAAUGAUAAAGCAACGUAUGUUGUACUACAUACAAUAUUGAUCAAAUUUUGCAGCAUUCAAUUUUUUUCCCGUACAUAAGCCCGAAGUUCAAUGGAUUUUGAUCGAUCCUUAAACCCUAAACUUAUGCACCUACCAUCCAAUUUAUGCAUUAUAACCAACUAGGACUAAAGGGCUGACAUCCGACCGUAUAUGAACACCAAACGAUGGCGUCUGCUUGAACAUUGCUUCAAGCGAAGCGAAAUUUGGCAUGAGGGGUAAUGUCGACUCAACCUGACACCUCGAAUGUCAAUGCAGCCUGUUAAAUGGCAUUGCUUCUUCUUAACUAAUGGUUGUCUAUGAGCAUGCCGUCCACUCCGGCCUACCAAAGCGUCACCCAACCUCCCUCUCCAGCCCCCCACCCCCCUCCCCGGCACCGCCAACCUCCACACCACAAACUAAAUAGAGUAGUACUUACACGCUAGCUUCUACCAAUGGGUGCAUUGGUAUCAACUAUCCCACUUAUCAUAAUGUUGGGUAGUAAUUGCGAAAAACAAAUCAACCAUUUUGAUACACUGACAUCAACUAGUUACAUUCUCGAAAUAUUGUUAGUCAUGCUCCUCAUACUCCAAAAAUACAUAUGCAUGACAUUCCGUAUAGAGGUGCACGGUGCAUCGGUGUCAACCUAUGAUCGUACCUAUUAAGGAUAAGAAAGGUGACAAUAAUCGAUUUUUUCGGUUUUCAAUGCUAAGGCUACGUAUGCUGGACUACAUAGAUAAAUUGAUCAUAUUUUUUCAAGCGUUCAAUCUUUUUUUCCUUGUACUUAAGCCCCAACUUCAAUGCAGUUCGAUCGAUACUUAAACCCUAAACCUAUGCACAUACCAUCCAAAAUAUGCAUUACAACCAACUCGAAUACCAAGAUGAACUGAACUAACUGUGACAGUUCUAUACAUGGGUGACAUCCGAUCGUAUAUAAACACCAAACAAUGGCGUUUUAUUGAACAUUGCUUCAAGCUAACCAAAAUUAGGCAUGACGGGUAAUCUUGACUAAACCUCGCACCUCGACUGUCAACGUGCCCUGUUAAAUGCCACUACCGGUUCCCAUCUAAUGAUUUUCUGUGAGCAUGACGACCACUCCGGCAAUACAAGCGUCACCCGACCUCCCNNNNNNNNNNNNNNNNNNNNNNNNNNNNNNNNNNNNNNNNNNNNNNNNNNNNNNNNNNNNNNNNNNNNNNNNNNNNNNNNNNNNNNNNNNNNNNNNNNNNNNNNNNNNNNNNNNNNNNNNNNNNNNNNNNNNNNNNNNNNNNNNNNNNNNNNNNNNNNNNNNNNNNNNNNNNNUUUACACAAUUCCACUAACUUCAUGGAUGGCAAAAUACACCAUUAACUCCGCAAACAUUUGUACUCCUGAAAUAAAAUAUUAGCCUUUUGCUGUGCCCUAAUGCAUUUAGCAAUGAACAAGUUUCAAUGAUUUUAAAUAAAAUCGGGAAAAUCAUCAUUAACGGCUUGCGCGGCCAAUUUAACCAGACACUGCCGCGGCACCCAUCCCGUAUUAAUACAAAAAACCCAGGUGGAUUAUGACAUGAUGUUGCCAAAACUGGAAGCACACUAACAACCCCGAUUACUUUUAAGCGCGCCGUGCCAUGGGCGUCGUGUUUUAAUCGCGUGUCCUAAUGGCACCCCCUGCCGUAGAAAAGUCUAUGCAUGUGUGCAUGCAGCAUACAGGCCGAAGGGGACCGAGAAAUCCAAGAGAACCGGUGGCUGACAAAUCCGACCAAACCCACCAUGUUGCACUGCUGCUACAGUACCUGGAGCAAUCCUCUCCCGAGGAGCGAUUGGCAUUAUUGAAGCUGACCAACCCACAACUGGAAUCCGGUUGUGCGGCGUUCGCUCGCAACUCGUGUCCAGCACACCAGCUUCUGCUCAGGGAUGCCUAGCCACGUGCCAAUCUUUCCCCUUUCUACCCCUGGCUGCAUCGCGCGCCGUCGAUACAAAUUAGGAAACGUGCGUUGGAAGUCAUCGCACCCCGUGGGAACGCGCGAACGAUAGCUCACUGUGACUGGGCCCAAACAACUCUGAGCCGUGGUACAGCAACUCGUGCCUCCACUGCCGAAGCCCUCUCCUACCUUAUCUACUGCAUCCGAACAGAGUUGCUCUGCUCCAGUCCACUUGCUGUUCCUUCUUCCCCAAGCGCUCCUAAGAGCUCCUCGGUCUUUCCUCUGCGCUCCUCUUUCCUCCGCCGAGACUGAGAUCGACUCCGCGCUGACAUCCGAUUCGGAAAACUGCACCCUCGUGCGGGCGAAGAGGUAGCUGGCUGCCUUUCCAUUGUUCUCAUCUAUGUCUUGCACACUUUUCACUGUUGCAUGCUCAUCCAAAAUCUGCAUCUGAGCUACCUUCUCAUCCGAUCUGUGGCUCCAUGUUUUAAUGCAGCGCUUAGCUCGUCCACCGUGCGCACAUACCAUGGCUCCCCUCGAGGAAGCGAACAACUUCGAAGCAGAUCCAGAUGGGGCGGCUGAAGACGUCGAGCUGGCGCCGAGGAGGAAGGGUAGCGGCCCUCACAAACCAACCGGGUUGGAAGGAUCCGAUCCCAACGACAUUCCGUCGGUACGAUGCGGCUUCACUGCUUCUUACCUGAGCUCCCUGUCGCCGAUGCUUUACCCUCAGGUGACAAAAACCGGGUUGGGAUCCCUGUUGACAGUCCGCAGUGCCUGUGGUGAGGAUAAUAAAAUGUACUGGACUCUCCUCAUGUGCGUCGACACGGAAAAAAGAGCCCUCAAGUUUCCAGAUGGGGAGUUUAGGGUCCUAGAUGACCCAACAAUAGAGUAUAUUACGGGGAUUAAGUCAGGGUCUACAACCAUCCUCGUAGGUGUAGAGAACCUGGAUUUUAGAUCAGAACGACAGGCCGUGCGGAAGCUGCUGGGUUUAGAUAGUUCACUUAGGGGGGAAAUCAAGGUUUCCGAGGUUUUUUCGGUGGUUAGAGGCAUAGAUCCGCGUUCCGAAGAUAAAAAAAGACUUGGAUCCAGCCAACGUGGGCUACACACGGCUGGUAUGUGCCACGAUGGUUGCACCUCAGGCCAACUCUACGUAUGUCCCAGAUGAAAUACUACAUUGCGUCACAAAUCCAGAUAUUAUCGGAUCAUUCAACUGGGGGAAGUACAUAGUUGACAACAUCAUGCUAAACGCAAAACGUGUGCAGCAUCACCACAAGGACAAAAUAGGUGUCUGCCUCAUGGGAGGAUUCCAACUCGUGCUUCAGGUAUGGAAUCGCUCUACGUGCGUGCAUGGCUAAUGCAAAAAGCGUUUGUCCUUUUUCAUCCUUGUCUAUGAUUGCCAAAAAGCUGAUGCUCUGUUUCUUGUCCUCAUUCUUUCAGGCGUUCUUCGCUGAGUGGAUGGAUUUUCAAACUAGCAUGACGCCAAAUGUUUGGCCGCGUAUAUCUGCAUACUCAACGGAAAUCCUAAGAGAAAUAUUUAUUCUCGCAAGGGAUCCAAAACACAGAUUCAAGGUGACACUUUUUGCUCUCUUUUUUCACGAGUUUGUUUCAUUGCCAUGCAAAUUAUACAUGACUACAAUUAUAAUUGUUAACAAAAUAUGCAGACAAAAGCUGAAGGGGCACUGUCAGAGACUAGAUGGUAUAUACAUCCGAUCCUACUACAGGCGAGCAUGAUUUCAAUGCACACUGUCCAGGCUACUGCUAAUCAGUUCAUCAGCUCUGUGGUCUGCAAUCAGAUCAGAAAAACCGCAAUUCAUUUCGCUAGAAAUCACACACCUCCAGGGCAAAUCCUGUCAGCACAACACCAAGAACGUUGCAGCAGCAUUGUUAACCAUAUUUCCAGCGACCUAUCUUCAGUCGCCUCUGCCAUGUACAAAGAGUUCAUGAACCGACUUGCUGCUGCAGAAAAAGCUCGCCUUAACACACAUGCUAUGCAUCUAAACCCCAGCCCUCUGGAUUGCACAGCUACAGCACUAGUAGUUACCCAGGGUACGUAUGUUCUCAUACCAAACUAAUCUGCACUUUAUCAUGUACGCCUCUUCUUCUGACGCCAAACCUUGAAUUUUCGUAGGUGUACCAGGACGACAAGAUGUGCCAUCACCGAGUCUUCCUCAAGAACAAGCCUUAGCAGAAGCACGCAGAGGGGAGCGAUCCUUCACUGGGAAUGUUGCCCAUCUUUCUAGUCCAACAUUCAUAACCCGUACGUCUUGUCUUGCUCCUGUUGGUGAAAGUCGGCUAUCCUAUGUACAAUCUCUAACUUAUAUAUUGGUUUCCUAAUACAGCCUUGCAGACACAGCACCCUAUGGAGUCUCCACAUGCAAAUGCAUGCGCUGAAACACUUCUUCAGCUGGCCGGUAAAGUCUCAAUACCUUAUGAAAAAUUUAUCCACCGUUUCUGUUUCUCUCCAACAAGAAAGGUGCAUCAAUCAAGACAAUUAGACUAAAUCUCGUUCCAUCAACAAAUCACACAGAAAACUAUCUUGAGAGGACUCCUGAAGCUCGUCUACCUGAACCACGUAUUGUUGGAGCAUCACAGAAUCUUAUCAUAAGAGACGCCUCCUGCCUCCUUGCACCCCGUGCUCUUCGUUUUAAUGACAUCUCUGUAAAAAAGAUUCAGCCAUGAGACAUAAGUAAAACAACAUUGUAAAUGCAAAACAUACAUUCCAUGAUCUUCAGUGCAAAAAAAGGUUUUCAAAACUACCUGAUCGUUCUGCUCACAUCUCUAAUCUCUGUGCUUCUGCAGGUGUGCUCUUAUCACCACAUUGCCCAGAACCACCUUACCAUCUGCGGAGACGGAAAUAUGUGACGGAAGUCGCAAAAAAACCAGCAUGGCCAGUAAAACGUCAAAGGUCAGGCGCUGAAAAUAUAACAGGGUAUAAGAAAUACAAAAUGUCUACUGCUGUCCAACCACCUCACAGUGAGGGACCUAAAACAGCGAGAUCAGCCCCUGAUCCAACUACGCAGACUAGUAAUAAUCGCCAAACUGCUCGUCACAGACAUCUUUCAGGUUAGCCAAGCUUAUAUCGUUGCAUGCUUUCCUGUUGUCAUAUUCUAAGUUUCAUCAUCAUUAACUCUAGCUCUUACUCUGUUCUGAACCAGGUCCUUCAAGGAUUACUAAAUACAAAGAUCGUGUAGUUGCAUACAAGCGUCGAGAACGCUCACAGAGUGCCAUUUGUGCUAUACUUGAUCAGCAGCUUGCAGGUUGACUUUCCUUCUAGUGAAAGUACUCUGAGCAGCUUUGUUUAAUUGCUGCAACUAUACUGCAACUGUAAACUCAGAUUAACCGAGCUUGAACUAACAAAAAAUGCAGGCACCCCAUCAAUUCCAUCCAUCGCUGCAGUGACCACAAGACCAUCAUGCCAACAAAUUCCUGCAAAUUCUCCAUCACUGACCCUAGCCAUGCAAGAUGCAGCAACGACACAAACGCCCAUGGCUUCAGGUGCAUCAUCACCUUGACUAUUUACAAUGCACUUCUCGAAAGUGAUACACUAUCUAAUUUUCAUCUUCAUGCUCAUUUACCAUGUAUUGACUUUGCAUCCGAUGCCAUGGCAGGAAAUCCACCACUUUGGGAUUCAAGUCCAGCAACAGCUAUGUGCAAUUCAAGUCACCAUGAUGACCUGCUUGCAGAAGGUAACACUUUAAACCCAUCUAUGAUCUGCCAAAUAAAAAUAAAUCCAUUGUACCAACAGCAACAAAACUAACUGGCUUCCUUAGCAGUUGCCGGCUGUGCAAGUUUCUGUGCUACCACUGGUUCCAACUACUGGAGAUGGUGCUACCGUUCAAGCAGAAAAUGUUCAUACACUGAUCCACAACAGAGGUACUUCCCUCACCGUCAAUGCGCAAUACUGAUUGAUGAAAGCAUAAUUUCUUGAUUGCCUCAUCCAGUGCAAUGAUUUAAUGCUUCGGUAAUAUUGUGACUCACUUCCAUACAACUCCAACCGAUGCAGAUGUUGAUGGGCAUACGGGUCCACAGAAUACAAAUAAUGGCAAUGUUGUGUCUGCCUCUGCUACUGAUGAAAUCCCUGCCAAAGGUACAGCCAGCUUCUAAUGCUUCAUCAUAGCUUAUAACCUUUCUGUUCCUUUCCAUUUGUGGUGAUCAGCCAAAUUGGUCGAAGAUAUGACUCAUCUUUCUAAACUCUACUCACUACUCAGCAGAUACCACGCGGGCGAGCUUCCCAAACAGCACACCUCUCCCAGCAAAUGCAGCUGACACUACUGGGAUGCAAAAAGAAUACCCAGAUGAAGGUACCAUUCUCCUGUCUUUACACCUUUGUGCAAAACAUCAUCAGGACUGCAGAGAAAAAAUAAACAAAUUUCCAGUUGCAGAUCGCAGAAGCACAUCUCCUUCUCCAAACACAGACUCACAUGAAAAUAUAUGCGCUCAUCCUACAAAUACAUCUCUGACUCCGUACCUGAUCAGCGAUGGUAAGUUCAAUCAAACUCACAUCCAGUUGGCUACGAUAACUUCAUCUGCAACAACCAACAUACCUCUAACAACAGAAACCUGCUGACUUCUAAUUCAGAUGGUCCUAGCAACUGCCAAGCGACCGGCGAUGACCUGCCCAUUUCAGCAACACCAAAGAUCGAGCCAGACGUUGAGGUUGCAAGAUUUCUGAGGAUAAUAGCAGACCAGCCCUCUUACUUCAAUGUCUAUGACUCCUACCAGAAUAUGGAAAAUACAAAAGAUACUGAUCGUGAGAGGUCAUGCACUGCUCCUUAUUAUAUCACAAUUGUCUUUUCAUUCAAACUAGUUCCCUAUCUUGAGCAACAUAUAUCAAAAUUUACCAACUGCAUCAUAAAUUUAUUAAUGCCUAUAUUCGUUGUCACAGCUUGUGGCACCAAAAAACUAUACUAUAUACCUGACCAAAACGUUUCCAUGCUAUCAACAGGAAAUGGAUUUCGUUGAAAACCCCCUUAUGCCUGGAUAUGACGGGCCAUGCUAUCUACCGGAGUUAUGGAGCAGGAAAAAUAAUGAAGAACAAUGGCAUGAAAGUAGUUGUUCAUGUUCUAACCACAAAGAACAACAAAUUGUACCCAAACAGAAAACCUCGCUGGAGAAGCAUAAUUGGCCCAUGUUUUGCGGUUAGUCUCAUAAAACACUUUUCAUAAAAUAAAAAAGCUUUCACUCUUGCUAAAAUGACUUACUUCUGCUGCUGCUUGCAGGAGGAAUUCGCCAACAACCCGGAGAAUCCCAACAUAGACAGAUUCUUCUCAAUGUUCGAUGCAACCAAACUCCCCUACAAACUGGAAGAAACAAAAAAGGUAAGCACCAGCAAAAUCCACACACUCGUAACUAUGAAGAAAGGAGCAAGCACAUGAUGAGGAGGGCUUCAAGUUAAACGCCCAAUAACAAGAACUAACAUCUCCCUUAUUGUUUUACAGUUCAUGAUAGUACUCGUUGUCGACGGGGGCUGGUGCGUUUAUGAGGUUGACAUAAAUGAGAGAACACUGCAUGUCAUGGAUCCAAUGAUGGCCUCAUCUAGGAGGGAUGAUGUGGAGAGGAAACACAGGGAGAACGCUGGAUUUAUGCUCCACUGCCUUUGCAAGUGCCUCCGUGAAUGGUAUCCUAAUUGGCAUUUCACAACUUAUCCAUGGACUUACAAAUACAACAGUGGCAUUCACCACCGCAACUCCGACAGGUCAAGCCAUAUCCCAUAAAACCCUGAACUAAACUCCUGGAUGCCUAUUUAUUUAGAUUAUUGCCCUAACUUUCGCCAAAAACAAUUCAGAGCCGAUAGCGGGUUCUACGUCAUACACUACAUUCGGGAGUUCGAUGGAGUUAUGUUGCACACGGCUCCUACAGAUGUAUGCUGCCACUCAUUGUCAAACUGCUUCUGAACUUGAGUUACCUAUUGAGUCAAACUGCUUCUGAACUUGAGUUACCUAUUGAGCAUAACUAACCAUACUAUGCUUCUCAGGACCUGAUUAAACAUCUGCGCAAGGAGAUGGCGUAUGAAGCACUGAGACUGAAUGGCAACAGGGGUGACUUCCCGAACAACCUCUAUGCUCGGAUCCUAGAGUAAAAGUUGAUCCAAGACAGGUAGAUGUGAGCCAUCGAGCAUUUCAUCAACCUAUCUAUUUCACCUCAUCAAGUAUCGAACCUAUGGUUCAGGUAGCAGAUAAUAGUGUCACCACAACUAUUUCUGCUUAUGUAUCCAACUUUGGUUUACAAGACUUCUAUCUGUAAUAUGUGCCAAGACUAUGGCUGCUAAGCUUAAUUAGCUCCUCUUUCAUUCCAAAGACUUAUGUCUGUAAUAUGGGCCAAGACUACGACUGUUACUAUGCUCAUUUGGCCCUAUCAGCAUCUAAUGAACUAGUAUGCUUAUCUUACAUAUGUUGCCCACGGUAAAAAGUUUGCUCGUCUACACUUCAAGUAUGUUGGUAUGUUUUUUUCAUUAAAAAUAGUAGAACAACUUUCGGCAACAUGUAAAAGCACGUUAUCAUACUUGCACCCACCUCGUGCACGACGGCUGGCAAACGCCCCGCAUGUCAGAUAUCUUCAAGCUGUGGGUGCCGCCAAAAAAUACAAAGAUCCAAUCCAAGAUUGCCUCUUUCUCAAGGAAUUGCAAAUUUCAAGAUAAUUUUUCCUACAAAACAUGGAUGCGUGUGUGUGAACAAAUCUAUAAAAUUCAAAGUAUAUCGAAGCAGAUGUGCCACAUUCAGAAUAAACACUUCUUUCCACAACACACUCGAGAUGAUGUAAAAAGAUAAUUCCAUUAAAAACUUCUAAAAAAAUAACUGAAAAAAAUUGUUAAUAACUUGGACUGCCUUUCCUAUAAACCACACUACGUAUGAAGCAAACAACAUUCACAUGCUGGCAUCGCAAACGUAAUAGUAAGUAUCUCUGACUAAGGCCCAGUUGUUUUGCCAGAAUCCCAGAUUCUACCAGAAUCCGACCCCCUACCCAGCUUCUGCCAGAAUCUUUGAGCCCUGUUUGUUUUACAAUCCUAUCUAGUUAGGUUCUAAUUAGACAAGAUUGAAAACAAAUGGGGCUCAAAGAUUCUGGGAGAAGCUGGGUAAAGGUCGGAUUCUGGGAGAAUCCCCAGAUUCUGGCAAAACAAAUGGGCCUAAACCUACUUGGAAAGAAUUAUAUACGGCUCGAUUAUUUUCUCUCUAGAAAGUGCACCAAACACAUUCCAACCAUUUACUAGUUCAUAAAAAAAACCAAAAUACACUUGUGCGAAAAUAAAUGAUUUAUAUUUCCCCAAGAGCGAAAUACAUAUGAAGCAAAAAACUUGACAAGCCAACAUAAACCAUAAAAAAAAGACUGCCAUCAGUCUGCAACAUAUGCUACUACAAAAAAAAAUUCGUCGCUGACCUACUUUUGACAUUGGAAGUUGUAACCGCACAUCUUAAAAAAAUUGGAUAGCAAUCCUAAUUACGCAUCACUUGUAAACAAAAUCUUAACUACAAAUCUUUUAAAAUGCAUUUCUUCACGCCCAUCCAGUACUCACUCGACAUUCGCACUUACACAUAAAAUAAAACUCCCCUAUGCCGACAUCCUGAAACGAUAUGAAAAAAUUCUCGUUCGUCUCUAGAUAUGUAAAUCACUCAUUCCGAAGAUUCCUUUGUAUGACAGAAAAUGUACUACAAUCUAGUUACGAAAAAACUUAAAAUCAUAUCAGUUCAACCACAAAUAACACAAGAUCCAUACAUAACAUACGUCCACAUACUUAAAAAGGUUGCCACGUCAUCAACAAUCCUAAUUUAGAAAACUACAUGCUUCCAUGCAAGAGUCAUGCAACACAUCACACAUAUCAUCCUUCGUCCUCAAAUCCUAAGUCCACACAAGACACAAUCAAACAGAUGAGAUCAUUCCUCAUCUUCUUCAAGAGCAGCCCGUAAGACAUGAUCAGCAACAAAAUUCCCUUGCUCAUCCUGCAGACGAAAUACCUCGAAAACAGUUGUUUGUCGGAAAGUAUCCAAAUUCCUCUGCACAUUUUCAUCAAAACCAUGCAUAUAACAAAUAUCUACACUGACAAAACAAAUAAACUGCAACAAAGAUUACAACAUAGUGUUCUAAUGGGAAAUGCACUUACCUUCGUCAGUGGCCACGUCAUCUUUUCCCCAUCAUAGUGCCUAAUUGCAUGCAACAUGCACAUUCCAGACUCAUCCCUGAAUUGAGACAUGCAAACAAAAAACACCCCCACAACUUACAUCCAUCCUUCAAGUCAAAAAUAAGGAGAAAUGUGCUUCCAUGUUUACCUUGUGAAAACCUCACGUGUUAUCUUUGGGGACUUGCGCUUCCAUCUAUCUGAUGUACAAUGCCAUCUUGCAAAGAACUCAUUGAGACAACUGAACAAUGCUUCAUGUAUCUGAGACACAGCCUCCUGGUGCGUCGCAUGCCGCUUUUCUGCUCCCACAGGCUGAGCACACAACGGAUCAAGAAUUUGAAUCUCCUUCCUGAUCAUGUCCCACAUAUAUGCUGCCCAUCCAUGAUCAAGAAUGACUGGGGUAUAGAACUGCAGGCAACACACCCUACGUAAGACUUGGAUGCAUGCAAAACUGCCACCUAUUAGGCAAAACAUGACCAGGUAAUUACCGUCUGGCAUGCAGUUAUGUCAUGGUGCGCAUGUGCAAUUUGCAACUGCACCGCCUUGAUAUGUGCAACCUUUUCCCCGGCAAGAGCAUGUGUCUGUUUGGCCAAAAAAAACAAAAUACUAACCAAGAAGUGCUGACCGAAACAAAAAGCAUCUAUGUGCAAAACAAAUACUGACCGAGAAAUCCGGUUCAAGAACUUCCCUCCACAAAAGAUACUUGGACACAGCUUGGGCUUCGACAUCAAGCUGAUUAAACCUCCUUAGUGCAAGCACAGCUACCUCGUGCUCAAGUGGAUGAGCCCCGAAAAAUUGCUGCUUCACACAUGCGGCAUUUACACGUAGCAUCCGCGGGAAUUUGUGCUCAAACCAGAGACUGAAUACAACAUACAAAAAUUAGCCACCUUAUUCUCCUGUGCAACACUGAUAUGAGAAACCGUGAAAAAAACUAUUCUUACCUGUCGAGGUCAGAAUCAUUGUCCCUGGAAAUCCACGUGCUGAACUUGUUCACCAAAGAGAUUGGCGGAGGCUGUGGUAGACACCCACUUAGCCAUGGGCUGCGUGUAAAACUUGCAGACAUCGCAUACUUCCUUUUGGGCAACGUCGCUUCCAUAUUCCCAAAAUAGACUACAUUCGGCUCUUCUUCAGCAGUGUCAUACAGACUACAAACCGUAUCAACAAUUACCUGCGCAUAAAGUCCAAUUAUAUCUAGUGUUGGGUUCCUUUCUUCCAUGACUUGGUUGUCAACCACUGGAUUAUCAUACACAGGUGCCGCGUCUAGGUGCUCUGGUGAGCCCAUCUUCAGAUCUGUCGCAAGCAUGACACCCCCAUGUGAGCAAAUGUCAGACCCAACUUCAAAACAGGACAAACUACACAUAGCAUUAUGUACAUACAGACGCACACAGAAAAUAACAUGCUCUGCUCACCUCCCGCUUCUUCAGUACUAAGGAUGGCAAUUUUACCCAUGGGUACGGGUACCCGCGGGUACCGUACCCGCAUGGGCAGGGUAUGGGCACACUUUUAUACCCAUGGGUAGUACCCAUACCCUACCCGUUAAGUCAUGGGUAGGGUACGGGUACAACCUUCUACCCGUGGGUAUACCCAUACCCUGCCCGUAUGUGAACUAAUUUAAGUUUUCAUCAAUUAAUCAUUAAUUUGUCACGUGACUCGUCUACUCCUAUUGAAUUAUGAGUAUGUUGUGAUUUCUAAAUUUUGAUAGUGGCCAUUUACUCAUCUUCCAGUUACUGAGCUGAGAUAAUUGAUUUCUUUGUCAAAUGUGCUAUGAAUGAGUGUAAAAUUGUGAACAACUUAUGUACUAUUUGUUCUACCCACUAGGUACCCAAUGGGUACGGUACCCGUCGGGUAUGGGUAUGGGUAAAAAUUCAUACCCGCGGGUACGGGUAUGGGUAGAAUUUUGUACCCACCUACUAUACGGGUAUGGAUAUGGUAUUGCUCUACCCUGCCCAGACCCUACCCAUUGCCAUCCUUAUUCAGUACCAACCCGUAUCUUCUUUCUAACUUUUUGUUGACAACCAUCCUUGCUUCCACUACCACCUACAACACCAAAAUUGAAUUACCAUAUAUCCAAUCUAGUGUGAGCUCCAUGAUAUUAACACAGCUACAGUACCUUCCUCAUCAGACAUCUCGAGACGACGAGCAACCGUCCAUAACGCCUUCUGCUCUAUACCCUGCGCAUCUGCACCAUCCAAAAGGCAAAACAACGCAAAUGGUGACACUACCUCAUCAUAAAAACGAGCAGCGUGCGCCCUGGUAAUUUUCAACAAGCUUGAAUCAAAUUCAUUAAAAAAAGUAUACCUUCGGAUGACUUGUCGGACCAAUUCAAAGAAAUACACUUUGACCUGCCGCGCUUCUCACAACAUCUGCAUCGAUCCCGAACAAGUGAUACAAUUCUAUCAGCAAAACUAAGCAUGUCGGCCUGCAUCCUAUUCCGCAGCAACGACAUGCUCAGCGUGCACUUUGCAUUCUGUUGUUUCAGCAUCAGGCUCAGCUCCUCGAGAACCUGAAAAUUGCACGCUGCUUCAGAAACAUAGCAAGCAUACACUCAUCCACUCAGCAGUCCUCCACACAAAGAUCAUCAAUAAAAUAGAAAGGCCACAGCAACAACCACCACCCCACCACACCCCCCAACCCCCCAAACCCCCCUCCCAACCAUCAUAUCGGCAACUCUCCACACAAAACAAAACAUACCGGAUCACCGUGGCAAGUCCGUCGAAGAUGAUUUGCAAAAUCCCUCGGACCAAGAGAAUGAUACGCCGACCUCGCAUCACCUAGUGAGUCUGCUCGUGUCGUUGUUGCAGGUACAACCAAUUCCGGAGUCCGCUGUUUCAUCCUGACAGACACCUCAACAUUUGGGUAUCUCCCUGAGGCUGACGUUACAUCGGCAUCAAUGAAGCCUUGGCUCCUCACAUCCGACCGCGUAUAGCAAACUUGGUCCGCCGGGCGCAACUGCUUAGAAAAAAAGGUGAAAAAUAAAGAAAACCAUGAGUCAAAUAGUCACGGCUUUUCCAGGAAUAACUUCCCCUGAGUGAAUCUUGGCCCAUAAAAAUAAAAACCGUACCCCUGCAGGGACAUAAGACUGAGUGUUUUCUGUUCAAAUCGUUGCACGCGCGGGAAUACAGUGUGUGGCAUGUUGAACAACCCAAGCUCAAUGUUAUCGAGCAAGAAUAUCUGUCCAAAACGAAAAUUGCAAAAAAAUUCACUAACAAACAUUACCACCUAAAAAAAUAUCAAGGCAAUAUGUAAUGACUAUAAACACCUUGCACAUCUGGAAGAAGAAGUGGCAGGCAAACAGAUGGACCGUGGCUGCUUUGCUUUGAUAAUCACUCUGCACCUUCGAUACAGCUGCCAGAAGCUUCUGGAUACCAUACUCACACCAAUUGAAUUGUGCAAUCAACUCCGGGUUAGCUAGAGCACCCCAGAAAUCAAUUGUCAUCGAGUCAUACUUCGUGCACGGUGCUAUCAGGUAACCCAUCACAAAAAUUAUAAAUGCAAUCUGAAAGCAAUCCUUCUCCAUCUUACUAGAGUCCUCAGAAAGCUCUCUGUUUAUAAAGCUUUCAACCGCUUUCAAAUUCUGAGCAACUGAACCAUCCAUACCAAUUGUACGCUUUAUGAACUGGAUUGCCGGAGCAGCAAUUUGUGCAUCCCUGCCACUCACGUCUCGGUUCCCACACGGGAUGUCGAAUACCUUGUGGAAAUCUUCGACUGUGAAAGCAAUCUUCUUGUCAUCAUCUAUUUCAAUUACACGACACCGAGCAUUUACCUUCCUCAUGACCCAAACACUCAUUUUCAGAUCCAUCCUUGUAAUCAUCGGCAACUUCAGGAUUCCACCAAAUCCAAUCUCAGAUACGAGCCAUCUCUUGUAUUCAUCAAAUUUGCUAACUGCAUCUACAACACGCUUGACUGACUGACGAGAUGUAAUGACCGGCUGAUCUUCUGGCAAAACACGUAGAUCCCCCGCCUCCGGCAAGCUCUCUUCCAUCUCCUCCUCACACUCCAUGCCAUCAGACAAACCCUCUUUCUCCUCUUCUUCGUCCAUCUACAACAGUGCAUAGGCAGUGGAUGCUCACCAGAUCUCGCUACUAAAAGAUAUGGAAAACUGUAUCCAAACAUACUUGGUUCUCCUAAAUGAGAAAACUUACCAUCGAAUACAGCCACGACGACGCGCGUAGCCCUGCACCUAAGAAGCUUCAAAACUUCCACCACCGCCGGCGACAGCAGCUGCCUGAUGGCCACCAGAUCUGGUCACCUUGUUUUCAACUGCAGCUCCUCCUCUGAAGACCGCAAAUAGAAAACCAUUCACAGAGGUAGGUGAGCCACACAAAAGUAGGGCUGGGACGCGGAUAAGAGGCCAGUGGACCCAUGGGCCGGCCCACGAGAUGACCGGCCAUGGGAUAGAAGACAAACUCAGUUGCAGUACGCUAGGGCCGACACCUUUCAGACAUGCGCAGCCUCUACAAGACAGCCCGCUUCGCUUCUUCACCAUACACAAAGGCUCCGAGAAAAUGCCCACAUCUGCACUUUCUCGCACAUAAACCAAUCAACAUAAGCUUAACCUAUAAGCAAGAUAAUACUUGAUAAAUGUUUUGCUGGAGUUAAACAUGAUACCAUUUCGUAAUAUUUGGAUGACGCUAGUACACCAUAAGCAGUACACCUCCAAAAGUACACCGUCACUGUGCGCUUCAUGGGUACAGCAUCGCUCGGUGCUCACCAACACACUUUGACCACCUAACACAUGUACUUAGUAGCUUAAUUUACAUAGCACUUAGCACUAAUGCCAGCGAGUCUCUCUCGCAUCUUCACCACGACACCUAGUUCAGCACGCGCAAGACAACAUCCGCAACCAGCAGCAUCAGAAUGGCCACGCCAAUCACUAGAUUUGCUACCGACGCCACCAGAUUUAUGGAUGCAGCAUCGGCGACGAUGCCACCCUGACGACCGGCGACUGGAGCCGCCGCCAGCAUGUAUCCUGCCACCGUACUUGCCAAGGAUGCAGCCUGCGACACCUCCGGCGCUCCGUUCUGCUGCACGUGAUGAACCUGCGCCGCCUGCACAGCUUGAGCUCCAGCCGCCUGCCCGCCCUGCAUCUGACCAGCACCGAUUUGCCCCCACUGGAUGUGCUGUGGCAAGAUGGGCCGCGUAGGCUUCCUCCCAUCUGUAAAAAUCGCAUCCACCCCCCGAUGGCUGCCAGAGAUUCACGAGAAAAAACAUACGUUCGUGAGAACCUAAGCAAGAAGAAACAUCGGAAAAAAAAACUGCGAAAACCAAAUCCAAUAGACUGAACUUACGUUGUGAUUCCGGCACUUGUAGAAUCGCAGGCCGGCGUUCUGCCCGCGCCGCGCCUACGUAGGUGACCACGUUCCUGCCACAGUCCGGGCAAGGCACGAUCUGCAAAACAGCUGGAUCAGCACCUGGAUCUGCCAUCUAUCCGACCUAACUGUUCUCUUUGCUGCAAUUUGUGGCGAACUAAAAGAAACACUGUGGCGGCGGAUCGGCUAGGGUUCCUCCUUCUCUCGAUUUGGGGAUAGAAUGUGGGACAAACAAACAAGUACCCGUGACAUAGGUUAGAAUCAUAAGGUGGGCUGGGUUAAGUACAUCGGUUGGGCCGGAGAUGGGCCGCCCAUCGCGACCACUUCCCGUGGUACGGUACAUACAUGUACAGAACAGGAAACAAACGACCCGUCACGAAAUCACCGUCAACAGCAUUCUAACGUCGGACCCAACACCGUCUACCACUCCGUCCCGUGACCGUCACGUACACACAUUAACUCGCCUUACCAACAGACGGUCCCACCACGAAAACCACGCAUCUCAGGGGAAACGAACGCCUCCAGAUACCGAUAGCGCGCGAGCUCGUCCGCGUCGAUCAUUUUUCGUAUUCCUCCCUGUUAUAUCUCAACUGUUCUGUGGAUUUCUUUCUCUGCUUCCGUUUACGUUGAUUACGUGGUUGGUUCUUCGUGUAGCGAUAAUGGUCCGCAGUGGCCGACCCAGCCUCCUCGGCGUCAUGCGGUUGUCAUUGGCCUUCAGGUCGUUGGCACGUGCCUAUGGCGCUGCUCCAGGUGCGAGAUAGGAAGGUCGCGGGGGGAGCAGUCGCUGCUGAUGGCGUUGUCGUCGUCCGAGAGGACCAUCCUCGAGCGCCUCCCGUCGAAGGAUCUAGCGUUCCUGCUCGGCGUCGGUUCUCCUGCGAGCACCUUGCCAGUGGUAAUCGGCGGGUGGAACGACGAGGCACACCUCCGGGAGCUCCAGCGGGAGAGCAUGUCCCCAUUGGAUACGUAUCGACGGUUUUCCUAGCGGCGCUUUGGUCCGCUCGCUCCUUACCCCUGUCUCGAGUCUUGGCUCUCAACUACAAGGCGGCGACCACGGCGGGCUUGCCCGAGUUGGCAUUCAACUGAUGCGUGCGAGAUGUGGUCACCGUCCGCUUCUACUCCCCGGUUGUCCGCCCUGUCCAAGCGACCUCUCUUACUCCAGUCAUCUACCCGGUGGGAGCACCAUGCGACCAGCACGCGCGACGGUUCAGCCCUAGGCAGGCGGAUGUGUACGACCUCAGGCAGCCUCAUCGCUGCCUCAGUUCGUCGGAUGUGUGCGACAUCAUGGGCGUCCAUCGCAUCAUCUCCCGCCCCGCUUGCGUACAUCUCGUGGGCAUAGGCGCCGGAGCAGUGGCUUCACUACAUCGACACCAUUACUACCCCAGCAUGUAAGCGUCUUCUCCUCCUCCUCCUUCGGCAGUGGUUGCGUCUUCUCAUGCUCGACGAUCCUCGCAAGAACUGAGUUGUGCCACUCACGGUCACCUGUGAUGUUUGCUGAAUGUUGUGAUGUCCUCUUAAUCUCAGGCACUGGCGGUAGCCAUUCCGGCGGUGACCAUGGCGCGGGUACCACACACAUCCUCAGAUCCAAUCCCAUCUCCUCCUUCUCUCAUGCCUCCCUUCAAUCUCGGACUACCGUGAAACAGAGCCAACGUCGCCCGCUCUUUUGUCUACAAAGCUCAACUCACUGGACAUGAUGCGAUACUACUCUCCGUGCUCUGUUAUUGAGGCAUUCGGCAUUGCAAAAACAGUUGAAAAUAAUAAUUCAAGGUACUGAACCUAAACGUGAUGCAUCCUCCUUUACUUCUUGGAUGGCUAUUAAUUCAGUUACGCAACUUCAGUGUGUUUAUUAUCUUCACAAGACUUGCUUUACAUCUUAACUUUCUUGAUUCUGUAGUUAUUUUGGCAAAUUUGUUGAGAUUCAGUUUGACUAGAAUGGGAAGAUUCCAGGAGAUGCCACAAGGACUUAUCUUCUGGGAAGGUCACGUGUUCGUCAACUAUCUGACCCAGAAAGGAAGUAUCACUGCUUUUACAUGAUAUGUGUUGCACCACCAGAAGUAAGAUGAAGUCAUGAAGAUCCUGUUAUAUAUGGUCUUCUUCUCAAAAAAAUUGGAACCACAUUAUUUGUGAACUACCACAUUUUGUUCGCAAAUGCUGUACAAGAAUAGUCUACAAUACUCACUAAGUCUGAAACAUAUCCUAUUCCGCAUUGUAAAAAACUAAAGAUAUUGCAAAAACCUCGGGGCAUUCACACAUUCUAAAUAUACUAAACCUAGGUAGGAUCCUUCUAAACCUAGCUAGGAUUUAUUUUUUUGAGUUUUCUCACAGCCAAAAUCGGACCAAAGGGAUGCUGCCUAAGGAUGGCAAUGGGUAGGGUAUGGGCAGGGUAGAGCAAUACCAUAUCCAUACCCGUAUAGUAGGUGGGUACAAAAUUCUACCCAUACCCGUACCCGCGGGUAUGAAAUUUUACCCAUACCCAUUGGGUACCUAGCGGGUAGAACAAAUAGUACAUAAGUUGUUCACAAUUUUACACUCAUUCAUAGCACAUUUGACAAAGAAAUCAAUUAUCUCAGCUCAGUAACUGGAAGAUGAGUAAAUGGCCACUAUCAAAAUUUAGAAAUCACAACAUACUCAUAAUUCAAUAGGAGUAGACGAGUCACGUAAAUUAAUGAUUAAUUGAUGAAAACUUAAAUUAGUUCACAUACGGGCAGGGUAUGGGUAUACCCACGGAUAGAAGGUUGUACCCGUACCCUACCCAUGACUUAACGGGUAGGGUAUGGGUACUACCAUGGGUAUAAAAGUGUGAUCAUACCCUGCCCAUGCGGGUACAGGUACCCGCGGGUAAAUUUGCCAUUCUUAAUGCUGCCACGAUAAAUAGUGGGCAAUAUGACCGGGUGCACUCCAGGGUGGACCUAACUAUUUCCCAUCGGAUUUGAGACAUUCCCUCUGCCUGCACAUGGGCUGCAUGGUUGCAAUCUGAUUUGAUUGCGUCUAUUUUGGUUGUUUCCUGUUUGGACUGACCAAUGCAUGGCAUUGGUCAUGUGUUUUAUCUGUAUGUGACCUGAAUUAGUUCCUUUCUUUGAGUUCAAAAUAGCCAAAAUUGAAUGUGGAGUUUGUCUAAGUUCCGAAAACUAUGUUGCUUUUAAUAUCGAAUUAAUAUGGUCACUGAAUUAUGUUCAGGUUCAUGAACUGCAAUAUUAAUUUCUCCCAAAUAGUCUGAUUAUUUUCCUUUUAACAUUCAUGCUACGUGACUACCUUUGUUACAAAUUAGCUACAAAUAGCUAAGUUGCCAUUUAGAUAUUUUAAACAUGUACUGCGACCAUUGUUCUGGCAAUAUUUCAACUGUCAAUAUUCUAAUGUCUGCUAUUGUAGUCACUCUAUUCUACUGUUACUUUGCUAUCAUACUUGAAGUUAGUUGCAACUUUAUGGAAGUGAAUAUAGUAGCAUAUAAUUCUCAGGUGAUGCAGUCUCCACUUCACAGCAUAUGCGAAUGCACCAACUUCUUUGAAAAAUUUCUACAGGUUUUCCUCCCUGUAACAUAACAUAGUCAUACAGGCAGGUGCAAGAGAUCACUCUGAAUCAACUAGCGUCGAAAUGGAGCGAGCAGCCCACUGAGAGCUCGCAGGGAAGAGGGGGAUGGGGGACAAAGGAGACACUGCUAUCUGAAUUUUUCAGAUAGUAAUGUUUAUGUUUGAAUACAUGAAAAAAUUAUCAAAUAUCAGUUGUCGGCCUUCAUGGCAGUACUGAACAAAUUAAUUAAAAUGCCGCCGUUGCUUGGCAAUUUGCUUCGUGGAAACAAAUGCUAGAGGAUAUGUAAGCAUUGGCAUGAGUAUGCCAUACAUUUCACUAUUAGGACUAACAAAGGCCGUUUCACCUAAGAGGACCCAUGUGUUGGUACUUAGUUUUGAUGUCUACUUUUGUUUGCUUGCCAUUACAAAGCCAAUUAAGAUAUAUCUUUUUCAUAUAAUUUUUAAUAUGUCCAGAUGUUUAUUCCUCACAUUGCUAUUUAUAUUUAUAAAUGUUGAAAAAAUGCUUAUAGGAGUAUUAGUUCUGCCAUAAUUCAUUCCUAGUAAGCAUUGAUGUUUGGAAAUUCAUUUAUAUUUGGGAAGGAAGGAGAUAGCUCUGGCUAUACGUUGAUGUAUUUGUUUCUGGAAAAAAAAUGCAUCGACUCCGCAACAUAAUAAACCGAAGUUUGUGAAUCACGUAUACACAUCUUCCACUACAGAUUAUGAUGGAUUCAUAAUAAAAAAGGCGACUCGGAAGUACCGACUCAAUAUGUUGCGACUCCUUCGAUUUGUCUGAGCUCGAAACGCCGUUUUCACCCGAUGAGAUUUGGGAGGCCAUUAAGAAACUUCCCUCUGGCAAGGCACCGGGUCCCGAUGGGUUCACCGCCGAAUUCCUUUGCUCCUGCUGGGAUGUCCUCAAGCACGAUCUCUGUGCCGUCUUCGACAAGCUAUACGCCCUGAACGGACGUGCAUUCCAGAGGCUAAACGAGGCUCUCAUUACCUUGAUCCCCAAGAAACCAGAUGCGGCUUCCCUGACCGACUACCGGCCCAUUAGCCUCAUUCACCUUGUCGCCAAGCUCUUCGCCAAGGUUCUUUCUCUCAGACUGGCUCCUCGGCUGGGCGAGAUGGUUUCGUCCAAUCAGAGCGCCUUCAUCGCGGGAAGGAGUGUGCAUGAUAACUUCAUCCUAGUCCAGCAAACGGCGAGGCAGCUACACAGGCUCCGGCUCCCUCGUGUCCUUCUCAAGCUGGACAUCGCUCGCGCCUUUGAUUCGGUCUCCUGGCCCUUCCUUCUUCAGGUUCUGGAACACCUGGGCUUUGGUCCUCGUUGGAGAGAGUGGAUCUCCAUCNNNNNNNNNNNNNNNNNNNNNNNNNNNNNNNNNNNNNNNNNNNNNNNNNNNNNNNNNNNNNNNNNNNNNNNNNNNNNNNNNNNNNNNNNNNNNNNNNNNNNNNNNNNNNNNNNNNNNNNNNNNNNNNNNNNNNNNNNNNNNNNNNNNNNNNNNNNNNNNNNNNNNNNNNNNNNNNNNNNNNNNNNNNNNNNNNNNNNNNNNNNCAAGGCCUCCGGCAGGGUGAUCCGGUCUCCCCGAUGCUAUUCACUCUUGCCAUCGACGUCCUCAAUUCUCUGCUCCAACACGCGGUCACCACCGGCACCAUCCGACGCCUCACAGAGCGUUAGGCUGCCUCGAGCGUUUCUCUCUUCGCGGACGACGUGGUCAUCUUUUGCCACCCCGAUCCUUCUGAGCUCUCCGCGGUCAGUGGCAUCUUGGACUUCUUUGGGUCUGUUUCUGGCCUACGCACCAACUUCGCCAAGUGCUUGGCUGCGCCGAUUCAGUGCCCUGACGAGCUGUCUGGCGCAGUCGGAGCCGCCCUGGCUUGCCCAGUUGUGGCUUUCCCGAUUCAGUAUCUUGGUCUCCCCCUCUCUCUAUGUAAGGUGCCAGCUUCUCAGCUCCAGCCCAUCGUCGACAAGAUGCUCCUCAAGCUGGCAACUUGGAAGGCCGCGCUGCUUUCACGAGGAGAGCGCCUGGCCCUGGUCCGGCAGGUUUUAACAGCCAUGCCUGUGCACAUUCUUCUUGCCAUGUCGCUCUCCCCUCCUAUUCUCAAGAAGGUGAACAGGAUCAUUCGGGAUUUUCUUUGGCAUGGCCGCAAAGACGCUCGUGCGGGUUCUUGUCUCGUCAGUUGGGCACGUGUCUGCCGUCCAAUCGAGCUCGGUGGCCUUGGGAUCCGCGAUCUUCACCGCACGGGCAUCUCUUUGCGUGUCAGAUGGCUCUGGUUGUCUGCUUCUGAAAGUUCGCGCCCUUGGUCCCAUCUUCAACCCACUUCAAUUCUUCCGGGCCUCGACCUCUUGGAUCCUCGGCAAUGGCACUUCCUGUCACUUCUGGACUGAUAAAUGGAUGCAAGGCCGCUCCAUCCAGGAGCUUGCCCCGGGCCUGGUGGCCUUGGUGCCGAACCGAUCGCGCCGCUCCCGCACAGUUGCGGCCGCCCUCCACGAUCGCGCCUGGAUCAGGGACAUCCGUGGCUCCUCGGGCCCCGAGGCCAUGCUCCAGUAUGUGGAUUUAUGGCGCAGGCUCCGGUCCAUCGAUCUUACCACGGAGCCCGACAUCAUCCGCUGGAAGUGGACGGAACAUGGCGAGUACUCUGCUGCCUCCUGCUACAAUGCUCUUUUCAUAGGUUCCACGGCGUCCGAGCACUGGCGCAUUGUUUGGAAAACCGGCGCCCCCCUCUCGGUCAAGUUCUUCACCUACCUUGCAUCCGUCAAUCGCUGCUGGACGGCGGACCGGCUCUCUCGCCGCGGGCUCCCGCAUGAACCGGCCUGUGUGUCGUGCUCGCAGCAGGCCGAGACCCUGCACCAUAUCCUUGUCGAGUGUGUUUUUGCCCGCACCAUCUGGCAGGGCAUCCUCUCCUGGUGUUGUCCCACAGCCGCGGUUCCGGAUGGCACGCUUGGGUUCUUCGACUGGCUGAGUGAGACCCUUCCUCUGAUGACUGCCGACAAGCGUCGUGGGAUCUCCACCAUUGCGGUGCUUACGGCUUGGUCUCUUUGGCGCCAUCGUAAUGUUGUGAUCUUCGACAAGAUAGCUCCCUCCUCCACCUCUCUCCUAGCGGCAAUUCAAGAGGCACGCUCCUGGAGCCAAGCACCAUUAUCCCUGUAAUGUAACUGGUCUUGUAGGGCUGAGCAUCCCAUUCCCAUGCUCGCUUGCAUCGCAGUAGCACUUUCCUGUGCACGCAACCACGAUGUCAACCUGUAUUUUCUAUCCCCUAUCAAUGCAAAGAUACGCUUCCAAGCGUAUUCACGAAAAAAUGUUGCAACUUCCGUUAUCAACACACAACAAAUUUCAUUGCAAUACAUCGCUAGUUAUUACAAUCGCAGCCUUGGAGAUGCCAAGCAAGUAGAGACGCGCACUUUCCUGAAAGAAAAAAAAACAAGUAGAGACGCGCACCGCGCUGCUGUUCUGGGGAAUCCAUGGAAGCGGCAAUGGCGAGCUCGGUGGUAGGAUCGAGGGCCGAAUUCGGGUCCCGCCUAGGGCUCGCGAGGCCUUGGCUCAGACCCACCGGCGGCCGCGGCGGUCCUCAUACCCCUCUCUCGUUUCGCCAUCUGCCAUGGCCGACCUCGCGCCUCGUCCGCAGCAGAGCAGCCCGGACUCGGGGCGUCGUCGCCGCCGCAAACCCUCACCAGCAGCAGGUCGGAGUGGAAGGGAUUGCGGCGAUGGAGCCCGAGAGGGGCAGCCCCGGUGAGGUGCUUGUUCUUUCUUCCCCUUCCUGUUACGAUUUGUCCGUGACGGCGGCGAGCCCCAUCCAUCAUGCGGCGGAUCUGUAUUGCAGGUGAGGGAGGAGAUUGCGAGGUGCUACGAGCUCGUCCGCCGCCUCGGCCGGGGCGCCGUCUACCUCGGCUCCUCCAGGGUGCCGGCCGCGCACCCCCACUACCACCAGACCGCCCAGCUCGCGGCGGAGAUAGCCAAGCUGCUGGACUGCACCACAUGGACGGGCGCCGGCCCCGGGCUCAUGGAUGCUGCUAUCCAGGGCGCCCUCGAGGCAGGCAAGCCGAUCGGCGGCUUCAAGAUCGGCAAAGAGGCCGGUGAAUGGACAGCCUCGAACUUCCACCCUUACCUGCCCUCGGAGACUUACCUCACCUGCAGGUUCUUCUCGGCAAGGAAGCAUGGCUUAGUGGAUGCUGUAGUACGCAACAACUCUACUGACAGAACCGCCAUCGUCGCAUUGCCCGGCGGCAUUGGGACGCUGGAUGAGCUUUUUGAGAUCAUGGCGCUGAUUCAACUGGAGAGGAUCGGAUCGGCGCUACCGGUCCCGUUCUUGCUGAUGAAUUAUGACUCUUAUUACUCCAAACUGCUGGAGUUUCUGAAUGACUGCGAGGACUGGGGUACAGUCUCUCCAGGGGAAGUGGCAUCGCUGUGGAAGAUUUGCAGUGGGAACCAUGAAGCCUUGGAGUACUUGGCACAGUUCUAUGAUGUGCCUACUGGGGAAAGGAAUUAUGGCAUAUCAUCACCGUCGAAGGAAGACAGGGUUCCUUCGUACACCGUCAGGAGAUGACACAAGCUCUUCUCAAGAAUGUUGUCUCUUUUUUUUCCCUUAUGCAAAAUAUCAUCAUUGCAAUAAUUCUCAUUCUCUUAUGAGAAUGUCAGCACUAAUUUUAUGGAUAGUAUCGAUUUGUUUUGUUACAUGUUUCAAUUAGUAAUGCAGGGAUGGGCGUAACACAAAAAGAGAGCCUCCUUUCCAUUUUACAAGGAUUAAGAUCAUAUAAGGAAAUAUGUACACUACUAACUACGAGUACUAAGCUUGAUCAAAUAAUACAAGUGCCAUCACUCUUUGGCCUCCUAUUUUAUCUUGACUUGUGUGUAUUUAUGUUAAAUCAAUACCUUCGCCCAAAAAUGUUCCGGUGCAGGAUGCUGUUAUAGUACCUCAACUAUCGGUCAGAAGUUAGGCCUGAAAAAGAUUCAAAAAAAGCUGUAAUAAACAGUGUGUAUUGGGAAAAACUGAUAGAAGAUACCAUAUAUACGUUCCACGGAGAAUGUUGGUAUUAUCAGUUGCUCUAUCAGAUAGUGCCUUAGAAACCAUAACAAAGCAAAGCACAUAUACAUAUAUGGAAUAAGAUGCACUCUAAGAAGUCCCAAGUUCCCAUUCAGUUGCUUCAGCAGUCAUUCAAAUAUUUGUUCAUCUCUCAGGCGUCAUAGUUUGCAUUGAAAUAGACAACCUUCUCACGUGAUUUAAUCAACCGGGUUUCCUAAUUUUAAUCACCAUGUAAGGUGCCUGUGGUAUCAUAACAGUAGAAGUGUGAAACAGGUUAAGCCAUGUUUGAUCCUGUCUGCCAAGACGCCAGAAUACUGAGAACAGUAGAGCAUUUCUUCGGUAUCUGAUUGAAAAUUUACUCAGGCAAAGAGAACCAAGAAAUUUGAUUUUGUUCUUCAUGUUUGGUUAAUCAUUGUAACAGUAAUUUUGAUGGACAUAAGGUUCAUCUUGUAAAAAGAAGAUUGACCGUAACCAAGAGCAAGAAAUUACCACAAAUGAAGGGGGCACGUAGUAGCAUAUGCUCCCUAAUGGACAGUAAAUUCAAAAUAAAAUAGUAAAUAAAUUUUAAAAUUCUGAUUUUUUUUUUUGUGUAGAUGUCCAUGUUAGUGUAGCACAAGUGUGUUUGACAAUUUUCAUGAGAUACGGGAUUGCAGUGCUUCUGUGGUGAAAAAACAAAAUUAAGUGUAAGUGUGUAACAUUUGGAGGUAACAUUUGGCGUUUGACUUUUUUUUUGCAUAGGUCAAGAUGCUUAAGUUUUUCUCUUGAAAAUUUAUAGGUAGCAUUUGGGUGCGACAAUGAACACAUGUACUUUUUUUCAAAAAAAAAUGGACAUUUGCAAAUAACAUUUUUAGCAUGCCCCACAUUGGAUUUCCGAAAAGAAGGGGUGUAACAUUGGAUGCAAACCUAUAAAUUUUUUUUUCUGUAGAACUUUAUUUUGGUACAAGUUUUAUAAUUUUUGACAAGAGAGUUUAAUCCAUCAAGAUAUCAAAAAUUUAUAUAAAUAAUGGGCAGCACAUAGAAGCAAGUUUAUACAAAGAAUGGGCAAGACAAAUAGCAAAGAAGAUAUGCCAAAAAUGGACAAGAGAAAUAGCAACAGAUAAAUCAAAGCAAGUUUGUACAAAGAAUGGGCAAGACAAAUAGCAAAGAAGAUAUGCAAAGAAUGGACAAGAGAAAUAGCAACAGAUAAAUCGAAGCAAGUUUGUACAAAGAAUGGGCAAGACAAAUAGCAAAGAAGAUAUGCAAAGAAUGGACAAGAGAAAUAGCAACAGAUAAAUCGAAGCAAGUACUUGCCACCAUAGUUUUUCCCUCUUGCAUCGUUUUAGCUGUAAUCUUUCAACGGCAAUUUCCAUCUUGAGAACCUUACAAACGGCCAUAUACUUUUUGGGCUGAGAGGUAUUAACCUUUAUGGCAAACUCUUUUUUAAUACUCUCCAUAAAGAAAUACGAGAGUGUUUAGAUCACUACUGAUCUAAACGCUCUUAUGUUUCUUUACAGAGGGAGCACUCUAUAACAUAAUGUUUGAGUGUCAUUCUGAAGUUAUCCAUUGAAGGACAAGUGUCGCUCAUGACCAUCUUUGGAUUAUCCCUAUCAAAGGAAGUGAACUGCUCCUCGGAUUCACGAUGAUCAACGGGUAAUGCUGUAUCAUCAGUGUGAUUGGCAUCAACGACCCAGAUAUUAGCAUCAACAGGAGAGGUGUUAGCGUCAUUAGCAGCCUGGCGCGUGCUCUCAUCCUCCUUCAGACCAAGCAAAAUUAUAUAUCGUGUUCUCGACAUGAACAUCAAAAAUCAUAUGUUUCUUCCUCUAUCACAAGAGUUGAUCAAUCCACCCCGCUGAAGGUGGCCCGCGCCGCACUCGAAGAACAUGUAUGUACAUCACCGUUAGCCAUACAAGGCAGGGGGAAAAAUCAAUGUCGCAAAUAAAGGGUUAUCACGUGUAACGCAAAAUUAAUAAUAUCGUAAACAAUGAAACUGCAGAGCAAAUUAAAAGUACUAGUGUUACCUAUUAAUUGGAUUAGCUGCAUACUGGCCGUGCUCCUUGUGCAGGCAGACGGCCGACGGAGCGCUCAACUAAGGCGUGUUGUUCAUCCCACAAUCGAGCAUCGUUUGACCAAAGACAACAUGCAUAGUGUCGACUGAAUGCUAGUAGUUGGAUAUGAUUAACUGAGGGCUUGUUCGGCAUCACAAUGUCGUCCGGUACAGGCAGGGCUAAUAACGUUGGUCUUCCACCCCGAAAUAAUAAUAAUAAUAACGUUGGUCUUCCUUCUCAUUUAUUUUUAGUUUCUUUAGCAUCAAUUUUUUUUCUUGCCAAACUUUUUUUCUUCGCAAACAUUUUUUUUUUGAGAAAAUUUUCUUCGCAAACAUAACGCUGAUUGUUGGGAUAUCCUCUUUAGUUGCCGGCCUGUUGGGCUAUAAGAAAGCCCAGACUAUGGGGCUCCCGAUCUGUCCGCAGGCUCAGGUUUCGGUUGCUAUUUCUCGAAAAAUAAAAGUUUUAGUUGCUCCUGUGCAUACUUUUAGUACCACAUCGCUUCCGGAAAGGAAAGGUGAGCUGCUUAUAUACCGGUCCAAGGACGUUGCUGACACCACCUGGGACAUGUGGUUAGCAAAUUCAAAAUUCACAUAGAAUUGAUAUUUGUCUACGGCAUGUUUGUUUCGGCCAUUAACCUGGGCGUCUCAUUAAAUGCCUGCUACCACUUCGACAUGGAGUGCGUGCAUUUCACGGGAUGCCUAUUUUUUCGAGAUUUACAGGAGCUGCUAGGCCUUGUUUGGUUGCUGGGGGAGAUGUACUCGGGGUAGAGCUGCCCCGGACUGAAAAUUCCUGGCAAAACGAAAAGCCCAGGGAAAUUUUGCUUAGAUUCAUCUUGACAUUGAUACGUGUCAAGCAGUCACCAGCACACCAGAUCUCGCCGCUGGAGCUAGCAGCCGCCGGAGAUGCAGAUCCAGCCCAUCGGAUGCAUCACACCAGAUCUCGCCGCCGGAGCUAGUAGCCGCUAGAGAUGCGGAUCCAGCCCAUCGGAUGCAGCGGAGGGGCUUGAGCAGGUCCUCGUCUUCUUUGUUCCUCGGCGAGGAGAGCUUGGAACAGAGAAGAGAGGAGGGGUCGACCAAUCGAGGUGGCCGGCGGGAGGGACAAGGAAAGAUCGAGCGAGACGGCGGCGCGGUUUGUGAAUAGGCUAAUUUUUUUGAAAUAAUACAUUUUUUAUUAAUUUUCAUAAAUAUUACGCUGGGUAAUUUUUUUUCAAAAAUAAUACACCGUCGGCCCACAGCAAGCCGAUUGGACUCCAGUCGGCCUACAGCUGGCCGACUGGCCCCUGUCAGCCCACUGGAGCUAAUUGGCUCGCUGUGGGCUAAUUGUUUUUGCAAAAAAAGUAGGCAUCAAAAAUAUAUGUUUAAAAAAAUAUUAAUUAUUUAAUUAAAAAAUGUUAAACGUGUAUAAAAAAUGUUCCUGAUGUAUACAAAAAAUGUACAAUAUAUAUGCAAAAAAGUUGACUAAAAAUAUGUUUUAAAAAGUGUUAAUCAUGUAUUUAAAAAUUGUUAAAUGUGUAUAAAAAAUGUUCCUUAUCUAUACAAAAAAUAUAGAAUGUGUAUGAAAAAAGUUGACACCAAAAAAUAUGUUUGAAAAAAAAAAUUUAAUCAUGUAUUUGAAAAAAUGUUCCUUAUCUGUACAAAAAAUAUAGAAUGUGUAUGAAAAAAAGUUGACACCAAAAAAUUAUAUUUGAAAAAAAAUGUUAAUCAUGUAUUUGAAAAAAUGUUCAAUGAGUACACAAAAAUGUUUCAUGUAUUGGAAUGAAAGGUUAAACGUGUAUAAAAAAAUGUUCCAGCUCCGGAUCCGGUAUGGGAGCAUCACGGACCUAAGCAUGAUUGGUUGCUCUUUUUUAUGGAACUGGAAUAUUUUUUUCAAACAUAUUUUUAUGGUGUCAACUUUUUUUCAUACACAGUCUAUAUUUUUUGAAUAGAUAAGAAACAUUUUUUAUACACACAUUUAACAAUUUUUAAUCAUGUAUUUGAAAAAAUGUCAACUUUUCAAACAUAUUUUUUUGGUGUCAACUUUUUUUCAUACACAUUCUAUAUUUUUUGUAUAAAUAAGGAACAUUUUUUAUACACACAUUUAACAAUUUUUAAAUACAUGCUUAACACUUUUUAAAACAUAUUUUAUGUCAACUUUUUUGCAUAUAUAUUGUACAUUUUUUGUAUACAUCAGGAAUAUUUUUUAUACACGUUUAACAUUUUUAAUUACAUGAUUAACUUUUUUAAAAAAUAUAUUUUUUAUGCCUACUUUUUUUGCAAAACAAUUAGCCCACAGCGAGCCAAUUAGGUUCAGACGCAAUCAGCCCACAGUGGGCCGACAGGGGCCAGUCGGCCAGCUGUAGGCCGACUGGAAUCCAAUUGGCCUGCUGUGGGCCGACUAGGCCCAGUCAGCCUGCAGCGGGCCGACGGUGUAUUAUUUUUGAAAUUUUUUUAUCCAGCGUAAUAUUUAUGAAAAUUAAUAAAAAAAUGUAUUAUUUUAAAAAAAAUAGCUGCGAAUAGAGGGAGCGAAAGAAACGAGGGACUUCUCCCACGAGUCGUGGCUGGUGUUUUCUGGUCCCGGGGAUUCGGCCGGGGAGGGCCGAAGUUUCCCUGACUUGGGCCUCGACCAAAUGGCCCUUCAGAAUUCCCUGGGAGAGGUUAGCACGUGCCUUUCUAUCCCUGGGAUUGGGCCGGGAUACCUGGGUUUUCCCCGUGAACCAAACGAGCCCUUAGAGGUUUUCUUCACACAACUUCCCGUAAAACGGAUAUGGAAGCUAUUGGAGUUGCUCUAAGAUGAACAUAUACAUACGAUCAGGGAAAUUUUUUCUUUCUCCCAGUAGCGAUCGGGUAUAGCAUCCGCUGUAGGUGUGCAUCUUCCUCCUUUUCCCGCACUAUACUAAUCAUCUCUCACAAUCUAGUCCCCAGUUCAUGUUUAUCAAGAACUAACAAUCACACCUUUCUAGUGAUAAUCAAACCGCAAGCAACUUGAUAACACUAGGUCAAUCACCGCAUACGCAUGCGGUGGUUGCUUUUUUAUGUUUGUUCGUCGAGCGGAAGAGGCUGCCGUUUUAUUACAUCACACACAGACCAUUGCUACUACAUAAGGUUUGUUUUAUUACAAUCACACACAGACCAUUGCUAACAUAAGGUUUGCCUCCUCGCAACACUAACAUUUGAGCCUGCUCAUCUUCAGUGGAGUUCCUUGAGGAAGUCCGCAUGAUCCACCAGAACCUGCAACCCCAAGAAUAACAUUAGUCACAUACUGAUACUGUGG
rnacentral:lncRNA from 1 species